rnacentral:lncRNA from 1 species
UCGUAUUUCAUAUGAGCAUACACAUUCUACUAUAUACGUGAUCUGCCUCAUUCAGCAUUCCAGUAAGAAGCAAAAUGAUAAGAACAAUUGUGACAAUUACAUCAAAAGAAAGAAGCUAAUUAGCAAGUAAUCAUUCGAAUAAGCUGAACUCACGGAAGCAGGAACCUAAACACUAUCAAGAUGGUCUCUGUUGUAGCAUGCCCAUAGUAAGAUCAUAGUUUGAAGUAUGUUAGGAUGCCACUUGUCAUCAUCUCAAUAUGACAAAUGUAAGGUUGAGAUGCUCUAGUAGUAGAUAAGAUGGUUAUAAGUUGUCGGAUGAUAGCUUACAGAGGAAGCUAAGUAGUUUACAUAUAAGGAAGUCGGUUGUAAUUGGGAGGGGGUCAUUGGAAUAAUCUCUGUGUAAUACAAGAAAGUACUAUGCAAUUGUGAAGAAGCCGAGCAAGGUUUUAACAUUGGUAUCAGCCAGUGUCGAUUCCUCUCAAUCCUUCAUUGUUGUAUGCCUCGCCGACCCCGGAACACCAUGGAAUCGCGAGUGUCGACUUUGGAAACCAUGCUCGCCGAUCUCAAAGAUGAGUUCAAGAACAGCCAAGAGAUGAUCAUGAUGCAGCUGCAAUCAUGAUGCAGAUGGAUGCAUUAUUUGUGGCUUUUAUCGUUAUUGAAAUCUUGUUGGAAUUUCGACAUUUAUUGAUCAUAAUGCAUCCAUCUGCAUCUCCGUUGUAUCAUUACCCUGUACAAAGAAAGUGGCUCGAAGUCUUGAGAAGCACAUAACCAACAAUCAAACCGCGGCAUUUGGGUGCUCCAUUAGAAAUGGUGGGACUACGACCAGGAAUCCCAGGUACAUUACGUCUUGCUACAGUUAAAAGGGACAAAUGCUCAAAAUCAAAUACAUAUUCGUGAUAUAACUUUGGCACUCUUAUUUCUGAUACAUAUUUGUGACUGAGCAGAUAAUCAUAGAUAAAAUCUUAAAAAAAAAAAUAUAUAUAUAUAUAUAUAUAUAUCACAAUUUCAACCAGAAAUUUCAAUGGCUCUGACGUCAACGUUCUUCAACUCCGCCUUCGGAACAGUGACACUCAGAACUCCAUUCUCCAUGGCAGCCUUAAUCUGAUCAACCUUUGCGUUCUCCGGAAGCUGAAACCUCCUCAAGAACUUGCCGCUGUUCCUCUCCACUCUGUGCCACUUGUCGUUUAUAUCCUCCUUCUCCACGUUCCUCUCUCCGCUGAUCUUAAGCACCCUGUCGUCUUCCACCUCCACCUUCACCUCCUCUUUUUUCAGCCCCGGAACGUCCGCCUUGAACACAUGGGCUUCGGGGGUCUCCUUCCAGUCGACCCUAGUGUUCACAAAAGCCGAAUUCUCCCGAGAAAAUUCAGGAAAUGCGGAGAGUGAUGAGGAGGAAGGGAACGGGAAAUCCUUGAAAGGGUCCCACAGAUUGAGGGAGAAUGGGUCGAAGACGCUGCUGCUUCCUCGUCGGGAGUUGGGAAUUAGCGACAUUCUGAAAAACCGAUGGGGUUGGUUUGGAUGCAGAGAAAUUUGAGAAUUAUUACAGAAUUAUUGCUUUUGCUGGACUGAUUGGAAAAGUAGCGGAUUUGAUAUAUUUAUAAGGAACCGAAGAAUUUUCUAGAACAGACUUGAGGAUGAGGCUGGAAAAGUAUGUGUGAGUUUCUCGAACUUUCUAGGAUGCUUGAGAAUAAUUGGAACUUUCUUAGGACGCUUAAGAAUAAUCCGACGUUUGUGUGAGUUACUCACACAACACGGUUGACUUCAUGAUGAUGAAUGGUGGACCCAAAAGCCUAAGUGUGGGGGUUGUAUGGGCCAUUCGAUUUAAUCGGACGGUUAAAACUGAAGAUACUGUGCAAGUUAUAAGCGGGGCGUUUGAAUCUUUGAUAUGUAUUAUUUGGACUUAUUGAUAAAUAAUAAUAUUUACAUUAAAUUAACAAUAUCAACUAAAUAUCAAUAACAUUUAACAUCUCAUGAAGUAGCUUAUCUAAAGGUAAAGGGAGUUAUAGCCCAAACAAGCAAAUUACCAGUUAAGUAAUAUGAUGGUCACUUAGUGCUACCUUUAAUGAUAUUUUUCUUUAUUUGAGAGUGAGAGGUCUUAGAUUCGAUUCUCGUCAAAAGCGAAUUCGAAUCAUAUUAUUGUUUAGGGUAAAUUGCCAAUUUAGUCCCUGAAUUAUUACCUUAGUGAAAAUUAGAUUCCUAAACUAUUUUUUUCAGAAAAAUUAGUCCCUGAAAUAUAAAAAUCUGCCAAUUACAUCCCUAAUGUUAUAUUCGAAGCUACUAUAUUCAAAUUUUCGUCAAUUUAAGUUAUAUUACUUGCAUGCGAUACACAUUGGAGGGUAGAUUGGUAGUUUUUCAUAAAGAAAUAGUGUAUGGAGUUAACUUUGGAUGAGAAAUUAAUAGUGUACAAAAUAAUACAUAAAAUAUUGUAAAACACACAUAAAAGGAUCUAAGCCUAAAAAGAAAAAUCAUCCACAGAGCCCAGUCAGUAAGGUUCUAUACGCCAUAAGAAUGAAAUAAAGCAUUUUAUUGUGCACCAUAAGAUUGGAAGAAUCAAUCUUAUACCUAGCCAAUUACCAAUGGCUGAUCAAAGUUCUAGCUCAUAAAUAUUAAGUACAAAUGUGAAAAACAAACUGAAAUCUAUAGGCCAAAUUGAUAAUAAAUAAAUAAAUAAAAAAAGAACAUCUGCACGCCCGCACCGACAGUAAAGCUAGUUUAGUCUUUAGCGGAAUUCUUUUCUCUCUUCUAUCCCCCUUUUUUUUUUUUGGUCGAAGCCCAAUUCUUUUUCAUUCACGAAGUUUCUAGCAACUUCUGUUUUGCCUUCAUUGAGCUGUUGGGUUUCAUGCUCUUUCUAGUUUUACGGUACCUGAAAUUUUCCAGAAACGUCUUUGACUCCUCAUAAAUACGUCACUAACCCCACGCCCUUCACCAACCAGUGAAGCCAAGCAAGAACUCUCCCUACUGACUCCAAUUUGAUUCCCAAGGCAGCCAAACAAAACCACAUCAAGUUUUUUGUUUUUUAGGUUUUUUUAAUAAAUUAUAAAAAAUUAUCUCAAUUAUGAAUCCAACUACAAUCUUAUAUAUCAUGUUCAAACAUUACAAUGUUAUAUGAAUUCCUUUAAAUAUUCUAUUAAUUUUAAUUGUUAAAUGAUGAGAUGCCAGGAAUGGAGCUCACUCUUUUGAUAAUUGGAAUAAAAAAUUAAUCAAUUAAUAAUAAAUUAAUAAUUUUUUAUUUACAAUUAAAAUCAAUUAAAAAAAAAACUCUCUCAGCCGCAUCCCUCCGUUACCCCCCCCCCCCCCACAUUUUCCGAGCAACCAAACAAACCAAAGCAUAUAAUUUUUUCCAGAAAAAAAUUCAAAACCCAAGUCGAAAAAUCACAAGAGAGUGCAGACCUGAUUUUUUAUCCCAAAAACAUGCAUUGAAUGUGGAUCCGGCAAUUACAAGCAGGACGCGAUUCCCAAACCUCACAAAUCAAAAUUUACAAACCCUUAAAAUCCCAAUAGAUUUACGAGUUCCCGGAGUGGGAUUCAAAUCCCACGAAACCUUCAUAGCCAUUGGACCAAAACACUAGACUAUUUCUCUACUAGAGAAAAUUAAGAUUUAAUUUUUAAUUUAAACCCAUGAUGUUAUGGGUACAAUGAUUUUUGGGCAUCGGUGGAGACUACGCGCAGACGAAGGAGAUAAGGGAAUAGAGAAGACUCGCAGACUACCUCACCGAAAAGAUCUCAUCUCCCCUCCCCAGAACAACACCUUCCACUACUCCAAAAUUCCUAGGUACUCGAUUCCACUAGCAGAGACAACCACAUCAGCAAUGGCGAUGGCGAUUAUGCAGCUUCAAAUUCUCAUGAUGCACUCGAGAGCUCCCUUGCCGAUCUUUAGAACAUUGACGAUGGAUAGACGAGGAUUGGAAAAGUCUCGAUCAUCGUCAGGUCCAGGAAUCGCGGGCGGGAAGCUCAUACGGUAGCCGGAUCUCGAGGUGGUUUCGAUGACAGAAGACUCGCUGCAGACAACCAUCAAGAAGCAACAAGAGAGACAGAAGGAGAGAUGGGGUUUUUAAUAACUUUAAUUUUUUCAGAUUAAAAAUUCUUGACUUAUUUAAUUUUUAAAUUAUGAGUGGGUCCUAUUAUUGCCAAGUCAUCAUUUAGCAGUCAAACUGAUAGAAAAUUUAAUGAAGGUGUGACAUUGCAACGAAUUUAGAAGUUGAUGUAUGAUAUUGUAAUGUUUAAUACAUGAAGUAUGAGAUUGUGGUUCGACCCAUAUUUAAAGUAGUUUUGUAUAAUUUAUCAUUUUUUUUCUUCAAAAUGUUGCUUAUCCCCACCUCUCAACAAGGCAACAGCAUCUUCGACCAAUUCUCCCUCAACUUGUGUGACCCUUUCAAGGAUUUCCCAUUCCCUUCCUCCUCAUCACUCUCUGCAUUCCCUGAUUUUUCUCGGGAAAAUCGGCUUUUAUGGACACUACAGUCAACUGGAAGGAGACCCCCGAAACCCACGUGUUCAAAACGGACAUUUUGGGGCUGAAGAAUGAUGAGGUGAAGGUGGAGGUGGAAGACAACAAGGUGCUUCAGAUCAGCGAAGAGAAGAAUGUGGAGAAGGAGGACAAACACAACAAGUGGCAUAGAGUGGUAAGGAGCAGAGGUAAGUUCUUGAAAGAUUUCAGCUUCCGGAGAAUGCAAAGGUCGAUCAGAUUAAGGCUGCCAUGGAGAAUGGAGUUCUGAGUGUGAUCGUACCAAAGACAGAGGUGAAGAAGCCUGACGUCAAAGCCGUUGAAAUCAAUGGUUAAUUAAUAGUGAAAUAAUAAGAUUAUGAAUGUUGUGUUCUUAGGAAAUAAGAUUAUGAAAUAGAGUGCCCAAAAAAGAGUGAUUUGUGUAAUUGUUUGUAAAAUAAUGACUUGUGUGUAGUUAAUUUGAUACAAAUUUGGAUUUAUGCGUUUGAAAAUAAUAAAAAUUUUAAAUGAGGAUAAUCGGAAAACAACUUUUGUAGUAAAAAUUUAGAUUUAAAUUUUUUGGUAAAGUUCAUUAGGUUUCAUGUUCGAAUGUGACAUUUAUAUUAUUUUUCUGUUACUUGUCAUUUCACUCUAUAUUUUUUCACGGGGUAUCAUACCAUUGCCAAGCCCCUUUCUCACUUCUCCCUCUUCGUCUCUCUACACCUACAUCCCGUCUUCUCUCUCCUCCGUCUCACUUUCCAUGCGCAAAACAUUUUUGUGAGUUUUUAGAUUUUAAAGCUCUGAUUGGAUCAGUUUGAAUGAAAAGUUUUAACCAAGCUUCUAAAACUGGAGAAAGGAUUUCUAGGCAGCAAAAGGCAAGACCCAUGGCGUACAAUUGAGAUUUAAAAAAAAAUGGCUUUGAGAUUUGUUGGUUAGGAUGUCCUUCCCUCAAUUGUGAGUAGGGUUGGGCAAAUACCCAUUGGUUAUGGGUAACCGUGAUUACCCGCCAAUUUAAAUUAAAUGGUUACGGUUAUGGGUAACCGUUUAGAUAAAUAAACAGUUAUGGGUAUAACCGUUUACCCGCAAAGUGUAAAUGGGCGGUUAUGGAUAUUAACCGCGGUUAUAAACGGGUAACCGUUUACCCAUUUAUUUUAUAUAUAUAAAAUUAACACAAAAUAUGUUCUCUACUAGACAAAACUUAGAUCAAUGCUAUUGACUAUAAUGUGAUUUAUAUAGCGCUGUUUUAAUUAAUUAAAAAGUAAUAAACGAUAAUCCGUGCAGUAUUUUUAUCCUUAAAUUGAGUAAAUCAAAAGAAAUUUAAGUGAGAAAAAUAAACGGGAGCGCACUGAAAUCAUUUCCCUUGCAGUAUGCAUGCAUUAGAUUUUUUCAUGUGUUUACUGUAGCUAUAUGUUGAUCUUGGAUCGAACAAACUGGAAAUCGAACAUUCUUACAGGGCUAUUGAUCCCCUACAUUUUCUUUACCCUUCCUUCAAUAUUGUUCAACAUCUUCAAGUUCUUUUCUACACGUAGUUACCGUACAAGUUAUAUAUUUCCUGUUGUCUGUGUUUCUUAUUUGUUCUAUUCCCUAAAAAUCUUUAUUUUUCUAGGGGAGAGAAUGGAAAAUGGAUUGCUCUCGUUACGUUGGCAUAUAAAUAAUCCACGUAACGGUGCCCGUCGUUGUGUCUUUUCCGGUAAUUAUUUCAAUUAUUGGAAUGUUAUAAGGACUUAAAAAUUUAAAAUACGGAAAUGGAUGAUGAAUGUACCUAUAACGGUGUUUAAUUGUCACAAAAAAUAAAAAUUAUAACAAUUUUUUUUUAAAUUUCCAAGUUGUUAAAAAAUAUGUAGACGGGUGAAAAAUGGGUAACGGUAAAAAAAUAAAAAGAUAAAUGAGUUAAAAAUGGUAAAUGGGUAAACGGGUAUUAAACGGUUACGGUUAAAUGGAUAUGCGGUUAUGGGUAUGGUUAACCGUUUAUAAAUGGUUAUGGGUAUGAGUAUAACCGUUUAAGCAAUUACCCAACGGGUAAACGGUUAUGCGGGUAUGAGCAUAAACGGUUAUGGGUAAAUAACCGCGAUUGCCCACCCGGCAUAACCGUUGCCCAUCCCUAAUUGUGAGCAGCUCUUAAUAUGCUUUCUUCGCAGGAAGGCGAAUUGGAGACAAUAGUAUGCUUUUGAAGGAGUUUCUUAAAAAAACACUUUCAAACAAAUUUGUAUAGAAUUUAUAUGCUACGACUAAUAGUAGCCCUACUAUUGUUCGAAAUAGAUUACCAAUUCUAAUUGUGAUGUUUGUACCGUAAAAUAAUGUGAUGCCUCGAACGAAUGAGGAUGGCUCAAGCCAUGUAUUGUGCCUUGAGAAUGUGGGGUUGGGAAGCAAUGCAUCCAAUUUUUCUUUCACUUUAUCCUUCUUCUUUUUUUGUUAAAGAAAGUACCAUAUGGUUCGUAAGCAAAGUAUCCAAAUCUUUUUCACUUUUUUCUUGAUAAAGAGAAAUACAAAGUGGGUUCGAAAGCAAUGCAUCUCAUUCUCUUUCCCUUUGUCUUUUUCUUGUUAAAAAAGAAUGAAAAUACCUUACUUCAGAAUCACCUCCUCUUGAGGUAAUGCUCGUUAAAUAUAUUUUUUUUGCUUCUCUAUUUAUAUUGUUAGAGAACUCUUAUUAACCUUUCCCCAUUGAAGUUAUCUGCUCAUUGCAUUGCUGAGGUAACAUAAUAUGUCCUCCUUGUGCAUGAUACCAUUCAACAUUCAUAUUUUCUAGCAAAUUCGUGAAGUAACAAUGUCAGUACCAGACACAUGAGUUGUUGUUGAAUAAGGCAUAGAUUUUAGAAUUUCACUUUUACUCUAGUGAACUGUUGCAUUGGGUUGAUUUACAAUACAGGUACGUAUGUACAGCUUGGAAACUUUAUUUCUUUUCAAUAUUUGUUGUUUUAGGUGUUUAUUUUUACCCAUGUGUGACUAAGAAACAAAAGUGUUGGUUUUACAAUAUAUUUUCUAGAAAAUUCGUGAAGUACCAGAUCCAGCAGCAGACAUAUUGUUGUUGAACAAGGCAUAGAUUUCACAAUUUCAUUUUUUUCCCUACCGGUUAGUUGCAUUUGGUUGAUUACAAUACAGGUACGUAUGUUCUUAGAAACUUCAUUUCUUUUCAAUAUUUGUUGUUUUAGGUGUUUGUACUAUAUGUUUAUGCAUUUUGAUGUUCAUCCACGUCAACUGAAAUUGAGCUAAUCCCCCCCCCCUUAUAAUCUAAUUUUUAGUUUUCUCACUCAAUACAAAAAGUUUUAAAUCAUGUCUGCUAUAUGGUGGUGAAAUGUAAACUAUUAGAAAUUUGUAUGCUGUAAAAUAAUAAUGAGUAAAUAAAUAUACAUGCAGUGAAACCGUCAAUUGAAAAUAUGACUUUACCCCUUGAAAUUCAAUUUUCUUUAACUAAAACUCAUCAUAGUAUAUUUUCCUAACAAAAACUCAUUGACUUUACCUCUUGAGAAAAAAAAAGGGCCUUCGGGUUUUUACAUAUAUAUAUUUUUUUCACUUCUCCUAUUUAUAUUGUUAGAAAGCUCUUAUUAACUCUUCCCCAUUGAAGUUAUCUGUUCAUAUAUAUGCAUUGAUGUGCAUCAUCUUUCCUCCUUGUGCAUGCUAACAUUCAUCAUUCAAAUUUUCUUGCAAAUUCGUGAAGCACCACUACCAGUACCAGACAUAUGAUUUGUUGCUGAACAAGGCAUAGAUUUCAAAAUUUCAAUUUUACUCUGUUGGACAAUUGCAUUGCGUUGAUUUACGAUACAGGUAUGUAGUACUUCUCGAAAACUUUGUUUUUAUCUUGCUUGACUAAGAAACUAAAAUGUUAGUUUUACAAUCUAGUGCCCACCAGAUAUUCUAUUUCAGGAUUCAGCUCAACAAUUUUAUUGAUUAGGUUUUGACUUCACACAAUUUUGUAUUUUUAGAUGUUUAAAAUAUCCCUAGUAACUUAUGUCAGAUUAAAAACAAAUUUUAAUAUCAUGAUUUCAUUGCAUAUUAAUAAUAAAAGUAUAUGAUUCUACGGUUUUCAUUUGUUUUAUUUUAUUUUUUUUCCUUUUUAAAUUCCCUAGUUGCUUUUCAAAUUUGCAUAAAUUAGGAUUUUUUUUUUGGUUUAAUUUUUCCGUUUUCAAAAUAUGGGAGCAUUAGUUACCAACAAAAUAUAAGAAUGUUAUUUUUCAAAAUUAUUUAAUUAUAUUCUAUAUAAAUAUGGGUAAAUUAUUUUACUACACAUAUAUAAUAACAAUAAAAUGUGCUUAAUGUAUGUAAUAAUACAUGCAAAAUAAUUUACCUACAACAUAAGGGAUGUGAUUUGGUUCAAGUUUAUUUUACCUACAUUUCACAUAUUGAUAUGGGGAAAUUAUUUUAUGUAGAUUAAAGUACCUACUUAAAGAUGAAGAAUGUGAAUUGGUCCAAGAUUUAAUUUACAAUUAUUUCAAAUAUAUAGAUAUAAGUAAGGGGAAUUUUGAUCUAGGUGCAACAUCCCUAGCAUUUAGACUUUUUUAUUAAACUAUUUUCUACAAUUUUGGUGCCACGUUUUCUAAAAUGUCCUUCUUUUUGAAAUUCAAAAUUACAUGAAGUGCCAUUGAUCCACCAAUUUAUUCAAAAAGUAGUUCCGAAAUCUAGCCUUCUUCAAACCAAAUUUAUUAUUUUUAUUAAUCCAAAACAAAGACACAUAUUAUUAAGUUAUCAACCAAUGACAUGUGCCAAAAAUUAAAAUUAAAAUAACCAAAACUAGAAUCAAACGUACCAUAAACUAGAAUUAAACGUACCAACACUAAAACUAAAUGUACCAAUCAACGAUAUAUACAAAAUAAUUCUCUCACUAAAAUGUAUACAUAAAAUAUAAACAUCCACCAUUUUCAUUGUCUUGAAGGUAAAAUUAUAUUUUAAUUUUAGGAGAAAAAAUAUUUUUUACGAAGAAAUUAUAACAAAGAGAUCAUUUGAUAAGCAUCAGGUGCGACUUUGUGGCAAGGCUUCAUAUCGUUUCGGGUUUGAACUAAGUGAUGCUUAGGCCAUCUCCAACCGAAGGGUUCAGAGGGCCAGAAGGUCGAAAAUAGCCCGAAAACCGUCUCCAACCGAGGGCUAGGCCAAAGGGCUCUGGAAUCUGGGAGGGCCCCACGGAAUCGGAGAGGGCUGGAGGGCUGGAGGGUUGGCUGCAUGCAGCCAGCCAGCCCGGGGCUGGCUAUUUUUUUUUAAUGUUUUGUUAUUCCUGUCGGUUAUAACCGACAUGAAUACAUUUAUACUAAAUAAUAGCAUGUAUUCCUGUCGGUUAUAACCGACAUGAUUUCUUAAGAAAAAAUUCAAAUGCAACGGCUACUAGACGUUGCAUUUGAUUUAUUUAUUUAUUUAUUUUCAGUUUUAUUAUUAUUUUUUAUUUACAAAAAUUUUCAUAUAACUUCUAUUUUUUCCUAUAACUUCUAUUUCACAAAAUUUAUUUCAUAUUUUUUUUUAAAUUCCAUUUUUUCCCUAUAACUUCUAUUUCACAAAAUUUGUUUCAUAUUUUUUUUAAAUUCCAUUUUUUUCCUAUAACUUCCUAAGCCAUUAUACAACAUUAAAUUAAAUUAAGUAACAUGAAACAACAUUAAACAAUAUGAAACAACAUUACAUAACAUUAACCAACAUAAAAAUUAUACAACAUGAAACUUAAAUGGAGACGGUUUUUAAAUGGGUUGAAUUUAAGUUGUAGUCUUUAAAUAAUAAAUUAUGUUUGGCCCUAUGGUCUUCGGUUGAAGACGGUUUUUUGUGACAGGGCUAAAACGAGCCAUCUGGCCCUCGGUUGGAGACGGAGGCAAAUAUGACCCUGUACUGUUCAUUAAAAUAUUAAUAUCUUGAAGAAUCUUGGAGGGCUAGAGGGCUAAAACGAGCCAUCUUGCCAACCAUCGGUUGGAGAUGGCCUUAAGCCUUAAAGUAUGAGUCAUAGAGGAAAAAUAACAAAGAUCUACACAAAACUCAAACAAAAGAUAAAGAUAGAGAAAACAAUAGAUAAGUUUUCUGGGUGGGCUCAAAACUGUCAUAAAUAGUGGGCGAUGGAGGAAGGAGGCUUGAAUUUUGAAACGAACCAUGAGGGUUGCUGGAAAAAAUAAAAAAUAAAAAAAUAAAAACUAGAGGAGGUGUGGGGUCUAUGGUAAUGGGAUGAGGAUGAAUGAAAAAACCAAUAAAACAAAAAUAUAAAGAAAUAAAAGAAUUGAAAAAACCCGAUAUAUCACGUUGUUUGCUGUAUCGUGUAAGCUUGACAAUGAGCUUAUAAUAAUGUGAUUCAAAUUCGCAUUUGACGAGAAUCGAACAUAAAACCUCUCACUUACAAGUAAAUAAAAAUAUCACUAAACUGCAAUACUAAGUGAUAAUACAACUUAGAUUUAAACAGGACAAAAAUAUAUGAUUAUUAAUGUUGUGCUGGGGUGCUUCUUUGGUUUAGGCAUCAGAGCACUGAGCGCGGGACUUACAAAAGCCACCAACAAGGAGAAGCAUUCCGGUUGUUGUCUUUGAUUUCAGAAGGAAAUGGAAAUUAUAAUUGCAAUUGCCUCAAAAAUUGGAGAGUCCUUGGUCACCAAUAGGAACAGAGUUUGGCUAUUUGGUUAAUUACCAUUCCAACCUUGAAAGUCUUAGGGGUGAGAUAAAAAAGCUUUUUGACAAGAAUGAUGGAGUGCAAAGAUUGGUAGAUGCUGCCAAAAGGAAUGGUGAAAUCAUCAAACCUGAUGUUCAGAGUUGGCUAAAGAAUGUGAACGACGACAUGGUCAAAAAAGUGUUGCAGUUUGAGGAUGAAAUUAACAAGAAAGGCGAUGUGUGUAUCGAUGGAGCUUGAGUCGGAGAGCCUAUAAGAUUAAACAAGAAGUUCUUCAGCUCCAAAACGAAGGAGCAUUUGAAAAUAUGGCCCAUCCUGCACCUUCACCAGAGAUAUGGUCAACAUUCAAGAAAGGUUUUAAGGAUUUCAAGUCCAGAAUGGCAUACAUGAAUAAGGUGAUAGAGGGUUUGAAGAGGGAACGAGUACGAAUGAUCGGGAUUUGUGGAAUGGGGGGUGUGGGUAAAACCAUAAUGGUGAAAGAAAUCAUCGUAAGAUUGGCAAAACUAGACUUGUUUGAUAAAAUUGUAAUGGCAACUGUGUCUCAAAGUCCAAGUAUUAGGAUGAUCCAGUCGGAAAUUGCAGACAAAAUAGGUUUGAAAUUUGAGGAGGAAUCAGAGCCCGGAAGAGCACUAAAGCUACGUGGGAGACUCAUGGAAAUAAAGAGGAUCCUGAUUGUAUUAGAUGAUGUCUGGACAGAGCUUAAUUUUGAGGCUAUAGGACUCCCUUGUGGAGAUGAUCAUGAAGGGUGCAAAGUUUUGUUGACAUCACGAGAUUCGGAAGUCUGCAACAGGAUGGGAAGUCAACAAAUUAUUGCUGUCCCGAUUUUAACACCAGAAGAAUCACAGGAGCUCUUUCGAGAAAUGGUAGGUGAAUCCUUCAAUGAUCCUUAUUUACGUUCCACUACAAAAGAUGUAUUGAAGGAAUGUGGAGGUUUACCUAUUGCAAUUGUAACUGUUGGAAAAGCCCUAGAAAAGAAAAACAAGUGUGAAUGGGAUGAUGCCCUUAAUCAGCUGCGAAAAUCUACCCCAGUGAACAUCCCUGGAGUGAAUGACAAAGUUUAUUCUAGCAUAAAAUGGAGUUAUGAUAGAUUGGAGAGUGAUGAAGCCAGGUCAUGUCUUUUACUUUGUUGUUUAUUUCCAGAAGAUUAUGAUAUUCCAAUUGAGUAUUUGAUUCGAUAUGGGUGGGGUCGAGGAUAUUUUAGCAACAUCUUUACUUUGGAAGAUGCAAGAAAUAGAGUGCAUUAUUUGGUUGGCCAACUAAAAAGAAGGUUUUUGUUGCUCGAUAGUGGCAAGAGUGAGGCUACAAAAAUGCAUGACGUAGUUCGCGAUGUUGCCAUAUGGAUUGCUUCAAGAGAUCCACAUGGAUUUUUGAUAAGAAGUGAUGCUGAAAAUAAAGGGUGGCCAAAUUUAGCUACAUAUGACCAUUACACUACCAUCUCACUUGUUGGCGAAUUGGAGAUUCAACAUGGUUUGAAAUGCCCAAAACUUGAGCUUCUACAGACGAUGGAAGGACGUUUUUCAGAAGGUAGCAUGGACAACAUUUGUAAGGCGAUGAAAGAACUGAAGGUUUUAGCUUUGGUGGGAAUGGAAAUGGAAGACCUAGGCUCAUCAAGAUCACUAGGAUUACUGAAGAAUCUGCGGACCUUGUGCCUAGAUGGGUCUAAUUUUGAUGGCACGUCUACUGAUGUUAUUGGGAGUUUGGAGAAUUUAGAAAUCCUCAGCUUUCGGGAAUGUGAUUCCAUGCGUGAGUUGCCGAGGGAAAUUGGACGACUUAAACAGUUAAGGUUGUUAGAUACGACAGACUGUCGGAAACUUGAGGUGAUUCCACAUGGUAUCUUAUCCAGCUUAUGUAGACUUGAAGAACUGUAUAUGCAUUGUAGCUUUAAUAAAUGGGAAAUUGGAAGAGGAAGAGAAGAAAAGGGGAUGGCAAGCAUUUCUGAGGUGAUGUCUCUGUCUCAUCAUUUGAAGGUUCUAGCCAUAAAUAUACCCAAUGUCAUCCACUUGUUGCCAAAAGACAUAGUCUUUGAAAAGCCCAACAAUAAGAUUCGGUAUAUGCCUUGCAAGAUGGACAGAAGCAGUCAAAGAAUUUUUUAGGACAACUUAUGCAUUCGAAAAUUGUUUGAUGAUUGAAAAAAGUGAUGCAAGGGAGUUGGAGGAGAGUCAAGCAGUUAGACUUUUGUUGAAAAAAUCUAAAAAUUUGACUUUGCGCAAAGUUAAGAAUUUCUCUGUCCUCACUGAUUUAGACCAAGAAGGAUUUCAAGAUUUGAAAGAUUUGGAUCUUCGGUAUUGUCCACAUAUCGAGUAUCUUGCAAAUGGAACAAGUGGGUUUUUGACCAACCUAAGAAUCAUUCAAUUGAAAUUUUGUGGUGUCUUAAAAUAUGUCUUUUCAUUAUCAGUAGCAAGAAACUUGGUACAACUCCAGGAAUUAAACAUUUAUGGAUGUGAUCAAAUGGAAGAAAUUGUGUCAAAGCAAGGGAGAGAACAUGAGGAGGAAGCCGAUAUAAUAUCUUUCCAUAAAUUAACCAAUUUGACUCUCGAGGGUCUAGGGAGUUUGGUUGGUUUCUUCCAAGCCAACAAGCUAUACUCCAACCAAGAAGAGGUAUGUCCCACUCUCCAAUCUCUAUGAGAUGAGGAGGCAGCCGAUAUGUGGAAAUUUGAAAUUAUUUAACUGAUAAUUAUUUUUCUUUUUCAGGAAAAAACGGCAAGGGUUGAGCAUCAAUCUGCAGGCAUAUUUGAAAAAGCAAUAUUUCCAUCAACGUGCAUUUCAUGGUUUCCAAGUUUAGAAAAGGUGAGAUUGGGAUUUAUGGAGUUUGAAGGCGUGCUAUUUGAUCUUAAAAUCCAUGUAGUUAUGGAUGGGCAGACAGCUCCAACUUUUCCCCAGUUACGUGGGUUGGAGAUAAUUUUUUGUUCGUUUACACAUUUGUGGAAAAACAUUCCAUCUGGAUUUCAGGGCUUCCGAAAUUUGAGAUGUUUGGAUAUAAGAGAAUGUUGUGGUCUAAAAUAUGUGUUCUCGCAUUUAAUUGCCCGAGAACUUUUGAAUCUUGAAGAGGUAAAGAUAUCUAGAUGUCCGGACAUGGAAACUAUAGUUAGAAUCAAAGAGCAAAAUGAAGAAGAGGCGACAAAACACAUGAUUUUGUUUCCGAAACUGAACACAUUUGAACUACAAUACCUGCCUCGUCUCACAAGUCUUUGUCCAGAGGGAUUUACAUUUCUAUGGUCAUCCAUAAAAAAUAUGCACGUGAACAAAUGUGAAAAUUUGAAGACAUUGGUGAAUAACUUGAAGAAGGAUUCAACAAGUCAUGAUUUCAGCACUUCUCCAACACGUUCAUCGAAUUGGUGCCCUGCUGGAUGUGGAUGCGCACCAUACUCAAGACCAAACGCCCACCGCCCCAUUGAAAUAUUGCCACGUCCAAUUAACCUGGAGGUAAGCUUUUAAAUCAGGUUCAAUUAACCUCUAUAAGUACAACUUUUAAUUAGUAUUGUAUCAUCUUGUUGAUCGUGUUUAAUUUUCUAGAUUACACCAACUAAUCUUGAAGACUCAAAUGAUGAUGAUAAUCUCGAAAAUCUUACUGUAAGUGACUGUAAUUCGAUGGAAGUGAUUUUCCAACUCAAGGGACCGAAGCAUGAAGAAAGUAGUCACUCUGUUGAAGCAUUCAAUAAAUUGAGUUCCUUGCAGUUAUAUACAUUGCCAAGUUUAACGCGUGUUUGGGAGACGGGUAGUUCACAACCGAUGUUUACGGGAAGCAGCUUCGGAAACUUGAAAUCGCUGCGGGUCUAUUAUUGCAACCAGUUGAAAUACUUGUUUUCAUCGUCCAUAGUCAAACUUCUUGUGAGUGUAGAGAACAUAGAAGUUCAGAAGUGUGAGCAGAUGGAAGAAAUCAUUGCCGCAGAAGAAGAAACAGCUGAAAUAAUUACAUUACCUAAAGUGAAGUCCAUCAAGCUUUUAAGGCUGCCAAAACUCAAGUAUUUUUGUGGUGAAGCUUAUACUUUGAAGUUGCCGUCUUUGGAGUUAUUGAAGGUUACUGACGUGCAAAACUUAAGCCUAUUAGCUCCUAAACUUACCGGCACACAUCCCCGAUUGCAAGUACGCACCGCGUUGGGAGUGGCUGAAUGGAAGGGGGACCUCAAUGCCACUCUAAGGAAUAUUUACGUCACAAGGUAUGCUUUAAUAUAAGGUUUUUAAUUUCCAAUCAUUUAUGGCAAACAGCACAAAAAUUUCGACAACAAAUUUAGGCAAAGCAUAAUCAACAGUUCAGAUUUAGUUUGACGAAAGUGUAAUCAAAAUUUAGUCAAAAAUACACAUACACACACAUAAAUAUGUAUGUGUGUAUGUGUGUGUGUGUGUGUGUGUGUAUAUAUAUAUAUAUGUAUGUGCGUAUGUGCACACUAGAGUGUAUUUAGAUAUGUUUUUCUUCUUUUGAAAACUCAAUUAUAUCUCAAGAAAAUAUCUGUCUUUUAUUUCUAACACAGGAAGGGUGAAGAUGAUGAAAUCGACAGGAAGGAUGAACACAAUUAAUCGAUCAAGCACAUCUUCAACUUCUUCUAGGUUUAGUAAAAACUGCUAUUUUCGGAAACACAUAUACAAUAAGCAUAACCGUUUCAACUUAUUUGAGUUUCAGUGAUUUCUAAUAUUCUCCAAUGCAUGCAGGACAACAAUUCAAAGAAGGUUGUGGCUUCAACAAUUCGUUUACCAUCUCAUAUGUACAAACCAAUAAAAUGUCAUUUGUUGCACCAGACUUUCAUUCCAAAAAUACAUCGUCAAUGACAUUUAUCUAAGUUCUCAUUAUUAAUGUUUGUAUCUAAGUUCGCAUUAUUAAUGUUUGUUUAUUUGCCCGAAGAAAUGAGAAAUGCUUAUGUAAAAAUAAAUACAACAACAACAACAACAACAAAGCAUUUUCCCACUAAGUGGGGUCGGCUAUAUGAAUCCUAGAACACCAUUGCGCUCGGUUUUGUGUCAUGUCCUCCGUUAGAUCCAAGUACUCUAAGUCUUUUCUUAGAGUCUCUUCCAAAGUUUUCCUAGGUCUUCCUCUACCCCUUCGGCCCUGAACCUCUGUCCCGUAGUCACAUCUUCGAACCGGAGCGUCAGUCGGCCUUCUUUGCCCAUGUCCAAAUCACCGGAACCGAUUUUCUCUCAUCUUUCCUUCAAUUUCGGCUACUCCUACUUUACCUCAGAUAUCCUCAUGCCCAAUCUUAUCCUUUCUCGUGUGCCCACACAUCCCACGAAACAUCCUCAUCUCCGCUACACCCAUUUUGUGUAUGUGUUGAUUCUUCACCGUCCAACAUUCUGUGCCAUACAACAUCGUUGGCCUUAUUGUCGUCCUAUAAAAUUUUCUCUUGAGCUUCAGUGGCCUACGACGGUCACAUAACACGCCGGAUGCACUCUUACACUUCAUCCAUCCAGCUCGUAUUCUAUGGUUGAGAUCUCCAUCUAAUUCUCCGUUCUCUUGCAAGAUAAAUCAUAGGCAGCAAAAAUGGUCGCUUUUUGUGAUCUUCGCUAGAUUGCUCCGGUCAUUAGUGUGGAUAAGUAUAUAAAUGAAUAGAGAUAGGAAAGCAAACACAAGAUGUACGUGGUUCACCCAAAUUGGCUACGUCCACGGAAUAGAAGAGUUCUCAUUAAUUGUGAAGGGUUUACACAAGUACAUAGGUUCAAACUCUCCUUUAGUGAGUACAAGUGAAUGAUUUAGUACAAAUGACAUUCGGAAAUAUUGUGAGAGAAUGAUCUCGUAAUCACGAAACUUCUAAGUAUCGGAGUGUGGUAUCGUCUUGACUUGCCUUAUCUGUCUCAUAGGUAGAUGUGGCAUCUUCUCUGGAAGUACUCUUCCUCCAUCCAGGGGUGGUAUCUUUAACUGGUGGAGAUGCACAAGGUAAUGUAUCAAUUUCACUUGAAGCUUACUUGUAGUUUCAGGCUUGGUCAAGCGCGAUACAAACCAUGUAGUAGGAGUCCCCCAAGUCGCCGAGCUAGGGGAUCUACUGAAAGAGGUGACAGACAAGGUAAGCAAUCAGAGCUCCGGCUGAUUGUUCACCUUCUCCCCAUCUUGCAGCAGCAUGAAGGAUAAAGAGAAGAAAAAAUGAGAAGAGAUGAUAUGGGAUACUUUUGCUUUUGAAGAAGUAACUUUCCACAGGCUUAUUCUUGAACUGAGCUGGAGGGUUUUCUGGUUUCCUCCAGAGCCGACUGAAGAAUUUGAGGGUCAAAACAAGUCCAUCAAAUCUAGAGUACGUUCGACCCUGCUGAUAUGGGAUACUUUUGCUUUUGACAGAGUAAUGGAUGUAUCGGAACGUGUGCUGUUACGCUUGUCUCCACAUGCUUCCUUGUAUCCUUCGCACUUGCCCUAUCUGUUCCUCAAGCAGAUGCGGUAUCUUCCCUGGAAACAUAAGAUGUUGAAGAUGAGUACUCGAGAGCAAUGUCAGGUAAGUAAUCAGGUAAGGGGUUCCAGGCAGUCAGUUCCUGGCUGGAAGCUUGAUUCCAAGUGCUGACUGAUUACUCUCUUUCUCCUUGUCUUGCAGGUAAAAACAAGGCCAAAGGAAAAGACAGGGAAAAAGCAUGAUAUGGGAUACUCUUGCUUUUAAUCUUGAUGAUAUGAGAUAUUCUUGCUCUAGUAUAGCUUGUUUGCAGAGGUAUUAUCGGGGGGAAAGAAAGCUGAAUAUUUCGAAAGGCUUCGUUGGGAGUGCCCUCUCAGAUAUGAGGAAGGGUUGAGCAUUUUUGCAGGUCUGCCUGUCCGUUGGGGAUGGAGGUCGACAUAUAUAGGAGUCUCCCUAACAACAAGUAGUAAUGCUAUUCCUUUACCCUGCUUGGUCAUAGCACGGUAGUGGGAGCUGCCAGCUUCACAUGUUUUAACUCUGUCAGAGCACUUUGAAAAAGUGGUCUGUGGUAUCUGGCUCUCGAGAAGUCUUCGACAGAAUGCCCAUAAUUUUCGCAAAGCUGAGUGUGUGUGUGACAGGUGCUGAUAAGGCUAGAAAAGUAGGUGUCUCUUCGAUUUCUGAGAUCGGCCCUCGUGGUCUCUGAGCAGCCCAGCUUUUGAGAAAUCGAGCGUCUCUUCGAUUGAUUCGGAGAACGAUGCAUCUUCGAUUUUUAAGAAAGCAAUCAUGCUGGGGGUCUGGCUCUCGAGAUUUGGGGAGCAGUGUCACUUCGAUUUUUGAGAAAGUAAUCAUGUUGGGAGUCUGGCUCUCGAGAUUCGGAGGGCGGUGCCUCUUCGAUUUUGGAGCAAGCAAUCUUGUUGGGAGUGUUUUCUCGAAUGUGAGUAAAGGUUGGGCAUGUUUGCUAGUCUACCUUGCCACGAAGCACAGAGGUUGACACACAGGGAUUUUCCAAUUAUCCAGCAAUGGUACUGUUCCUUUACCCUCUCUUCGAUUUUUGAGAAAGUAGUCAUGUUGGGAGUCUGGCUCUCGAGAUUCGGAGGACGGUGCCUCUUCGAUUUUGGAGCAAGCAAUCUUAUUGGUAGUGUUUUCUCGAGUGUGAGUAAAGGUUGGGCAUGUUUGCUAGUCUACCUUGCCACGAAGCACAGAGAUUGACACACAGGAACUUUCCAAUUAUCCAGCAGUGGUACUGUUCCUUUACCCUUGUGGGUAAUAAUAUGGUAGCUAGACCUUCAAAAUUUAUGGGUCUAAACUUGUUAGUGCUGUUUCUUUGCUAUUCUUUUACCUUUCUUGGCCAGAGCGAUGUAGUGGGAGCUGCAAGCUUCACGUGCUCAACUUUGGCAGAGAACUUUGGCAAAGUUAUCUGUGGUACCCAUGAGCUAUUGUUGCGUGUGGGAAGUGGGUGAUUGAACAGUAAGAUUCAUGUGUUUUCUACUUCCUCAGAAGUCUUCGACAGAAUGCCCAUAAUUUCCGCAAAGCUGAGUGUGCGUGUGACAGGUGCUGACAAGGCUGGAAAAGUAGGUGCCUCUUCGAUUUCUGAGAUCGGCCCUCGUGGUCUCUGAGGAGCCCAGCUUUUGAGAAAGCGAGCGCCUCUUCGAUUUCUGAGAUCGGCCUUCGUGGUCUUUGAGCAGCCCAACUUUUGAGAAAGCAAACGCCUCUUCGAUUUCUGAGAUCAACCCUCGUGGUCUCUAAGCAGCCCAACUUUUGAGAAAGCAAACGCCCUCUUCGAUUUCUGAGCAGGCGCCUCUUCGAUUUCUGAAAGCUCCGUCGAGUGCAGAUUUUUAUAGGGGCUGGCAUUAAGUUCCAAAGCACACUUGAAUCUCCACCAGUAGAAGCUCCAUUCUUGCACUUCUAAGAUCUUGAUUUGUCCGACCUCUUCUCUCUUCAACACCUUUGAAAAUGUCUGGCCCCUCCGACCGUCGUUUUGACUUGAACCUUGUUGAAAGAGGCAGCCCCGCCUUCUCCAGACAACAUAUGGCGCCCAUCCUUCGUCUCCCCUACUGGUCCUCUUACCGUUGGGGAUUCCGUGAUGAAGAAUGAUAUGACCGCUGCGGUGGUGGCCAGGAACCUUCUCACUCCCAAAGAUAACAGACUACUUUCCAAACGGUCUGAUGAGUUAGGCUGUUAAGGAUUCUCUGGCUCUCAGUGUUCAGUGUGCAGGUUCUGUGUCUAAUAUGGCCCAACGCCUAUUUGCUCGAACCCGCCAAGUUGAAUCAUUGGCGGCUGAAGUGAUGAGUCUCAAACAGGAGAUUAGAGGGCUCAAGCAUGAGAAUAAACAGUUGCACCGGCUCGCACAUGACUAUGCUACAAACAUGAAGAGGAAGCUUGACCAGAUGAAGGAAACUGAUGGUCAGGUUUUACUUGAUCAUCAGAGAUUUGUGGGUUUGUUCCAAAGGCAUUUAUUGCCUUCGUCUUCUGGGGCUGUACCGCGUAAUGAAGCUCCAAAUGAUCAACCUCUGAUGCCUCCUCCUUCUAGGGUUCUGUCCAGUACUGAGGCUCCGAAUGAUCCCCCUCCGGUGCCUUCUCUUUCUGGGGCUCUACCGACUGCUGAGACUUCUCCUAAGCAACCUUUGUGAAGGCUCCCUCUUGUUUGUUUAUUUUGACUCAUGUAUAUGUACAUAUUUGUAGCUUAUCGGGGAUAUCAAUAAAUAAGCUUUCCUUCAUUUCAACGUAUUGUGUUAAAUACACCAAAGCCUUCUUCGCUAAGUUCUUUGAAUUUUCUUUUGUUGAAGCUUGUAUGUUGAAGCUUUCUGAGUGGAGCAUGUAGGUUGGGGUAGUGUUCCCUUAAUUUCCCGAGUGAGGAAAACUUCUCGGUUUGAGACUUGGAAAAUCCAAGUCACUGAGUGGGAUCGGCUAUAUGAAUCUUAGAACGCCAUUGUGCUCGGUCCUGUGUCAUGUCCUUCGUUAGAUCCAAGUACUCUAAGUCUUUUCUUAGAGUCUCUUCCAAAGUUUUCCUAGGUCUUCCUCUACCCCUUCGGCCCUGAACCUCUGUCCCAUAGUCGCAUCUUCUAAUCGGAGCGUCAGUAGGCAUUCGUUUACUAAUUCAUAUGCAUAAUUUAAACAUUUUCAAAUGCUUAUCAUCAUUUACUAAUUCAUAUGCAAAUUUAAACAUUUUCAUAUUCAUUAGAAGCAUACAGAAAAGAUACAUGGCACACAAGAUAUGUACUUUUCGACGUAGGAGCUCAAUUCUUGUAUACAGACACACUUCCUUUAGCUUGCAUUGGACCUCGUACUUUCCACUAAUGUAAAUGCCACAUCAAAAGUGAAAGAGCGAUUCCGGAAACCAAUUACAUCCAUGUGCUUGCACUUCAAUGCAGAAACAGAAUAAAACAUAAUCCUAAAGUUUUCGGACCAUCAUUAAACACGCAAGCAUAAUAAACAUUCACAAUCCAGCAAAUGGGUGUUCAUAAUUUCAAGCAGAAACAAAAGUCAAAGAAAAUAAUGAAUUAAACUCUGAAAAAUUUUGUACUCAAGUAUCUCCCGUGGUCUUGAACCAAGUCUCAGCACAUUGCUUAUAAGCAGCACCCAAAUCCCCCUUGCAAGAACACCCCAAGUCAAUCGGGACCCCAGAGGCAAGGUCGGUCCCACCACCUCCCUCCAAACCCAAGUGGCAAAUCCUGCAAUUUCUCUAACUUUACUCAAAUGCACCACCUUCUUCACCUCCGAAACCCCGCUCUCUCCACUGAACAGCACUGGAUGUCGUCAGAGUCAUCCGAGUCUGACGCACCGCUGCCUCUGGUGGCCAAAAGGCGGUGGUGGGUUGUCUCGGGAGCUGACAUUCGUGAAACCCAGAAAGAGAAAUGGCAUGAAAUCAACGCUCAAACCACCACCACGUCCACCCUCUUGACCUCGCGAGCUCGAACCCGAGCUCCGUUUCGUAGGAAACCAAAACUAGAGGCUCUAGUUCGAAGCUCCGACGAGAAAGAAACUUCCCGACGAAGUUCCCGACACUUUUCCGACCGCUCCACACCGUAUUGGAAGAGUUGGAAGCCACCACACAACUCCCUAACGUCCCUGGGUCAAGUUUGACGCAAUCCCCAACUCGAAUACACCCGGCUUCGAAGCUUUGGGUUUUUUUGCGGAGACUUUCAGGCCAAUUUCAGUACAUGUACGUCUGCUUUUUGGAGUUCCAAGAGGUAUAAACUUGUUCCUUGUGCUUCAUUUCCAUAUAAAGAACGUAAAAAAUGGUUGAGAAAUGAGCAAGUUAUGGCCUUUUGAAAUUGUCCUCAGUUCCCGUCGAUUUCAGGGACCUUCCGGCGUGUUUUUGGCUAAAUCACGGCGAGUUAGCCGUUGCUAUGGGUACCAAUCUGUUCAUCUCAUUCCGAGGUAUCCUUUCCAUUCUGAAUCACUCAAUUUAGUUGAGAUAUGUGGAAGUUAUGAUGAUUUAAAAAUUUCCCAGAAAACCGGUGAUAAACUGCAUAAUCCGGCGACUCCGCGACCGGAACCUGGUAAAAAGUAGAUGAAAAAACGCAGUUCUAAAACAACUAAAACACAUAAUUGCAUAUCAUUCCUAAAACACAGUGAAAUUUGUGAGAGUGGCCUAAAUAGAAAGAAAAAGAUAUGAAAUAAAGUUCCUUUGAAAUCGUAACCAGUAAAAGACCCGAUCAUGUUCAGGAAAGGUAACAUCACAUAUCUAACUUAAACUAGGGAAUGUCAUACUUAAUGUGAUCAUAACUAAUAACUUUUAUUUUUUACAAACUGCUAAUAACUUAUAGAGUAAAUUUAAGCAAUUGUCCCUCAACUUUAGUAAAAUAGGAGCAAUGGUCUUUCAAUUAAAAAUCUAUUACUAUUGGUCCCUUAACUCAUCAAAAUGUGUAGCUCCCUUAACUCAUCAAAAUGUGUAGCUAUGAUCAUUUUCUUUAACUUCAUCAAAAUUUGGUCAAAAUGAGUUAUGUUGGAAAGACCAUUGCUACAAUUGACUUAAAGUUAGAGGGACCAUUUCUCCAAUUGAAUUAAAGUUAAGGGACUAUCUCUCUAGUUUGAUUAAAGUUGAGAGACUAUUGGUAAUGUAUUUUUAGUUGAGGGAUUAUAGUUGCACGUUUUGAUAAGUUGAAGGACCAAUGAUAAUGAAUUUUUAAUUUAGAGAUCAUUGUUCUGAUUGAGUUAAAGUUGAGGGAUCAUUACUAAAAUUUACUCUUAACUUAUAAAGUACCAAGUAUUUGAAUUUUUAAAUUAACCUGGUGACAUUCAACUGUCGAUAUUCCCCGGUUCUGGCAUCCACACCAAUCAAUGUUGUAAUUCUUAAUCCUGUAGUUUGUAAGAUUAUCUUUCCUACCUAGAAUGUGAAUAAUCUUUAUAUAACUACACUUAUAUAUGCUCUAAAUUUACAUUUAUGUAGUACGGGUACAUUCUGCACAGCACACCCUCACUACUGGUUUAAAUUACUUAUAAGCUUCGGUUUUAUUUAUUCAAAUUUUUGCUCAUCAUCUAUACUUUAUGACUUUCGUCAAUUUCCAGGUGUCGGCUAGUACGCCUUGACUUCAGUUGGGGUGUGUCAAAGUUUGUGAAGCACCACUUCCAAUUCCAAGCAUAUGAUUUGGUGUUGAACAAGGCAUAAAUUUCAUAAUUUCACUUUUACUCUGGACAGUUGUAUUGUGUUGACUUACAAUACAGGUACUACAUAUUUCUCGAAAACUAUUUCAUUCCAAUAUUUGUUGUUUUAGACGUUUGUUUUUACUCUGCCUGUCCAAGAAAUAAAAGUGUUGAUUUUACAUUCUAGUACCCACCAUAUACUAUAUUUCAGCUGAGCUCCAAUACUAAGAAACCUAAGGAAACCAUCACCUAUUAAAAAAUAAUCAACUAAAAGUGAGCUAAUCCCCCUUAUAAUCAAAUUUUUAUUAUUUUCUAAACCGAAAAAAAAAAUAUGGAUUGGGGUAGCUAGUAGAAAUGAACAAAUAAAAUAUCAUGUGACAGUGAGUUUGGGAACCAUACAAAUGCAUGUGUUAUUUUUAUCAUGCUACAUAGAAAGUUUGAAAUCGCUUCUGUGAUGCAAUGGUGAAAUGUAAACUAUUCAAAAUUUGCAUACUGUAAAAUAAUAAUGAUAAAAUAAAAAUACACAUGCACUAAAAUGAUCAAUUGAAAAUAUGAUUGUACCCUCAAAGUUCAAUUUUCUUUAACUAAAACCCACCAUAGUAUAUUCUCCUAGCAAAAACUUAAUAACAAGGCUCCAACUCAGAAAUUUUCUUAAUUAAGUUUGACUUUUGCACAAUUUUGUAUUUUUGGAUGCCUAAAAUACACCUAAUAACUUAUAUCGGAUUGAACACAAUAUUUAAUGUCAUGAUUUCAUUGCAUAUUAGUAAUAUAAUGAUACGAUACUAGGGAUUUCAUCCGUCUUAUUUAUUUCCUUUUAAACUCCUUAGUUGCUUUUGGUAUAUACAUGAAAUUAGGAUUGCUUUUGGUUUAGUUUUUCCCUUUUCAAAAUGUGUGAGGAUUACGACAUGAUUGUAAUACCAUACACGUGUAAGAUGAAUGACAUGUUUGUAGAAUGAUACGUGUAAUAUUGAUCAUACACAUGUAAGCUAAAUAAUAUUAUGAUACACUAGCUAGCCGCAACUAAUGUAAGCUGAAUAAUAUGAUCAUUCACUAUAAUGUCUGAUAUUAAUUCAUAAAAUCUGGUUUUCCCCUAAACGUUACGGAAAUCAUAUUUAUCUAGGCAUGCUUAAUAUUUGAUAAAGAAAAAACAUUUCUUAAAUAAAUGUCCACUCACACUUCCGGCUAGCUCUCCCUUGAGGAGCCUUGUCUACCAAAUAGGUAAGUUCAAGCAACUUCAAGAGAGAGUUUCCUCCACAUUAAGUCUUAAACAUCUACUGGACAGCAGGCAAUUCAAAACCAAAGCUGCUGAAUACAACUAGAAUAAACAAGGAAUCGGGCUAAGCUAUUGUCUUCAUCAUAACAUGAUUUUGGCCCCCAUUUUCUAAUUUCGUUCCACAUUUUCACAUUCUUUCCAUGAAUUUUAUAAUUCCUAUGCAACAGAGUUCAUUCAUUGCCUAUUCACAACAUUACAAGGUUCUACAGAGUUCAAUCCCACACCAUGUUAUAGACAUGCUUCAACUAUCAACCUGGAACGUAAUCGUUAGGGUUUCAACAACUUCAGAGAUACAACAAUUACCAUAAGUCUCAUCUCCGACAUUCAUACAGAAAAUCGAAUACAAUUCGAAAUCAAGAAUUAAUCCCAAAACUGAAAGUUGAAAAUUCGGAAAAAGAACUUACAUUGGAGAACAGCCCACGAGAAGAGGAUCAUUUCUACGUCUUAGGUCGAGGUCCAAUUACUGCGAUAUUGGCCGGAAGUUGGAUGGAAAACCCUGGGUCACCGUUUCUUAAAUUGGAAAUUGCGGAAAACCGCCUACGAAUUUAUAGAAACGAACUUGGGGAUUGGAUACAGGACGGCAAGAGCAUUCAGGAUGUGUAGUUUGACAGCCUUUGGUGACCUGUGGACGACAGAGCUGUUGCGUUGGCAGUCGUCGGCUUGGGCCGCUGUUGCAGCGUGUGAAAGAGAAGAGGGAGCGAGGAGAGACAAUGGGUUUCUCCCACUUUUUGGAUCUUAAUUCUUUUCCACAUUUUUUUAUAUAGAAUAAACCAUAUUAUUUAUCACUAAAAGUGCGUUUGGUAUGUAAGAUGGGACGGAACACGUUUUGAUGAUAAUAAUAGCUAGAAGUAAUAAUGUAAUAUAGUUCAAAUUCGUUUUUGAUAAUAAUCAAAUAUAAAAGAGAAUUGUUAUUAGCAUUCCAAAAAUCUCAUUAUACACUCCUCACAAGUGUAUUUUUCUUUCUAAUUAUAGAAAGUUUGGAGUGCCAAAUAAGAUUUUUAAAUUGCUAAUAACAAUUUCCUAAAUUCUCUCACUUAUAAAUUACAAGUAAAGAAAAAUACUAUUAAAAUUUUUCCACUUUUAAUACACAUCUAAAUAAAAAGAGACAAAAUGAAAAGGAAAAGAAAUAAAAUAAUUUGAAAUAGAAAUAAAAAUUAAGGGUAAAUCUCAUAUUACUACCCUCAUGUUUCAUGGUUUUCAACAUUUAGUACAUCAAGUUUUUUCGUCCCAGAGUCAUACCUAAAGUGUAAAUUUUGGGACAGUCUCAUACAUCCGUUAGUCAAACUGUUAAGUCUCCUGUUAACUGAUGACAUGGCGCCCAUGUGGACAAUAACUGAGUUCCACGUGUCAUUAAGUGGUCCACGUGGUUUUUUUUUUUUUAGAGAAAGAGUUUUAAAAAAAAAUUUCCUGCCCAAAAUUUUUAACCCAUAAUCGUGUACCUUACAUUUUUCCCGCCAAAUUUUUUUGGAAAAAAAAUAAAAUUAAAUAGGGAAAAAACCCCAACUUUCAACUCUAAAUCUACAAAUUCAAUUCCAAAAAAACUUUGAAUUCUAACUCUGCAAAUUCAUCAUUUAAACUACCAACUACCAACAAAGUUCAAUUGUCAACAACUUUCAAUUCAUAACAAAUUUCAAUAUACACCCUCCAAUUCACACGAAAGUAUCAAAAGACCACAACUUUAACAACUAAUGGGUCAAGGUGUUCUUCCAAAAACCAAAAUAAGAGUACCAAAAACACCAAAGAUAUGUCCAAAACACUAAAAUCUGUCAGAAAGUUGUUUCCAAAAAACCUAAGGGCAUAUUCAACUAUAACAAAAUGAACCCUUAAACAACCUAAAGCAUUAAAGCAACAUCAUGGAACAUUCCUCCUCCUUUUCUAACCUCUUGCGGUAGACUUUGAAGUGGUUUGAGAGGCUUGAGUUGGCUGAGAUAAAGGUUGUGGAGCUUUCUGAAUGCAUGUUGGCUGUGAUGACUGAGAGGGUUAUGAUACCUUAGAUGUUGAGGCCCAAGUAAUGAACCCAAAUAGCAUUAGCAUUGACAGAUACUACACUUCACAAAUAACAAAUUCACUUAAGAAAUGAAAAAUCAACAAAAAAAUAUCUAAAUUAUACCUCAUUUUUCUUGCUUUUUCUUCCUUUUCUAGCAGUUGAAGGAGGAUGAGUGGUUAGGCAUCUGGCCUUGUUGUGUCCCGAGUCCUUGCAAACACUACACUUCACACUUUUUUUGCCCUCUCUUGCUUAACUUGAUUCAUUUUCAUCAUCCUCCCUAUUCUCCUCUUUUUUGGUUUCCCAGGUUGCCUUUUAAAAGUUGGAGGAAGAAUGCAUUUGUUUUCAGAUGGCUCCUAAAAUUUCAUGCCUUGGAUGGGUUGAAUCAAGUUUUCGUAAGCUUCAAAGUACUUCUCCUUCUUGUACCAAGAGGAAACAAAUUCCUCAGGUUAUCUCCUUGCAUAAUAGAUGGCCGAGCAACCAUGUAUACAAGGAAAGUCUGUCAAAUCUUAUCUUCUACAUAAGCAAGUGCAACCAUUCAAAUCCACCACAAAUAUAUUGCCUCUGCCUUCAUCCACUUCAAAAUUUUCUCCUAGUGUGUGAGCUUUUCAGUUUGUACUCCUCCAACAUCUUCUGGAUUUUUUGGCAGAUAGCUUCUUUAUCCUUCCACAUUGCAUCUCUUCUUAACCAUAUCCUCUUCAUCAAUAAAACUCUUAUAGUUUCCAACAUGGUAAUAAUAGGCUUGUCCCUAGACCUUAGGAUAAAAGAAUUAAAGCUCUCUCAGAGGUUGUUUAAGAGAAUGUCACACUGAGUGUGUGUCUCAAAGUGUGAUCUACUCCAAUACAAGGCUGGUCUCUUUACCAACCGUUUAUAAGCUUCGACAUUCAACCUAUUCACCUCAGUCAUACUCUCUCUAAAAUCAGUGAUGGUUAUUACGUUGGCAGCAUUCCACAAGGCAUCCUGUAAUCAUUUCCCUUUAAACCCAUCUGCCUUGUAGUUGGUGUAUAAGUGCCUAACACAUAACCGAUGAUUACAAUUAGGAAGCACUUUCUCAAAAGCUGGUAUUAAACCUUUUUGUUUGUUAGAAAUGAAAGUCUAAGCACGCUGAUUCACAAUUCCCAAGUCAGCAGCUAGCAGCUCCAGAAACCAAACUCAACUGUCCUUGUUCUCGAGCUCUACUAUGGCAUAUGCAAUAACCCAAGUUUGGUUAUUUGCAUCUAUUCCCACUGUAGACAGUAACUGGCCCUUGAACACUCCCUUCACGUGACAACCAUCCAACCCUACAAGCUGCCUAUAUCUAUUCUUAAAUCCAUUUUUGCAAGCCCUUAAACAAAUAUAAAUCCUCUGAAAUAUCACAUGAGCAUCAUCAUAGGGCAGCACCUUCAUCUGAACUGUACUACCCGGGUUUGUCCUCCUAAGCUUAUCACAGUACUCCCACAACUUUGUGUAUUGAUCCAUGUUACUCCCCUCAAGGAUUUUCAAACACUGUGCUAUCACUCUGUAUGCUGUCUUAAGGUGGAUCUCAACCAUUCUUGCCUCCUUCAUUGUCUCUAUAAAUGUAGUGAUGGGCAUGCUUGGGUUGAGUCUGAACUUGUCUACAUACCUCUUCACAAGCCAUGCCACUUUGCAGUUAGGAUUUUCCCUCCAAAUCCUCGGACAUUCCUAUUUCCCAACAUAGGUUUUCACUUGCAUUGAAUCUUCAUUGUACAUCCUGGAAGCAUACAAUCUCCAUAUACAGUUUUUCUCACACCUUGCACUAAUAUUCCAUUUCUCAUUCCUUUUUAGCUUAAUAGAAAGUGCACCAUGCUUAAUGGAGUGAGACCACACUGCCUCUCUCAACUGUGUAGCAUCUUUGAACUUCAAUCUCUUUUCAAACUUUGGAUCAUCUUUGUCAGCUUCUUCAUUAAACUCAGGGUAGAUGACAUUCUCAUCACAUUCUGAACCUGAAUCGUCAACACUGUGCAGGCCAUCUAAGUUUUGUCUCUCAUCAUCAAGGAGAACGUCUUCUACAUACCUUGCAUUAAUAACGUCUUAUGGAUGUUGAUUCCCAAUCCCUUCACCCCUUUCAGCAUCUCCAAUAACACUUUCUACAGCCCUAUCAUCUACUGCAAGACGAUCAUCAUCUUCCUCUACAUUUACUACCACAAACAAUGCAUAUUUGUUAAAAACAUAAACUUUGCAAAAAUAAUUGAAUACUAAAGUUAAAAUUGUUAAAAUAAAUGUUUCAAAAUUUUACCUUUAUUAGCUUCUACUUUGGCCCCUUCAUUAACUUAUUCAGCUUCGUGACCUUCUUCCGUUUCAUCACUUUCAUUAUCAGCAUUGAGAUGACCAUCUUCAGCCUCAUCUCCAUUUCCUUGUUCUCCCUCAGUUGCUUCAGCCUCAUGUUCAUCAUCACCAUUGUAUGCUAUGUCAUUCAAAAGACAUAGCCGUUUUUCUAAGUGAUCCGCACCCCUUUUUGCUCUACCCUUCUUCAGUUUUGAUCUACUUCCCUUUGUAAUCGAAAUCGCCACCCUCGAUUCCUCAAUAUCUUCUAUAAUGACACCUUUUUAAUAUGCCACUCUCAUCUAGAUUCAUCAAAAGCUUAUGUUUCAAGGCAGCUUGCUUUGGACUUAGAUGUUCUAGGUACAUUUCUAUUUACCUAGCCCCUGGAACAUACUUGCACAUUUCACCCACAUCUUGGUCCUGUUCAAUAAGCCUUAAUCCCUCCCUAUAAGACAUCCCAAGAAUCCUAUAGUGAUACAACAUAAACCCAUCAUAUCCUAACUCCUUAACCAUUUCAUCAAUCUCGAAAAAAGACAUGAAGUCUUUGUCUACGUAAUCAAACUAAGCCUCAAACCCUCCUGUAUAUGCAUUUUCAGACCACUUCCCACCGUGGUUGAUUUUAAGGCUAAAUAAUUCGGGCAUGCCUGCAAAGUCAAGGAGAAAGGUUAAAAUAUCGUAAAAUUUUAAGGUUUUAAAACCCAAAAAGUUAACCUAAAACACUAGUAGGACCAUGAGGAAAAAUGGUGAAAACAAAACCAUGGGGAUCAUGAAUACAAGGUUUUUUAAAGGUUGCAAUUGGGACCACGAUUGAAGACAAAACCACAUGCAAAUUGAAAACAAUUAACAAUGCAGGAAACCCACUACAAAACACAAUUCCAGAAACCAUAGAAAAAAAGGGAUUGGAACUAACAGAUCCCCCUAAUCCCUAAAAUUCAAAAUUGAAAAAUCGGAAAACCUAAACCCAUAUCAUCUACACUUCGAAAAAAGGUAGGUUACUUACAAUAAACUAGUGUUUCACCCACUUCAAUCCUCCUUUUUUCCCACCCCAUCGCCAGCGAUGGCUUCACGACAACCUUGCCCAGAAACGGUGCCUCUUCUUUGAUGUGCAAAGGUGUGCGCAACGUACGACGGCGUGUGAGGUGGAGUGACGGCGAGGUCGAGUGAUGGGGAGUUUGGUAGGGUUUCGGACGGAGAUUGGGGGUCGCGAUUUAUGGGGGAGUGAAAAGUGGUUUUCACUUUUCACUUUUUCACUUUUACCUAAUCCCCUCUAAAAAAUAAAUAAAAAAUCCACAUGGACCCUUAAUGACAUAUGGUGCCCAAUCAAUGUCCACAUGGGCACCACGUCAUCAGUUAACGGGAGACUUAACAGUUUGACUAACGGAUGUAUGAGACUGUCCCAAAAUUUACACUUUAGGUAUAACUCUGGGAUGAAAAAAACUUGAUGUACUAAAUGUUGAAAACCACGAAACAUGAGGGUAGUAAACUGAGAUUUACCAAAAAAUUAAAGGUAAACUAACAACAUAAGGUAAUCAGCCAUGGUAAUACAAAAUUAUUAUAAAACUUUGUAGGGCUGUGGAAUCUUCAUUUUAGUUCUGAAUUUCGUUCUGCUUGCGCUCACACGUUCAUAUUGAUGAGCAUUACGAGAAAAUAUUACGAUGAUAUGUCAUACGUGAGUUUUCGCUGAAAAUUUUUUUUGAUGGAUUUUGCAAUAUGGCAGCCAUGAUUUGCAGAGCCCACCAUCGUAAGGCAGGCGAAUUGGAGAUAAUAUUAUGCUUUUGAAGGAGUUUCUUAAAAAUUACCAUAGAAAUAAUGGUCCUCCUAGAUGUGCCUUGCAGGUGGACAUUCUGAUAGCUUAUGAUACCUUGUUGGAAAAUGGGGUUACUAGGAUUAGGCUGGUUCAUAGUUCGAUUCCAUUUAAUUGUAAUUGGAAGAAGAAAAAAAAAUUACUAAAAACACUUUCAAACGAAUUCGUACAAAAUUUAUAUGUUACGACUAAUAGUAAGCCUACUAUUGUUCAAAAUCGAUUACCAAUUCUAAUUGUGAUGUUUGUACCGUGAAACAACGUGAUGCCACGAAGAAGAUGGCUCAAGCCAUGUAUUGUCCUUUGAGAAGUUGGGGUUGGGAAGCAUUGCAUCUAAUUUUCUUUCACUUUAUCCUUUUCUUGUUAAAGAGAAUACCAAAUGGUUCGUGAGCAAAGCAUCCAAAUCUUUUUCACUUUUUUCUUGAUAAAGAGAAACACAAAAUGGGUUCGAAAGCAAUACACCACAUUCUCCUUCACUUUGUCUUUUUCUUGUUAAAGGAGGAUGAAAAUACCUUACUUUAGAAUCACCUCCUCUUGAGGUAUUGCUUGUUAGAUAUAUUUUAUUGCUUCUCUAUUUAUAUUGUUAGAAAACUCUUAUUAACCCUUCCCCAUUGAAGUUAUCUGCUCAUAUAUUUGCAUUGUUGAGGUAACAUAAUCUGUCCUCUUUGUGCAUGAUACCAUUCAACAUUCAUAUUUUCUAGCAAAUUCGUGAAGUAUCAAUACCAGUACUAGACACAUGAGUUGUUGCUAAAUAAAGCAUAGAUUUCAGAAUUUCAUUUUUGUUCUGCCGGACAAUUACAUUGAGUUGAUUUACAAUACAGGUACAUAUGUACAUCUUGGAAACUUUAUUUCUUUUCAAUAUUUAUCGUUUUAGGUGUUUCUUUUUACCCCUGUGUGACUAAGAAACUAAAGUGUUGGAUUUACAUUAUAUUUUCUAGCAAAUUCGUGAAGCACCAGGUCUAGUACCAGACAUAUUGUUGUUGAACAAGGCAUAGAUUUCAGAAUUUCAUUUUUUUCUCUGCCGAACAGUUGCAUUGGGUUGAUUUACAAUACAGGUACGUAUGUACUUCUUAGAAACUCCAUUUCUUUUCAAUAUUUAUUGUUUUAGGUGUUUGUACUAUAUGUUAUUGUGUUUUGAUGUUCAACCACGUCAGCUAAUCCACCCUUACAAUCGAAAUUUUUAUUUUUCUCAUCGCAAUACAAAAAGUUUGAAAUCGCUUCCGCUAUAUGGUGGUGAAAUGUACACUAUUUGAAAUUUGCAUAUUGUAAAAUAAUAAGGAGUAAAUAAAUAUACACAUGCACUGAAACCAUCAACUGAAAAUAUGACUUUAUCCCUUAAAAUUCAAUUUUCUUUUACUAAAACUCAUCAUAUUAUAUUUUCCUAACAAAAACUCAAUGACUUUACAUGUAUAUUUUUUUUUGCUUCUCCUGUUUAUAUUGUUAGAAAGCUCUAAUUAACUCUUCGCCAUAGAAGUUAUCUGCUCAUAUAUAUUUGCAUUGAUGUGCAUGAUCUGCCCUCCUUAUGCAUGCUAACAUUCAGCAUUCAAAUUUUCUAGCAAAUUUGUGAAGCACCACUACCAGUACCUGACAUAUGACUUGUUGCUAAACAAGGCAUAGAUUUCAAAAUUUCAAUUUUAAUUUGCCAGACAAUUGAUUGCGUUGAUUUACGAUACAGGUACGUACGUACUUUUCGAAACUCUAUUUCUUUCCAUUAUUUGUUGUUUUAGACGUUUGUUUUUACCCUGCCUGACCAAGAAACAAAAGUGUUAAUUUAACAUUCUAGUACCCGCCAAAUAUUGUAUUUCGGCUGAGCUCCAACACUAUGACUAGGCGCCAACUCAACAAUUUUAUUGAUUAGCUUUGACUUCACAUAGUUUUGUAUUUUUAGAUGUCUAAAAUACCCCUAGUAACUUAUGUCAAAUUAAAAACAAAUUUUAAAAUCAUGAUUUCAUUGCAUAUUAAUAAUAAUAGGAUAUGAUGCUAGGGUUUUCAUUUGUUUUAUUUUUUUCCCCUUUAAAUUCCUUAGUUGCUUUUCAAAUUUGCAUAAAUUAGGAUUUUUUUUUUGGUUUAGUUUUUCCGUUUUCAAAAUAUGUGAGCAUUAGUUACCAACAAAAUAUAAGAAUGUUAUUUUUUUUCCAAAAUUAUUUAAUUAUAUUCUAUAUAAAUAUAGGUAAAUUAUUUCUCUACACAUAUAUAAUAACAAUAAAAUGUGGUUAAUGUAUGUAAUAAUACAUGCAAAAUAAUUUACCUUCAACAUAAAGGAUGUGAUUUGGUUCAAGAUUUAUUUUACCUAUAUUUCACAUAUAGGUAUAGGUAAAUUAUGAAAGAUUCAUUUUUUUUUUAAUUUUUUUUUAUUUUUAUUUUUGUCUUUUGGCUUAACAUAUAUAGAUAAGUAAAUCAUUUUUUGUCAUUUGGUUUGAUAUAAAGGAUGUCAUGUGUCAUUUGGUUCAAAAAAAUAUAAGUAAAUUAUUUUAUGAAGAUUAUCAUUAUAUAAUAAUAAUAAAAAGGAGAAUAUAUAUAUAUAUAUAUAUAUAUAUAUAUAUAUAUAUUGUUUCAAUUAUGUAAAUAGUUUGUAAUAUGAGGUUAUUUCUUUGUCUACAUGUCAAUGGAUUUAGAUUCCGUUUACAAGAGUUAAUACCAAACAUACAAUUUCAGUUGCCCUUGGACAGAAGCCACUAAAUGAGUAAAGGACAACGGGACGAAACAACCUUCUACCUGGCCUAUGUACCUUGCCACUUUCAAUAAAAACAGGUGUGUUUCAAUUUGAUAUUUAAAUAUAUGUGGAUUUUGGGCUGCCCAUUGUGUGACUUUACCGAACUCCCCCUCCCAUUAAUGUAAAAAUAUCGAUGUACUAAAAAAUAUAUAUGUGGAUUUUUGUUUAAAAAGUAAAAUUACAAAGGUCUAUUUCUAAAGAACCCUAUGUAUCAACAACAAUUUCAACUAAUUCAAGUCCAGCAGCACAAUAAACUCAAAUAAAAAUUCAAUUAUUUUAAACACAGUGAUGAUCUUAUAUUCAAAGAUAAUUUUGAUCUAGGUGCUUGAUUUUUGAAUUUGAUAGACCCAACAUCCCUAGCUUUUAGACUUUUUAUUAAACUACUUUCUACAAUUUUGGUGCCACGAUUUUUAAAACGUCCUCUUUCUAAAAUUCAAAAUAACAUGAACUGUCAUUAAUCCACCAAUUUAUUCCAGAAACAAUAUCCAAAGCUCCUAAAUCUAGCCUUCUUUAAACCAAAAUUAUUAUUAUUACUCCAACAUAAAAAUACAUAAUUAUUAAGUUAUCAAUCAAUGAUAUGUACCAAAAAUUAAAAUUAUACAUACCAAAAACUAAAAUGAAACGUACCAUUAACUAAAAUAAAACAUACCAAAUACUAAAACUAAACAUACCAAUCAAUGAUAUGUGCACAACUGAACAUACCAAAAAACAAAAUUAAGUAUGAAAACCAAUAAUAAACGUACCAAUAAUGUAUACAAAAUAAUUCUCUUAAUAAAAUGUAUAUAUAACAAUUUAAAAAAUAUAAACAUCCACCAUUUUCGUUAUCUUGAACGUAAAAUUAUAUUUUAAUUUUAGGAGAAAAAAUAUUUUGUACGAAAAAAUUAUUAAAAAGAGAAUUGGAUAAAUAUAUUGAAUGAAAAACCAAGAUUAUCUCCAAAAAAAAUCGCUUAACUAAUUAAAGGACAAAUUAAGAAACCAAUAUACAGUGAGGUAUAUGGUAAUGGCAUGAGGAUGAAUGAAAAAACAACGGAAUAAAAAAAAAUAAAAAAAAAUUAAAACUAAAAAAUGGCCACGAUAUAUUCCGUUAUCAUAUUGUGAAAUCUUACAAUAUUGGGGACAUCGUGAUAUUAUAUGAUAUCUCGCAAAACAGUUUUCGUGAUGUGAUACUAGCUAAUUGUAAUACUUUUGUAAUAAUAUAGUACUAAAAACUGAAGUAAACAUACAUGUAAUAGUUCAUUUGUCACACAAGUCUAUACUUGUCAUGGAUAUUUUUUGAUAGAUCUUUGUGACUCAUUUCGAACUAAUACUAACUAAUUGUUAGUCAAGUGAGAAAUUUUCUAAUUAGAGAAAAAGGGCCUAAAUUUGAAUCGUAACUCCAGCUUUGAUAAAAUAAAAAUAAAAAUAAAUACCACUUAGAUUUAAACAGGACAAAAAUAUCUAAUAUUGUGUUGGGGUAGUGCUUCUUUGGUUUUAGGUAGUAGAGCACUGAGCACGAGACUUAAAAAAGCUACCAACAAAGAGGAGCAUUCAAGCCAUGGUCUUUGAUUUCAGAAGGAAAUGGAAAUUAUAAUUGCAAUUGCCUCAAAAAUUGGAGAGUCAUUGGUCGCACCAAUAGGAACAGAGUCUGCCUAUUUGAUUAAUUACCAUUCCAACCUAGAAAAUCUUAAGCGUGAGAUAAAAAAGCUCUGUGACAAGAAAAAUGGAGUGCAGGGAUGGGUAAAUGCUGCCAAAAGGAACGGUAAAUUUAUCCACCCUGAUAUUCAGAGUUGGCUAAAGAAUGUGGACGAAAUGAUCCAAAAAGUGUCGCAUUUUGAGGUUGAGAUUAACAGGAAAAGGCGAUGUAUGUAUCGAUGGAGCUUGAGUCGGAAAGCCUAUAAGAUUACACAACAUGUUCUCCAGCUCCAAAACGAAGGAACAUUUGAAAAUGUGGCCCAUGCUGCUCCUUCACGAGAGAUAUGGUCAACAUUCAAAGACGGAUUUAAACAUUUCAAGUCCAGAAUGGAAAACAUGAAUGAGGUGAUAGAGGGUUUGAAGAGGGAAUAAGUAAGAAUGAUCGGGAUUUGUGGAAUGGGGGGUGUGGGUAAAACCACACUGGCGAAAGAAAUCAUCAAAAGAUUAGCAGAACUGAACAUGUUUGAUAAAACUGUAAUGGCAACUGUGUCUCAAAGCCCAAGUAUUAAGACGAUCCAGUUGGACAUUGCAGCACAAAUAGAUUUGAAAUUUGAUAAGGAUUCUAAGUCCGGAAGAGCACUAAAGCUGCAUGACAGACUCAUGGAAAUAAGGAGGAUCCUGAUUGUGUUAGAUGAUGUAUGGACAGAGCUUAAUUUUGAGGCUAUAGGACUUCCUUAUGCACAUACUCAUAAAGGGUGCAAAAUUUUGUUGACAUCACGGAAUUUGGAAGUCUGCGAUGCGAUGGAAAGUCAACAAAUUAUUGCGGUCCCAACUUUAACAACAGAAGAAUCACGGGAGCUCUUUAGAGAAAUCGUAGGUGAAUCCUUCGAUGAUCCAGAUUUCCAUUCCAUUGCAGAAGAGGUCGUGAAUGAAUGUGGAGGUUUACCUAUUGCUAUUGUAACUGUUGGAAAAGCCCUAGAAAAGAAAAAGAAGCACGAAUGGGUUAAUGCCCUUAAUCAGCUGCGAAAGUCUAUCCCAAAGAACAUCCCUGGACUAGACGACAAAGUUUAUUCAAGCAUAAAAUGGAGUUAUGAUGGAUUGGAGAGUGAUGAAGCCAAGCCAUGUCUUUUACUUUGUUGUUUAUUUCCAGAAGAUUAUAACAUUCCAAUUGAGGAUUUGGUUCGAUAUGGGUGGGGUCGAGGAUAUUUUAGCAGCAGCGAUACUUUGGAAGAAGCAAGAAAUAAAGUGCAUUCUUUGGUUGACCAACUACAAAGAAGGUUUUUGUUACUAGAUGGUGGCAGGAGUGAGACAAUAAAAAUGCAUGACAUAGUUCGCGAUGUUGCCAUAUCAAUUGCUUCAAGAGAUCCACAUGGAUUUCUGAUAAGAAGUAAUGCUGAAAAUAAAGGGUGGCCAAAUUUAGCUACAUAUGACCAUUGCACUACAAUCUCACUUGUUGGUAAAUUGGAGAUUCCAGUUGGUUUGAAAUGCCCAAAACUUGAGUUUCUACAGACGAUGAAAGGACGUUUUUCAGAAGGUAGCAUGGACAUCAUUUGUGAUGCGAUGAAAGAACUGAAGGUUUUAGCUUUGGUGGAAAUGGAAGACCUAGGCUCAUCAAGAUCACUAGGAUUACUGAAGAACCUGCGGACCUUGUGCCUAGAUGGGUCUAAAUUUGAUGGCACGUCUGCUGAUGUUAUUGGGAGUUUGGAGAAUUUAGAAAUCCUCAGCUUUCGGGAUUGUGAUUCCAUGCGUGAGUUGCCGAGGGAAAUUGGACGACUUAAACAGUUGAGGUUGUUAGAUACGACAAACUGCGAGGAACUUGAGGUGAUUCCACAUGGUAUCUUCUCCAGCUUAUGUAGACUUGAAGAGUUGUAUAUGGUUAAUAGCUUUAACGAAUGGGAAAUUGGAAGAGGAAGAGAAGAAAAGGGGAUGGCAAGCAUUUCUGAGGUGAUGUCUCUGUCCGAUCAUUUGAAGGUUCUAGCCAUAGAGAUACCCAGUGUCAUCCACUUGUUGACAAAAGACAUAGUCUUGAAAAGCCCAACAAUAAGAUUCCUUAUACGCUGUGCAACAUGGGUAGGGCAUUUUUCGGAGAUGAGUACUUAUGCAUUCGAAAAUUGUUUGGAGAUUAGUGAAAGUGAUGCAAGGGAGUUGGAGGAGAGUCAAGCAGUCAGACUUUUGUUGAAAAAAUCUAAAAAAUUGUAUUUGUCGGAGGUUAAGAAUUUCUCUGUCCUCACUGAUUUAGACCAAGAAGGAUUUCAAGAUUUGAAAGAUUUGGAUCUUUGGUAUUGUCCACAUAUCGAGUAUCUUGCAAAUGGAACAAGUGGGUUUUUGACCAACCUAAGAUUCCUUAAAUUGGGAAGUUGUGGUGUCUUAAAAUAUGUAUUUUCACUAUCAGCAGCGAGAAACUUGGUACAACUCCAAGAAUUAAACAUUGAUGGAUGUGAUCAAAUGGAAGAAAUUGUAUCGAAGCAGGGGAGGGAACAUGAGGAGGAAGCCGAUAUGAUACCUUUCCAUAAAUUAACCAAUUUGACUCUCGAGGGUCUAGGGAGUUUGGUUGGUUUCUUCCAAGCCAAGAAGCUAUACUCCAACCAAGAGGUAUGUCCCACUCUCCAAUCUCUAUGAUAUGAGGAGGCAGCCGAUAUGUGGAAAUUUGAAAUUGUGUUAACUGAUAAUGAUUUUUCUUUUUCAGGAAACAACGGCAAGGGUUGAGCAUCAAUCUGCAGGCAUAUUUGAAAAAGCAAUAUUCCCAUCAACGUGCAUUUCAUGGUUUCCAAGUUUAGAAAAGGUGAGAUUGGGAUUUAUGGAGUUUGAAGGCGUGCUAUUUGAUCUUAAAAUCCAUGUUAUGGAUGGGCAGGCAGCUCCAACUUUUCCCCAGUUACGUGGGUUGGAGAUAAUUUUUUGUUCGUUUACACAUUUGUGGAAAAACAUUCGGUCUGGAUUUCAGGAUUUCCGAAAUUUGAGAUGUUUGGAUAUAAGAGAAUGUUGUGGGCUAAAAUAUGUGUUCUCGCAUUUAAUUGCCCGAGAACUUUUGAAUCUUGAAGAGGUAAAGAUAGCAAAAUGUCCGAACAUGGAAACUAUAGUCAGAAUCACAGAGCAAAAUGAAGAAGAGGCGACAAAAUACAUGAUUUUGUUUCCGAAACUGAACACAUUUGAACUAGAAGACCUGCCUCGUCUCACAAGUCUUUGUCCAGAGGGAUUUACAUUUCUAUGGUCAUCCACAAAAAAAAUGCACGUGAAAAGAUGUGAAAAUUUGAAGACAUUGGGUGCUGUAAUUCCACAAAGAAAGAAGUUGGAGAAUAACUUGAAGAAGGAUUCAACAAGUCAUGAUUUUAGCACUUCUCCAACACGUUCAUCAAAUUGGUGCCCUGCUGGAUGUGGAUGCGCACCGUAUUCAAGACCAAACGCCCACCGCCCCAUUGAAAUAUUGCCACGUCCAAUUAACCUGGAGGUAAGCUUUUAAAUCAGGUUCAAUUAACCUCUAUAAGUACAACUUUUAAUCAGUAUUGUAUCAUCUUGUUGAUCGUGCUUAAUUUUCUAGGUUACACCAACUAAUCUUGAGGACUCAAAUGAUGAUGAUAAUCUCGAAAAUCUUACUGUAAGUGACUGUAAUUCGAUGGAAGUGAUUUUCCAACUCAAGGGACCGAAGCAUGAAGAAAGUAGUCACUCCAUUGAAGCAUUCAAUAAAUUGAGUUCCUUGCGGUUAGAUAGAUUGCCAGGUUUAACGCGUGUUUGGGAGACGGGUAGUUCACAACCGAUGUUGACAGGAAGCAGCUUCGGAAACUUGAAAUCGCUGGAGGUUGGUUUUUGCAACCAGUUGAAAUACUUGUUUUCAUCGUCCAUAGUCAAACUUCUCGUGAGUAUAGAGGACAUAGAAGUUCAUAACUGUGAGAAGAUGGAAGAAAUCGUUGCCGCAGAAGAAGAAACUGAUGAAACAAUUACAUUACCUAAAGUGAAGUCCAUCAAGCUUGAAAGUCUGCCAAAACUCAAGUAUUUUUGUGGUGAAGCUUAUACUUUGAAGUUGCCGUCUUUGGAGUUAUUGGAGUUUGAUGACGUGCAAAACUUAAGCCUAUUAGCUCCAAAGCUUAUUGCCACACAUCCCCGAUUGCAAGUACGCACCGCGUUGGGAGUGGCUGAAUGGAAGGGGGACCUCAAUGCCACUCUAAGGAAUAUUUACGUCACAAGGUAUGCUUUAAUAUAAGGUUUUUAAUUUCCAAUCAUUUAUGGCAAACACCACAAAAAAUUCGACAACAAAUUUAGGCAAAGCAUAAUCAACAGUUCAGAUUUAGUUUGACGAAAGUGUAAUCAAAAUUUAGUCAAAAACCAUAUACACACACACACACACACAUAUAUGUAUAUAUGUAUAUAUGUAUGUGCGUAUGUGCACACUAGAGUGUAUUUAGAUAUGUUUUUCUUCUUUUGAAAACUCAAUUAUAUCUCAAGAAAACUUCUGUCUUUUAUUUCUAACACAGGAAGGGUGAAGAUGAUGAAAUCGACAGGGAGGACGAACACAAUUAAUUGAUCAAGCACAAAGGUUAACAUGUCUCCAUCUUCAACUUCUUCUAGGCUUAGAAACUGCUAUUUUCGGAAACACAUAUACAAUAAGCAUAACCGUUUCAACUUAUUUGAGUUUCAGUGAUUUCUAAUAUUCUCCAAUGCAUGCAGGACAACAAUUCAAAGAAGGUUGUGGCUUCAACAAUUCGUUUACCAUCUCAUAUGUACAAACCAAUAAAAUGUCAUUUGUUGCAUCAGACUUUCAUUCCAAAAUACUAUUUAUGUUGCUUAUUUUAUGCAUGUAUAAUAAAUUUCGAGUGUGAUUGUUACUGUUUGUAUCUAAGUUCGCAUUAUUAAUGUAUGUUUAUUUGCACCAAGAAAUGAGAAAUGCUUAUGUAAAAAUAAAUGAAUAAGAUUAAACAAGAAAAACUUUACGCUACUCAAACUUGCAAACACUCAAACUACAAGCAUUAUGAAUAAACACGGAAUCAGGCUACGCAAUUGCCUUCAUCAUAACAUGAUUUUGGCCCCCAUUUUAUAAUUUCCUACCACAUUUUCACAUUCUUUCCAUGAAUUUUAUAAUACAUAUGCAAAAGAGUUCAAUCUAGGGGCUCCAAAAAUAUCACAGACAGAACAAUUAACACAAAUCGAAUAAAAAUUUGAAAUCAUGAAUCGAUCCCAAAACUGAAAGUUGAAAUUUUUGAAAAGAACUUACAUCGGAGGACAGCCCACCGGGACAGGAUCAUUUAUACCUCUUGGGUCGAGAAUAUUGGCCGGAAAACCGCGGUCACCGUUUCUUUGAUCUGAAAUUGAGGAAAUUUGGCUACGAAUCUGUAGAAACUAACUUGGGAGUUGGAAAGAGGACGGAAAGAGGAGUCUGGAUAUGUAAUUUGACGGCCGUUGGUGACCGGUGGACGAAAAUAAACUUCAUGCGAAAACAAGACCAGAUUGAGGUAAGAAAGAAAAAUACAUACGCAGAAAUAACAUGUCAGUCAGGCAAGACAAGUAAUUGCAACCAUAACAGAACACAAUGAAGAAACAUACCAUGAGGAUUUUGAACAAACAUAAUGAAGUGUAACCAACAGCAUACAAAUAUCAAAAAUAUAGAAAAGAAUGCUAUACAAUCACUAUAAGUGAUUUCAAAGGCCAUCUUCUAUUUCUGUUUCUGGGAAAAAGUCAUGUCGUCAAGAUAUCAUUCCAUUUCCUUACCAUGAUGAGUAAAAUGAAAUUUGAACUUGCUUGCUGUUCUUGCAUAUCUUCUCCUCAUCCUGGUUACCAACCCAGCAAGUCUUCACCAAUCCAUCUAUGAUGUACGUACGUCAUUGUAAUAUCAUGUGAUGCAGCUUACCUAGAUUAUAUUUCCUGUAGCCUAAGUUUAGAUAUUUCCUUUGCAGAGGGUAUAGCGUGCAAGGUCCUAAGAACUUUACCAAAUUAUCAUCCUUCGAGUAUAGAAAAUCUUCCAAAUGUAUAAACGAAAUAAACUUGUGACAGAACCAAAGAAUGCAAAUGCUUAUCAUCAUUUACUAAUCCAUAUGCAUAAUUUAAACAUUUUCAUAUUCAUUAGAAGCAUACAGAAAAGAUACAUGGCACACAAGAUAUGUACUUUUCGACGUAGGAGCUCAAUUCUUGUAUACAGACACACUUCCUUUAGCUUGCAUUGGACCUCGUACUUUCCACUAAUGUAAAUGCCACAUCAAAAGUGAAAGAGCGACUCCGGAAACCAAUUACAUCCAUGUGCUUGCACUUCAAUGCAGAAACAGAACAAAACAUAAUCCUAAAGUUUUCGGACCAUCAUUAAACACGCAAGCAUAACAAACAUUCACAAUCCAGCAAAUGGGUGUUCAUAAUUUCAAGCAGAAACACCAAAAGUCAAAGAAAAUAAUGAAUUAAAUUAUGAAAAAUUUUGUACUCAAGUAUCUCCCGUGAACUUGAACCAAGUCUCAGCACAUUGCUUAUAAGCAGCACCCAAAUCCCCCUUGCAAGAACACCCCAAGUCAAUCGGGACCCCAGAGGCAGGGUCGGUCCCACCACCUCCCUCCAAACCCAAGUGGCAAAUCCUGCAAUUUCUCUCAACUUUACUCAAAUGCACCACCUUCUUCACCUUCGAAACCCCACUCUCUCCACUGAACAGCAUUGGAUGUCGUCAGAGUCAUCCGAGUCCGACGCACCGCUGCCUCCGGUGGCCAAACGGCGGUGGUGGGUUGUCUCGGGAGCUGACAUUCGUGAAACCCAGAAAGAGAAAUGGCGUGAAAUGGUAAAGUGUUAAAGUUGCGGCAUUCGGAGAUCAAACAUGGUGGGGUUAUAGAGCAGGUGGAGAUGUUUUUUCUCUAUCCUCAAUCAAAAUAUCAAUCUGCAGGCAUAUUUGAAAAAGCAAUAUUUCCAUCAAAGUGCAUUUCAUGGUUUCCAAGUUUAAAAGAUGUACGUUUGGAAUUUAUGAAGUUUGAAGGCGUGCUAUUUGAUCUGAAAACCCAUGGCCAGACAACUCCAAUAUUUCCCCAGUUACGUGAGUUGCGGAUAUUCGAUACUUCGUUUACACACUUGUGGAAAAACAUUCCGUCUGGAUUUCAAGGCUUCCAAAAUUUGAGAUAUUUGCACAUAAGUUAUUGUUCUGGUCUAGAAUAUGUGUUCUCGCAUUUAAUUGCCCGAGAACUUUUGAAUCUUGAAGAGGUAGAGAUAUCAACAUGUCUGGACAUGGAAACUAUAGUCAGAAUCACAAAGGAAAAAGAAGAAAAGGCGACAAAAGACAUGAUUUUGUUUCCGAAACUGAACACAUUUGAACUAGAAGACCUGCCUCGUCUCACAAGUCUUUUUCCAGAGGGAUCUACAUUUGUAUGGUCAUCCACAAAAUAUAUGCUGGAGAAUAACUUGAAGAAGGAUUCAACAAGUCAUGAUUUCAGCACUUCUCCAACAUGUUCAUCAAAUUGGUGCCCUGCUGGAUGUGGAUGCGCACCAUAUUCAAGACCAAACGCCCACCGCCCCAUUGAAAUAUUGCCACGUCCAAUUAACCUGGAGGUAAGCUUUUAAAUCAGGUUCAAUUAACCUCUAUAAGUACAACUUUUAAUUAGUAUUGUAUCAUCUUGUUGAUCGUGUAAUUUUCUAGGUUACACCAACUAAUCUUGAGGACUCAAAUGAUGAUGAUAAUCUCGAAAAUCUUACUGUAAAUGACUGUAAUUCGAUGGAAGUGAUUUUCCAACUCAAGGGACCGAAGCAGGAAGAAAGUAGUCACUCCAUUGAAGCAUUCAAUAAAUUGAGUUCCUUGCGGUUAGAUAGAUUGCCAGGUUUAACGCGUGUUUGGGAGAUGGGUAGUUCACAACCGAUGUUGACAGGAAGCAGCUUCGGAAACUUGAAAUCGCUGGAGGUUGGUUUUUGCAACCAGUUGAAAUACUUGUUUUCAUCGUCCAUAGUCAAACUUCUCGUGAGUAUAGAGGACAUAGAAGUUCAUAACUGUGAGAAGAUGGAAGAAAUCGUUGCCGCAGAAGAAGAAACUGAUGAAACAAUUACAUUACCUAAAGUGAAGUCCAUCAAGCUUGAAAGUCUGCCAAAACUCAAGUAUUUUUGUGGUGAAGCUUAUACUUUGAAGUUGCCGUCUUUGGAGUUAUUGGAGGUUAUUAAUGUGCAAGACUUAAGGCCAUUUGAUUCUAAGCUUGUUGACACGCAUAAUCCCCGAUUGCAAGUAAAACCCACAUUUCGACAGGAAUGGACAAGGUAUGCUUUAGAUUAAUGUUUCUAAUUUGCAUUCACUUUUGUGUCCACCUGAAAGACCGCAUCAUCAAUAUACAACCACUGAACCAACAAAGAUGACGAAAUCGACGGCAAGGAUGACGAUGACAAAAUCGAUGGCAAGGAUGAAGAUGACGAAACCAACAGGGAGGACGAACACAAUUGAUUGAUCAAGCACAAAGGUUAGAAUGCUUCCAUCUCCAACUUCUUCUAGGUUUAGUAAAAACUGAUGAAAAUUAUCUAUAUAGUACUCACAAAAAUAUUCUACCAUGUUUUAUAUAAUAUAUACAUACAUGUAUAGCACUUAAAAAAAUUGAACAGUUUGGAUCUAAAACCACAAUCUGCUACCUGUUUCAUUUUUUCGAGGUACCUAAUAGCAAUUAAGGUGAGAGGAAGAAGCAUUUCAGAUUACCAACUGCCUCAAGAGAAACCUUUAUCAGAAACACAUAUACAAUAAACAUAACCGUAGUGCUAAGUGGCCUAAAAAUUAAUUUAUCCUUAAACCGCUAUUUUUGGAAACACAUAUACAAUAAGCACAAGCGUUUCAACUUAUUCCAAUUUCAGUGAUUUCUAAUAUUCUCCAAUGCAUGCAGGAAAAGAGUUUAAAGAACGUUGUGGCUCCAGCAAUUCGUUUACCAUAUCAUAUGUACAAACCAAUAAAAGGACAUUUGUUGCACCAGAAUUUCAUUCCAAAAAUACUAUUUAUGUUGCUUAUUUUAUGUACCAUAAAUUUCGAUUGCGAUUAUUACUGUUUGUUUCUAAAUUCGCAUCAUUAGUGUUUGCUUAUUUGUGCUCGAGGUUGAUUAUACACGUGUAAGCUGAAUCACAUGUUUGUAGAAUGGACAAGCUGAAUAAAAUCUGUUUGCCCCCUAAAUGUAAUGGAAAUCAUAUGUAUCUAGGCAUGCUUAAUAUUUGAUAAAGAAAAACAUUUCUCAAAUAAAUGUCCACUCACACCUCCGGCAAGCUCUCCCUUGAGGAGCCUUGUCUACCAAAUAGGUAAACAUCUACUGGACAGCAAACUGCUGAAUACAACUAGAGUAAACAAGGAAUCAGGCUAUGCAAUUGCCAUCAUCAUAACAUGAUUUUGGCCCCCAUUUUCUAAUUUCCUACCACAUUUUCACAAUCUUUCCAUGAAUUUUAUAAUUCCUAUGCAACAGAGUUCGUUCAUCGCCUAUUCACAACAAUACAAGGUUCUACAGAGUUCAAUCCCACACCAUGUUAUAGACAUGCUUCAACUAUCAACCGGGAACGUAAUCGUUAGGGGUUUCAACAACUUCACUGAUACAACAAUUACUAUAAGUCUCAUCUCCGACAUUCAUACAGAAAAUCGAAUAAAAUUCGAAAUCAAGAAUCAAUCCCAAAACUGCAAGUUGAAAAUUUGGAAAAAGAACUUACAUUGGAGAACAGCCCACGAGAAGAGUAUCAUUUCUACCUCUUGGGUCGAGCUCCAAUUCCGGCGAUAUUGGCCGAAAACCCCUGGGUCACCGUUUCUUAGAUUUGAAGUUGAGGAAAAUCGCCUACGAAUUUAUAGAAACUAACUUGGGGGAUAGGAUAAGGGACGGCAAGAGCAUUCUGGAUGUGUAGUAUGAGAGCCUUUGGUGACCAGUGGACGACAGAGCUGUUGCGUCGGCACUCGGCAGUCUUCGGCUUGCUGUUAAAUGGGGCUCCUGUUGCAGCGCAACGCAAAAGAGAAGGAGGAGAGAGGAUACGGGAGAAGGAGAGAAAAUGGGUUUCUCCAACCUUUUUCAUUAGUUCUUUUCCACAUUUAUUUAUGGAAUAAACGAUAAUAUUUAUCAUCAAAAGUGUGUUUGGUACGUGAGAUGAGAAGGAACAUGUUUUGAUGAUAAUAAUGGCUAAAACUAAUAUAGUUCAAAUUUUUUUUAGUGAUAAUUGAAUAUAAGAUUUCUCUUACAAGUUACAAAUAAAAAUGAAUAUCAUUAAUUUUUUUUCACUUUUAAUACACAUGUAAAUAAAAAGAAACAAAAUGAAAAUGAAAAGAAAUAAAAUAAUUUGAAAUAGAAAUGAAAAAUAAAGGUAAAUUGACAGCAUAAGGUAAUCAGCCAUGGUAAUACAAAAUUAUUAUACUAUCCUUAAACAUUGUAGUGCCAUGGAAUCUUCAUUUUAGCUCUGAAUUUCCUUCUGCUUACGCUCACGCGUUCAUAUUGAUGAGCACUACGAAAAAAUAUUAAGAUGAUAGGUCAUACUCAUACGUUCGUUUUUGUUGAGAAUUUUUUUGAAGGAUUUUGCAAUAUGGCAACCAUGAUUUGCAAAGCCCACCAUCGUAGAGCUCGAUAUCGGCUUGACUUGUGGAGCCACCAUCGCAAAGAAGAACCUGGAAAGCUCAAUCCUUGUCUUUUUCUUAUAUAAGUGUCAUUUUGGUGAACCAAAUGUUCCGAUUCCAACAUCCAAAAUACCACAAUGUGAUUUUUUUUCAUACUACAAUUGGAUUGCAUCUUAAAAUUAUGAAGUCUUGGAGCAUUGGUCAUGCCAUCAUGCUGAUUUGUGUUGGAUUUCGUUAGAGAUCGUAAUUAAUCAAUCACCCUUUUUGUGUCUCCCUUCAAAAGCUCAAAUUGAAAUCUGAACUCCCUAGCAAAUAAGAGCCCAAUUUGACAACCAAAAUCUUCAUCGUUCGAGCAUCAAUGUUCUCUUAAAUUCACUACGAGCAAACCGCCAUGAAAUCUCCUUCAUGGACAUCUCAUAAAAUUAGAACGAUACAAAGAAGAUUAGUGUGACUCCUAAGCUAGGAUUACACGUAUGAAUCGUAAAAUAGUUCCUCCUCCACUAUUUGAUUCUCUCUUUCACUGGCUAACAAUAUUUUGCUCUACCUUUUCACCCUAAGUAAGAAAUGAGCAUUUUGUUAGCAUCUUUUUGAAAAUUUCAAAUUUGAUCCUAAUAUAUCUCUUUUGCACUAUUUGACUGAACGACAAAUUUUGAUUGUCUAAAUAUUUAUAUCAAAAUACAAAUAAUAUUGAUAUUAUAUAUUUAUAAUGUGACUGGAAUUGUAGUACCCAACAUAUCUAUCUUGAAAUAAAUUUUGUUGUCUAUGAAGUGGCCAACUCGACCCUCUCCUAUACUCUUUGAGUUUGUAUAAAUAUAUCAUUGUUUAACAAUUGACAUUCAGUACUGCGAUUUAGUGAUAUUCAUUAUCAGGUUCGAAUCUUAGGAGUAACGAGUUUGUGUAAAUAUAUCAUUGUAUUAAAGAAAAACAAAAAAAUAAAAAAUAAAACAAAAUAUUUUUUUUUGGUCUGACAAAAACACGAAAAUGCCCUUAAUGCCCAAAGUGACCCCACUACUGACACACCCCGAUCCAGAGGAUCCAGGCGUGCUGGCCGUCACGUGAGCGUGACGUAACCAUAAGUGCGACACGGAAGCGAAACAACAACAUACAUAAGAAGGAAUUCAAACCAAACUCUAGCAGAACAACCUACUAGAAUAACAGGACGAGUUAUAAUGUAAACACAUAAAUUCAGAGCAUAGGUUUAAGUGCAGUCAAGUAGGACUAAAAUAAAAGUACAUCGCUCUCAGGUGAGUCCUACAUGUCAAGAGUUUGUCAGAAAGCCGAAAUAAGACCUCGAGAGUCACAAACUGCUAACUAGAACCUGGAGGGGCGCAAAACAAAAUGAGUGGGUCAGUAAAACCAAAGAGUUUUCCAAAACAGUUCAUUUAAAACAUUUCUAACCCCUCACCGUAAAAACCUGUAUACUUCCCCAGAAAAUAGUAUAUAAACAUAUAUAUAUAUAUACACGCAACAUCAAAACUCAACUCAUAUCCAUCAUUACAACAUCUCAGAAAUGAUAUGCCAUGCACAAAAUAUAAUCAGAAUGCAUCAAUAUCAAUCAGGUGAAAUAAUACAUCAACCGGAGAUCCUACAAUGGUCAUGUACGGCUGAUUCUAAAGCUCAACAUCUAAUCCAACCGGAGUCACCUCGGUGACCUGUACGGUCCAACUCUGCACGUCACUCGGAACUACAUAUAGUAGUCUGUACGAUGACAGGUGUAUAAAUACGCUCUAGUGCUUCUCUCAUCAAUCAACAGCGCGCAUAACUAAGGUCACCCACUAGUCGGAAUCACAUCUAGUGAUAUGUACGACUAGCAUGUCAGAACCCUCACAUGGUCUGUACGACAUCCACCUACUUGGAUCCAAGACGAGCGUGCGGUGUGGUGAAUAACAAUAUAAGCACUAACACCUAGGUGCAACUUAUGAGCUUUCAAUGCAAUUCAUAUAAAAUAACUCAGCUGAAUAAUAAUAAAACUCACAUGUGCGUCCACCGCGUCAAUUCACAUAUAUAUGCAUCAAUUAUCAAACUAAAUAUCUCAACAAUUGCAUGCAUGGCAAAUAAAUUCAUAAUUUUCACAUAAACGUAUUUUCUGGGAAAAACAGUUGUAUAUAGGUAAUACGAAAUCAGAACUGCCCACUCACUGAUAAGUCGAUGGAUCGUAACCCCCGUGACGUCCUUGGAUGCACUCGUCCUCGGGAUAGGUGUCACCUAUAUGCGAAACAACUAUAAAAACGUUAAUUUUAAACACAUAACCAUUAAUUCGAAAUAACUUCUCAUACGAUGCUCAAUUUGGGUAUAUGAAUAUACCACAUCGACCUACUCGACGUCACGGACGUCGAGGAAUUUUUAGAAAAAAUUUUAGGCUUGCCACGCGCCCCCACGCGCCGUGGGUGGCACAGGUCCACGCGCCCCCACGCGCAUCAUCUUCAACCUCAGCUCGCCGGACUGGUUUUUCCGGCGGUCGGUUUCUGGCGAACUUUGAAACUCUUUGUUCUCCUUCGUUUCUCAACCAUUUUCUUCGUAUUUUAUACCAAAAUGAAGCCCCAAACAUGUAGAAUCACGAUAGACUAGUUUAAGGCUCUAAAAAUCAAGAAAUCUCACCAGAAAAUUUCCAAGAAAAUCGGCCAAAGUUGAACCACGUGAUCCUGACGUCCAAAUCCUUCAAACGAAGUACUCCGAGCCUCCUUGGGACCUUACUAAGCUCACUACAAGCUUAGAAUUCCCUAAAAAUAAACAUUUUACGUUUGCAUGAAUAGUGACCAAAAAUGAAGGUUCGGGUUUCACGUGAUUCCGAGGAUUUCACUUCCUAAAACUAGUACCAAUCAACUUAAAAUGACUCAAGGAUGAAGAUGCAUACCUUGGUUGCCUCGAUCCACCGAGAUUUGGGAGGUUUUGGGUGUGUCCGUACGUAUGGGUGUGUGUGAGAGAGAGGGAGUCGAGAUGGAGGAGAGAGAGAGAGGCUACAGGAAUGAGAGGGAGAGAGAGAGGGUUUGUGAUGUCCAAAAACAAUCCCCACCAUCCAUUUUACAUCCCUAACCAAAAUAACAAAAAAUCAAAUUAAAGUCAACUUAUCUUAUUAUUUUCUUCCAACACAUUACUAAGAUUAGACUAAAAUAAUGUCACACACCCAAGUACCUUAAUGCCCGUUAAGGGCAAUUUCGUCAUUUCACAUUCCCGUCAAAUGUACCUCCGGGACGGGCUGUGACAACUACCCUGCCGCUGCCUACAAGUUCCUUCCUCGCCCCCGUUUCUACGUCCAAUUAAUUAAUCUGGAGGUAAGCUUUUAAAUCAGGUUCAAUUAACCUCUAUAAGUACAUCUUUUAAUUAGUAUUGUAUCAUCUUGUUGAUCGUGUUUAAUUUUCUAGGUUGCACAACCUAAUCUUGAGGACUCAAAUGAUGAUGAUAAUCUCGAAAAUCUUACUCUAAUUAACUGUAAUUUGAUGGAAGUGAUUUUUCAACUAAAGGGACCGGAGCAUGAAGAAAGUAGUCACUCCGUUGAAGCAUUCAAUAAAUUGAGGUCCUUGCGGUUAGAUAUAUUGCCAAGUUUAACGCAUGUUUGGGAGACGGGUAGUUCACAAUCGAUGUUCACAGGAAGUAACUUCGGAAACUUGAAAUCGCUACGGGUCGUUGCACCGAUGAAAUAAUUACAUUACCUAAAGUGAAGUCCAUCAAUCUUAAAUGUCGGCCAAAACUCAAGUAUUUUUAUGGUGAAACUUAUACUUUCAAGUUGCCGUCUUUGGAGUUAUUGGCGGUUACUGACGUGCAAAACUUAAGCCUAUUAGCUCCAAAGCUUAUUGCCCACAUCCCCGAUUGCAAGUACGCACCGCGAUGGGAGUGGCUGAAUGGAUGGGGGACCUCAAUGCCACUCUAAGGAAUAUUUACGUAAUCACUUAUGUGUGCAUAUGCGCACACUAAAAUAUGUUUUUUUUUUUUUUUUUUUUUUUUUUAGAAACUCGAAUUAUAUUUCAAGAAAACAUCUCUCUUUUAUUUCUAAUACCGAGAAGAAUGAAGCUGACGGAAUUCUACUAGACACCAUAUAACGAGGAUGUUAACAAUCACAAAAGGUUGUGGCUUCGGCUAUUCGCUUACUUUCAUAUGUACAAACCAAUAAGAUGUCAGUUCGCCAAAAAAAAAAAAAACCAAUAAGAUGUCAUUUGUUGCACCAGAAUUUCAUUCUAAAGAUUCUGUUUCCGUUGCUUACUAUAUGUAUAAUUAAUUUCGAUUGCGAUUAUUACUGUUUGAAUUCAUCUCUCGACUGCCUAUGGGGACGUCAAGGUGGACACCAAAAUGGAGGCGCGAUGACCUGCAUCCGGAAAGUGACGUAGCCAUAACGUGCAUGCAAAUAUAAUUUAAUAAAAUAACUUCAAAUGAUCUACUGAAAAAUCGGCAUAGUCUCCUUUGGAAUUAGGUUUUGGCCCCCAAAUUUAAAACCUGCUGAAAAAGUUAUAAUUAUUUCAAAACCACAUCCCCGUCACCUAAUGGGUUAUCAACCCUCUACUACAUGCACGUAUACUCCAAUAUACUUACUGGUGGUUAGGCCUGGCAAUUCCUGACACGAUCCGAUAACCCGACACGACACGACACGAAAUUAACAGGUGUCCGGGUCGACACGAUAACGAAACGGAUCAUUAUCGGGUAACCCGAUAAGCACCUGUUAAGAUAACGGGUUUGUUCGGGUAUACACGUGGGUAACACGAUACACGAUAAGCAAAAUAUUAAUUUAAUAAUUUAUAACCCUAAAAAAAUACUAUAAUAAUUAUAUAUAUAUAUAUAUAUAUUAAUUUAACAAUUUUAUACCCCUAAAAACUAUAAUAAUUAUAUAUAUAUAUAUAUAUAUAUAUAUUAAAUUAACUAUAAUAAUUAUAAUAAUUAUAUAUACUAUAAUAAUUAUACCCAACAUAUUAACUAUAAUAAUUAUAUAUAUAUUAAAUUUUAUACCCCUAAAAUCUAUAAUAAUUAUACAUACAAAAUAAAUAGAUUUAAAUCUACUUAAUAAAUAAAUAUAUAUAUAUACACACACACACCAUUGAACUUCAUGGAAUACGAAUUAUACAAAACUAAUUUCAACGAUCCAACCGUCAAACAUGUUUGUAUAUACUUCGUAUAUACUUCGAGAUUGCAUACGCCAAAAAUUGCAAAAAACAAACAUUUAGAGAGCAAAUAACAUGACAAAACUUUUCGACGGUUAUAAACGAAAAAUCACGAUUUAACAGUCAUUUUAACUCCGAUUUUGAUGAUUUUUUACAACCACACUCCUUGACCCUAUAUGAAUACAAUGAUUGAAUUCGAUCUUCAAUUUAAAAUAUUUACACUAGUGGAUACCACAAAAUCUUAUGUUAUACUUAAUAAAAGUAUGAAUAAACUCUUAAGUAUUAGUGAAUCUAUUGUUUUGAUGGGAUACUCAUUCUACAAAACUAGUUUCAAUGAUCCAACCGUCAAACAUGUUUGUAUAUACUUCGAGAUCGCAUACGCCAAAAAUUGCAAAAAACAAACAUUCAGAGAUCAAGUAAUGGGACAAAAGUUUUUCGACGGUUAUAAACGAAAAAUCACGAUUUAACGGUUAUUUUAACUCCGAUUUUGAUGAUUUUUUACAACUACACUCCUUGACCCUAUAUGAAUACAAGUAAUGAAUUCGAUCUUCAAUUUAAAAUAUUUACACUAGUGGAUACCGCAAAAAAUCUUAUGUUAUACUUAAUAAAAGUAUGAAUAAACUAUUAAGUAUUAGUGAAUCUAUUGUUUUGAUGGGAUACUCAUUCUACAAAAACUAGUUUCAAAGAUCCAACCGUCAAACAUGUUUGUAUAUACUUCGAGAUCGCAUACGUCAAAAAUUACAAAAAACAAACAUUCAGAGAUCAAUUAACGGGACAAAAACUUUUCGACGGUUAUAAAAAGAAAAAUCACGAUUUAACGGUCAUUUUAACUCUGAUUUUGAUGAUUUUUUGCAGCUACACUCCUUGACCUUAUAUGAAUACAAUGAUUGAAUUCGAUCUUCAAUUUAAAAUAUUUACACUAGUGGAUACCACAAAAUCUUAUAUUAUACUUAAUAAAAGUAUGAAUAAACUAUUAAGUAUUAGUGAAUCUAUUGUUUUGAUGGGAUACUCAUUCUACGAAACUAGUUUCAAUGAUCCAACCGUCAAACAUGUUUGUAUAUAUACUUCGAGAUCGCAUACGCCAAAAAUUGCAAAAAACAAACAUUCAGAGAUCAAGUAACGGGACAAAACAUUUUCGACGGUUAUAAACGAAAAAAUCACGAUUUAACGGUCAUUUUAACUCCGAUUUUGAUGAUUUUUUACAACUACACUCCUUGAUGAAUAUGAAUACAAUGAUUGAAUUCGAUCUUCAAUUUAAAAUAUUUACACUAGUGGAUACCACAAAAUCUUAUGUUAUACUUAAUAAAAGUAUGAAUAAACUCUUAAGUAUUAGUGAAUCUAUUGUUUUGAUGGGAUACUCAUUCUACGAAACUAGUUUCAAUGAUCCAACCGUCAAACAUGUUUUUAUAUAUUUCGAGAUCGCAUACGCCAAAAAUUGCAAAAAAACAAACAUUCAGAGAGCAAGUAACGGGACAAAACUUUUCGACGGUUAUAAACGAAAAAAUCACGAUUUAACGGUUAAUUUUAACUCCGAUUUUGAUGAUUUUUUACAACUACACUCCUUGACCUUAUAUGAAUACAAUGAUUGAAUUCGAUCUUCAAUUUAAAAUAUUUACACUAGUGGAUACCACAAAAUCUUAUGUUAUACUUAAUAAAAGUAUGAAUAAACUCUUAAGUAUUAGUGAAUCUAUUGUUUUGAAUGGGAUACUCAUUCUACGAAACUAGUUUCAAUGAUCCAACCGUCAAACAUGUUUGUAUAUAUUUCGAGAUCGCAUACGCCAAAAAUUGCAAAAAAAAAAAAAACAUUCAGAGAUCAAGUAACGGGACAAAACUUUUCGACGGUUAUAAACGAAAAAUCACGAUUUAACGGUUAUUUUAACUCCGAUUUUGAUGAUUUUUUACAACUACACUCCUUGACCUUAUAUGAAUACAAUGAUUGAAUUCGAUCUUCAAUUUAAAAUAUUUACACUAGUGGAUACCACAAAAUCUUAUGUUAUACUUAAUAAAAGUAUGAAUAAACUAUUAAGUAUUAGUGAAUCUAUUGUUUUGAUGGGAUACUCAUUCUACAAAACUAGUUUCAAAGAUCCAACCGUCAAACAUGUUUGUAUAUACUUCAAGAUCGCAUACGUCAAAAAUUACAAAAAACAAACAUUCAGAGAUCAAUUAACGGGACAAAACUUUUCGACGGUUAUAAAAAGAAAAAUCACGAUUUAACGGUCAUUUUAACUCUAAUUUUGAUGAUUUUUUGUAGCUACACUCCUUGAACUUAUAUGAAUACAAUGAUUGAAUUCGAUCUUCAAUUUAAAAUAUUUACACUAGUGGAAACCACAAAAUCUUAUAUUAUACUUAAUAAAAGUAUGAAUAAACUAUUAAGUAUUAGUGAAUCUAUUGUUUUGAUGGGAUACUCAUUCUACGAAACUAGUUUCAAAGAUCCAACCGUCAAACAUGUUUGUAUAUACUUCAAGAUCGCAUACGUAAAAAAAAAUUACAAAAAACAAACAUUCAGAGAUCAAGUAACGGACAAAACUUUUCGACGGUUAUAAACGAAAAAUCACGAUUUAACGGUCAUUUUAACUCCGAUUUUGAUGUUUUUUUACAACCACACUCCUUGACCCUAUAUGAAUACAAUGAUUGAAUUCGAUCUUCAAUUUAAAAUAUUUACACUAGUGGAUACCACAAAAUCUUAUAUUAUAUACUUAAUAAAAGUAUGAAUAAACUAUUAAGUAUUAGUGAAUCUAUUGUUUUUGAUGGGAUACUCAUUCUACGAAACUAGUUUCAAUGAUCCAACCGUCAAACAUGUUUAUAUAUACUUCGAGAUUGCAUACGCCAAAAAUUGAAAAAAACAAACAUUAAGAGAUCAAGUAACGGGACAAAACGUUUCGACGGUUAGAAACGAAAAAUCAUGAUUUAACGGUCAUUUUAACUCCGAUUUUGAUGAUUUUUUACAACUACACUCCUUGACCCUAUAUGAAUACAAUGAUUGAAUUCGAUCUUCAAUUUAAAAUAUUUACACUAGUGGAAACCACAAAAUCUUAUGUUAUACUUAAUAAAAGUAUGAAUAAACUCUUAAGUAUUAGUGAAUAUAUUGUUUUGAUGGGAUACUCAUUCUACGAAACUAGUUUCAAUGAUCCAACCGUCAAACAUGUUUGUAUAUAUUUCGAGAUCGCAUAUGCCAAAAAUUGCAAAAAACAAACAUUCAGAGAGAACGUAAUGGGACAAAACUUUUCGACGGUUAUAAACGAAAAAUCACGAUUUAACGGUUAAUUUAACUCCGAUUUUGAUGAUUUUAUACAACUACACUCCUUGACCUUAUAUGAAUACAAUGAUUGAAUUCGAUCUUCAAUUUAAAAUAUUUACACUAGUGGAUACCACAAAAUCUUAUGUUUAUACUUAAUAAAAGUAUGGUAUAGUACUAUUGUUUUAUUUUUUUUCAUAAUUAUUUUGGUAAACUUCUCAUAAUUUGAAUAAUUUUUAAUGUUUGGUUUUUCUAUGCUUAGUUUAUGCAGAAGAUAGUUAUGACGUGGAAAACCUUACUGAAAAGGUCAUCAACAUAACUCUUGAAGGCAAUAGAUCAAGCCAAAGUUCCAAUGCAAUUUCAUGAUGAUCGAUGUAAAUCGAUGAUUUUGUAAAUUGAGGUUUAAACUUUUGAGAAAGAUUUCAUAACCUUGAAAACAAAAACUGUUUCAUUUUGCAUAUCCUUGCACAUAUAAAAUUUGUAAUAGAUUAGUAGUGUAUGUAUUAUUUUUUUAUUAGGCUCUUAUUUUCGAGUGUAGAUGUAGUACUUAAACGACAAAUGUGUUUUAAUGUUUUGAAGUAAUAUUUAUGUGGCAAUGUGUGGUAUGUGCAAAUUUAAGAAAAAAAAAAUAUUUUUCUUAACGGGUCAUAACGGGUCGGGUCACUUUACCCGUUGGGUAAAGUGACACGACCUGUUAAGGACCCGUUAAGAUAACAGGUGUGACACGACACGACCCAUUAAGAUAACAGGUGUUAUACGAAAACGACACGAACACGACUGACACGACCCGUUUGCCAGGCCUACUGGUGGUAUAGCAUACAAUUUCAUACACUAGUGAUAACUAGUGUAAGCUGAAAAUUUAACCAUACACUAGUCAUAGUUAGUGUAAGAAAUGCAAAAGAUUGGGGAGAUGCGAAAGAACUCAUCUCUGGUCCUGGAAAUAUUGCAUACAAUAUUGCUCUACCAAUUAAACCAAAUCUUAUGACUCUAGUGACAAGCUAGAAAGCCACAAAAGAAUAAACAAGGAAUCAGGCUAUGCAAUUUCCUACCACAUUUUCACAUCAACGUGAUUGUUAGGGGUUUCAACAACUUCACAGAAUAACCACAAAUCUCAUCUCCGGCAUUCAGGCAGAAAAAUCAAAUAAAAGUUUGAAAUCAAGAAUCAAUCCCGAAACUGAAAGUUGAAAUUUUGGAAAAAUAACUUACAUCAGAGGACUUUCCAUGAGGAGAAGAUCAUUUUUACCUCUUGGGUCGAGGACAUUCCACGAUGAGCCUGCAUAAAUGAACCAAUUAAACAAAGAAAUGAAAACCGAAUAACUCGGAAGCUAAAGUAUCACAGAUAGAAAAUUGCAUAUACCUAACUAAAAAUGCACAACCUAACGAGAUGUGGUAGUCUAAGUGUAUAACACAAGGGUGAGAAGUACUCUAGUGCUCACAAACUGAAGCCACAAGACUACCAGAUAAUGUAGCUUCAGAAAUAUCAUUCGUUCUUUUGCGCACAAUCAUACAUGCUCAUCAGAACAAAGUAUGAUCUCCAACGGAAAUAGAAGUGACACAGGUGAAAGUCAAAAUAAACAAACAAAUAAUAGUGAACGAGAAGGCCCUAAAGAAUUGCUCUAACUAGGAGACAAGCUUAAAUUAUUCAGAUAAUAAGCCUUGCACAAACCCAACUUUCAAAAAACUAGAUUAGUAUGCCGUGAUAUUUAACAAUGCCGUCAAAAACUUGCUUGUUGAACUACUCAACCCUGUAUUCCAUCUCCUUCUCUGCCAUACCAAAAAUUUGCACAAUUGUUUAAAACCAAAUUAAGGUCUUUCGAAAACCCACCAGAGAUUAUUUGAAAAACACGAAUUUAGAACAAUAAUUCAAAACCAAAGAACAGAAAAUCCAUCACACCAGAGUAAAAAUUAACCAUCUUGUUGCUUCCUAACUCUCAAGAAAUAUCCACGUCUCACUUUUACUAAUGUCAAAACACUGCCAUCAUUGAUCAAUUAGACAAAUAAGACCCAAUUCGAUUACGCCCAAACUCACAGAACACCCAGAUUCCCAACAUCAAUUGAACAAUCUAACCAUGAAUUUCCAAAACUUUCCCCAAAAUCCAGUCUUGGGCAUGCAUUAAAUCCAAUCUAAAACUUGAAUUCAUUUUUAGAGAACAAAAAGUAAAAACUUUGGAACAAUGAAGCAAAAGGGUAAUUACCUGUUCCUUGUCCAAAACCGUCGGCGCAUUGUUGGGGGCAGCCAUUAGAACCUGGACAAUUCGCAAAUUCGCAAAUUAAUUUACACAAACUUCUUCGAAACCGAAUGAAUUAGCAGAGAGGGUUUAAGUAAUCUUACUCGGUGGGAUGGAAUCGAACGCGCUGAAAGUGGUAGCUCUAAAUGCAGAGGGGUUUAAGCGUCCGAUUUGAAGCGAAAGCAGGAGAAAAUAAAAAUCCCACUGAGCUAAUAAUAUACGAAUUAGGGUUUUAGGAGUUAAUAUAGCGUGUAUAUGCGAUGGACGGUUUUGUUUUUCGGGGGGAUUUCAACCGGAAAAGUUAGUGGAUUAUUGCCCUUUCUUUUCUCCUUCCCAAAGGCCCUGUAUGGUGGGCCGUCGUAUAUAAUUGUCCUUUUCUUUCUUAUUUUUUGGAUUUUUUUAUUUCUUUUCUAACUCAUAGAUCAUCGGGGCUCAGGUUCAGUUGAUUAAAGUAGUAUGUUUCUUUUGUUAUGCUAUAGUUUGAAUAUUCAUUCAAAUGAUUUAGAUUUCUUGGUGCAAAGUAUCAUUCAAUUAAAGAAAAAACUCGUAUUAUGUUUGCUUACAACCAUUGUAUGUUUGCUAACAACAAAGGAUUUGAGAGGAAAAAAACGUGAAUCCACAUUGAAAGGAAAAAAAUAUGUGCUAGAUUACGCACUGCAAAUGGAAACAAGUUGUCACCCCUAUUUAUCCAAAAAUAAUAUACUUGUUAUAGAAUAUUAUAUUACGAAGGGCGGAGAGCGUGUGUACGGCAAAUUAGGAACGGGUACAGCAACGUAGCAGCACAAGCAAGACGAUGAUUGGAACUGCAACUUACCCCACACAUUCACAGAAGCCUUUUUCUUUCCCCUGCUGGUGUUCAUGAAAGCACUUUGAAGUGAAAAAGCCAUGAAAUUACGAAGGCAAGGAUCAUGCAGACAAGAAGGAAAUUCAUAAUGCAGCGGCCAUGCCACAUGGUUCAGGUUUCAACCUGGAUCAUGGGUGGUGCUGGUACUGAUGCGGCUGUGGCAGUACUGCUAUUUGCCUCGUUAAUCUGGUCACCUGAAAUGUUGAAUGCAGUUACUCCACAGAUCUCGCAGGUUCUGCAAAUCAUAUGAAUAAAAUUAUGCAUAGGCAGAAAAUAACAUAUCAGUCAGACAAGACAAGUAAUUACAACCAUAACGCAACAUAAUGAAGAAAUGUACCAUGAGGAUUUUGAACAAACAUAAUGAAGUGUAACCAACAGCAUACAAAUAUAAAAAAUAUAGAGGAAAAUGCUAUACAAUCACUGUAAGUGAUUUCAAAGGCCAUCAAUCUUCUAUUUCUGUUUCUGGAAAAAAAGUCAUGUCAUCAAGAUGUCGUUCCAUUUGCUUACCAUGAUGAGUAAAAUGAAAUUUGAACUAGCUUGCUGUUCUUGCAUAUCUUCUCCUCAUCCUGGUUACCAAGCAAGUCAGCCUUGACCAAUCCAUCUAUGAUGCAGCUUAUCUAGAUUAUAUUUCCUGUUGCCUAAGUUUGGAUAUUUCCUUUGCAGAGGGUAUAGCGUGCAAGGUCCUAAGAACUUUACCAAAUUAUCAUCCUUCGAGUAGAGAAAAUCUCCCAAAUAUAUAAGCGAAAUAAACUUGUGACGGAAUCAAAGAAUGCAAAUGCUCAUCAUCAUUUACUAAUCCAUAUGCAUAAUGUAAACAUUUACAUCUUUAUUAGAAGCAUACAUAAAAAAUACAUGGCACACAAGAUAUCAACUUUUCGACCUAGGAGCUCAAUUCUUGCAUACAAACACACUUCCUUUAGUUUGCAUUGGACCUCGCACUUUCCACUAAUGUAAAUGCCACAGAAAGUGUGACUGUAAAAACUUUAAACGUAGAACGAUCGAUAUGUUUGAGUUCAGAUGGACUGUAAUAUUGGUGACUACAAGAUUUGUUCUUUUACUAGAUUUUCUCGUAUUUCAUAUGAGCAUACGCAUUCUACUAUAUACGUGAUCUGCCUCAUUUAGCAUUCCAGUAAGAAGCAAAAUGAUAAGAACAAUUGUGACAAUUACAUCAAAAGAAAGAAGCUAAUUAGCAAGUAAUCAUUCGAAUAAGCUGAACUCACAGAAGCAGAAACCUAAACACUAUCAAGAUGGUCUCUGUUGUAGCAUGCCCAUAGUAAGAUCAUAGUUUGAAGUAUGUUAGGAUGCCACUUGUCAUCAUCUCAAUAUGACAAAUGUAAGGUUGAGAUGCUCUAGUAGUAGAUAAGAUGGUUGUAAGUUGUCGGAUGAUAGCUUACAGAGGAAGCUAAGUAGUUUACAUAUAAGGAAGUCGGUUGUAAUUGGGAGGGGGUCAUUGGAAUAAUCUCUGUGUAAUACAAGAAAGUACUAUGCAAUUGUGAAGAAGCCGAGCAAGGUUUUAACAUUGGUAUCAGCCAGUGUCGAUUCCUCUCAAUCCUUCAUUGUUGUAUGCCUCGCCGACCCCGGAACACCAUGGAAUCGCGAGUGUCGACUUUGGAAACCAUGCUCGCCGAUCUCAAAGCUGAGUUCAACUAACAGCCAAGAGAUGAUCAUGAUGCAGCUGCAAUCAUGAUGCAGAUGGAUGCAUUAUUUGUGGCUUUUAUCGUUAUUGAAAUCUUGUUGGAAUUUCGACAUUUAUUGAUCAUAAUGCAUCCAUCUGCAUCUCCGUUGUAUCAUUACCCUGUACAAAGAAAGUGGCUCGAAGUCUUGAGAAGCAACAUAACCAACAAUCACACCACGGCAUUUGGGUGCUCCAUUAGAAAUGGUGGGACUACGACCAGGAAUCCCAGGUACAUUACGUCUUGCUACAGUUAAAAGGGACAAGUGCUCAAAAUCAAAUACAUAUUCGUGAUAUAACUUUGGCACUCUUAUUUCUGAUACAUAGUGACUGAGCAGAUAAUCAUAGAUAAAAUCUUUAAAAAAAAAAAAUAUCACAAUUUCAACCAGAAAUUUCAAUGGCUCUGACGUCAACGUUCUUCAACUCCGCCUUCGGAACAGUGACACUCAGAACUCCAUUCUCCAUGGCAGCCUUAAUCUGAUCAACCUUUGCGUUCUCCGGAAGCUGAAACCUCCUCAAGAACUUGCCGCUGCUCCUCUCCACUCUGUGCCACUUGUCGUUUAUAUCCUCCUUCUCCACGUUCCUCUCUCCGCUGAUCUUAAGCACCCUGUCGUCUUCCACCUCCACCUUCACCUCCUCUUUUUUCAGCCCUGGAACGUCCGCCUUGAACACAUGGGCUUCGGGGGUCUCCUUCCAGUCGACCCUAGUGUUCACAAAAGCCGAAUUCUCCCGAGAAAAUUCAGGAAAUGCGGAGAGUGAUGAGGAGGAAGGGAACGGGAAAUCCUUGAAAGGGUCCCACAGAUUGAGGGAGAAUGGGUCGAAGACGCUGCUGCUUCCUCCUCCGGAGUUGGGAAUUAGCGACAUUCUGAAAAACCGAUGGGGUUGGUUUGGAUGCAGAGAAAUUUGAGAAUUAUUACAGAAAUAUUGCUUUUGCUGGACUGAUUGCAGAAAUAGCGGAUUUGAUAUAUUUAUAAGGAACCGAAGAAUUUUCUAGAACAGACUUGAGGAUGAGGCUGGAAAAGUAUGUGUGAGUUUCUCGAACUUUCUAUGAUGCUUGAGAAUAAUUGGAACUUUCUCAGGACGCUUAAGAAUAAUCCGACGUUUGUGUGAGUUACUCACACAACACGGUUGACUUCAUGAUGAUGAAUGGUGGACCCAAAAACCUAAGUGUGGGGGUUGUAUGGGCCGUUCGAUUUAAUCGGACGGUUAAAACUGAAGAUACUGUGCAAGUUAUAAGCGGGGCGUUUGAAUCUUUGAUAUGUAUUAUUUGGACUUAUUGAUAAAUAAUAAUAGUUCCAUUAAAUUAACAAUAUCAACUAAAUAUCAAUAACAUUUAACAUCUCAUGAAGUAGCUUAUCUAAAGGUAAAGGGAGUUAUAGCCCAAACAAGCAAAUUACGUACCAACAGUUAAGUAAUAUGAUGGUUACUUAGUACUAUAUUUUAAUGAUUUUUUUUAUUUGUGAGUAAGAAAUCUUAAAUUCGAUUUUAAAUUUUAAAGCUUUGAUUGGAUCAGUUUGAAUGAAAAGUGUUAACCAAGCUUCUAAAACUGGAGAAAGGAUUUCUAGGCAGCAAAAGGCAAGACCCAUGGCGUACAAUUGAGAUUUAAAAAAAAAUGGCUUUGAGAUUUUGUUGGUUAGGAUGUCCUUCCCUCAAUUGUGAGCAGCUCUUAAUUUGCUUUCUUCGCAGGCAGGCGAAUUGGAGACAAUAGUAUGCUUUUGAAGGAGUUUCUUAAAAAUUACCACAGAAACAAUGGUCUUCCUAGAUGUGCCUUGCAGGUGGACAUUCUGAUAGCUUGUGAUACCAGGUUGGAAAAUGGGUUACUAGGAUUAGGCUGGUUCAUAGUUCGAUUCCAUUUAAUUGUAACUGGUAGAAGAAAAAAAAACACUUUCAAACGAAUUUGUAUAGAAUUUAUAUGCUACGACUAAUAGUAGCCCUACUAUUGUUCGAAAUAGAUUAUCAAUUCUAAUUGUGAUGUUUGUACCGUAAAAUAAUGUGAUGCCACGAACGAAUAAGGAUGGCUCAAGCCAUGUAUUGUGCCUUGAGAAUGUGGGGUUGGGAAGCAAUGCAUCCAAUUUUUCUUUCACUUUAUCCUUUUUUUUUUUUUUUGUUAAAGAAAAUACCAUAUGGUUCGUAAGCAAAGUAUCCAAAUCUUUUUCACCUUUUUUUUUGAUAAAGAGAAAUACAAAGUGGGUUCGAAAGCAAUGCAUCCCAUUCUCUUUCCCUUUGUCUUUUUCUUGUUAAAAAAGAAUAACCUUUGUCUUUUUCUUGUUAAAAAAGAAUAAAAAUACCUUACUUCAGAAUCACCUCCUCUUGAGGUAAUGCUCGUUAAAUAUAUAUUUUUUGCUUCUCUAUUUAUAUUGUUAGAGAACUCUUAUUAACCUUUCCCCAUUGAAGUUAUCUGCUCAUUGCAUUGCUGAGGUAACAUAAUCUGUCCUCCUUGUGCAUGAUACCAUUCAACAUUCAUAUUUUCUAGCAAAUUCGUGAAGUAACAAUGUCAAGACCAGACACAUGAGUUGUUGCUGAAUAAGUCAUAGAUUUCAGAAUUUCACUUUUACUCUAGCAAACUGUUGCAUUGGGUUGAUUUACAAUACAAGUACGUACGUACAUCUUGGAAACUUUAUUUCUUUUCAAUAUUUGUUGUUUUAGGUGUUUAUUUUUACCCAUGUGUGACUAAGAAACAAAAGUGUUGGUUUUACAUUAUAUUUUCUAGCAAAUUCGUGAAGUACCAGAUCCAACACCAGACAUAUUGUUGUUGAACAAGGCAUAGAUUUCACAAUUUCAUUUUUUUCCCCUACCGGUUAGUUGCAUUUGGUUGAUUACAAUACAGGUACGUAUGUUCUUAGAAACUUCAUUUCUUUUCAAUAUUUGUUGUUUUAGGUGUUUGUACUAUAUGUUUAUGCAUUUUGAUGUUCAUCCACGUCAACUGAAAUUGAGCUAAUCCCCCCCCCCCCAUAAUCGAAUUUUUACUUUUCUCACUCAAUACAAAAAGUUUGAAAACACAUCUACUAUAUGGUGGUGAAAUGUAAACUAUUAGAAAUUUAUAUGCUGUAAAAUAAUAAAGAGUAAAUAAAUAUACACAUGCACUGAAACCAUCAAUUGAAAAUAUGAAUUUACCCCUUGAAAUUCAAUUUUCUUUAACUAAAACUCAUCAUAGUAUAUUUUCCUAACAAAAACUCAUUGACUUUACCUCUUGAGAAAAAAAACAGGGCCUUCGGGUUUUUUACAUAUAUUUUUUUUUAACACUUCUCCUAUUUAUAUUGUUAGAAAGCUCUUAUUAACUCUUCCCCAUUGAAGUUAUCUGUUCUUAUAUUUGCAUUGAUGUGCAUCAUCUUUCCUCCUUGUGCAUGCUAACAUUCAACAUUCAAAUUUUCUUGCAAAUUCGUGAAGCACCACUACCAGUACCAGACAUAUGAUUUGUUGCUGAACAAGGCAUAGAUUUCAAAAUUUUCAAUUUUACUCUGUUGGACAAUUGCAUUGCGUUGAUUUACGAUACAGGUAUGUAGUACUUCUCUUAAACUCUAGUUAUGUCCAAUAUUUGUUGUUUUAGGCGUUUGUUUUUAUCCUGCUUGACUAAGAAACUAAAAUGUUAGUUUUACAAUCUAGUGCCCACCAGAUAUUCUAUUUCAGGAUCCAGAUCAACAAUUUUAUUGAUUAGGUUUUGACUUCACAUAAUUUUGUAUUUUUAGAUGUUUAAAAUAUCCCUAGUAACAUAUGUUAGAUUAAAAACAAAUUUUAAUAUCUUGAUUUCAUUGCAUAUUAAUAAUAAAAGUAUAUGAUUCUAGGGUUUUCAUUGUUUUAUUUUAUUUUUUUCCUUUUUAAAUUCCUUGGUUGCUUUUCAAAUUUGCAUAAGAUUAAAUAAGAUGUUCUUGACCUCCAAAACAAGGGCUUUGAAAAUGUGGCCCAUCCUGCACCUCCACCAGAGAUAUGGUCAACAUUCGAAAAAGGUUUUAAGGAUUUUAAGUCCAGAAAGGCAAACAUGAAUGAGGUGAUAGAGGGUUUGAAGAGGGUAGAAGUACGAAUGAUUGGGAUUUGUGGAAUGGGGGGCGUGGGUAAAACCACAAUGGUAAAAGAAAUCAUCACAAGAUUGGCAAAACUGAACCUGUUUGAUAAGAUUGUAAUGGCAACUGUGUCUCAAAGUCCAAGUAUUAGGACGAUCCAGUCGGAAAUUGCAGACGAAAUAGGCUUGGAAUUUAAGGUGGAAUCCGAGCCCGGAAGAGCACGAAAGCUACAUGAGAGACUCAUGGAAAUAAAGAGGAUCCUCAUUGUAUUAGAUGAUGUAUGGACAGAGCCUAAUUUUGAGGCUAUAGGGCUUCCUUAUGGAGAUACUCAUAAAGGGUGCAAAAUUUUGUUGACAUCAAGAGAUUCGGAAGUCUGCAACAGGAUGGGAAGUCAACAAAUUAUUGCAGUCCCGACUUUAACAACAGAAGAAUCACAGGAGCUCUUUCGAGAAAUGGUAGGUGAAUCCUUCAAUGAUCCUGAUUUACGUUCCACUGCAGAAGAUGUCGUGAAGGAAUGUGGAGGUUUACCUAUUGCUAUUGUAACUGUUGGAAAAGCCCUAGAAAAGAAAAACAAGCGUGAAUGGGAUGAUGCCCUUAAUCAGCUGCGUAAUUCCAGGCCAGAGAAUAUCCCUGGAGUGAACGACAAAGUUUAUUCUUGCAUAAAAUGGAGUUAUGAUAGAUUAGAGAGUGAUGAAGCCAGGUCAUGUCUUUUACUUUGUUGUUUAUUUCCAGAAGAUUAUGAUAUUUCAAUUGAGUAUUUGGUUCGAUAUGGGUGGGGUCGAGGAUAUUUUAGCAGCAUCGUUACUUUGGAAGAUGCAAGAAAUAGAGUGCAUUCUUUGGUUUACCAACUAAAAAGAAGGUUUUUGUUGCUAGAUAGUUAUGUGAGUGAGGCUACGAAAAUGCACGACGUAGUUCGUGAUGUUGCCAUAUCAAUUGCUUCAAGAGAUCCACAUGGAUUUCUGAUAAGUAAUGCUGAAAAUAAAAGGUGGCCAAAUUUAGCUACAUAUGACCAUUACACUACAAUCUCACUUGUUGGCAAAUUGGAGAUUCCAGUUGGUUUGAAAUGCCCAAAACUUGAGCUUCUACAAAAGAUGAAAGGACGUUUUUCAGAAGGUAGCAUGGACAUCAUUAGUGAUACGAUGAGAGAACUGAAGGUUUUAGCUUUGGUGGAAAUGAAAGACCUAGGCUCAUCAAGACCACUAGGAGUACUGAAGAACCUGCGAACCUUGUGCCUAGAUAGGUCUAAAAUUGAUGGCAUGUCUACUGAUGUUAUUGGGAGUUUAGAGAAUUUAGAAAUCCUCAGCUUUCGUGGUUGUGUUUCCUUGCAUGAGUUGCCGAGGGAAAUUGGACGACUUAAACAGUUAAGGUUGUUAGAUACGACAGAUUGCAGGAAUCUUGAGGUGAUUCCACAUGGUAUCUUCUCCAGCUUAUGUAGACUUGAAGAGUUGUAUAUGCUUAAUAGCUUUACGAAAUGGGAAAUUGGAAGAGGAAGAGAAGAUAAGGGGAUGGCAAGCAUUUCUGAGGUGAUGUCUCUGUCUGAUCAUUUGAAGGUUCUAGCCAUAAAUAUACCCAGUGUCAUCCACUUGUUGCCAAAAGAUAGAGUCUUGAAAAGCCCAACAAUAAGAUUCGGUAUAUGCUUUGGAACUGGGCAAUGCGUUUUUGGAAGAUGACAAUUUAUGCAUUCGAAAAUUGUUUGGUGAUUGAUGAAAGUGAUGCAAAGGAGUUGGAGAGUCAAGCAGUUAGACUUUUGUUGAAAAAAUCUAAAAAAUUGAUUUUGAGCAAUGUUAAGAAUUUCCGUGUCCUCACAUAUUUAGACCAAGAGGGAUUUCAAGAUUUGAAAAUUUUGCUUGUUUUGAAUUGUCCAACUACCGAGUAUCUUGCAAAUGGAACAAGUGUGACCCAGCAAAAACUCUUUCCUCUCAUACAGUCAGUUAGUCAGCUUGCAGAUAGCUUUUUGAGCAACCUAAGAUUCCUAAAAUUGGCAGAUUGUGGUAUCUUAAAAUAUGCAUUUUCACUAUCACUAGCGAGAAACCUGGUACAACUCAAAGAUUUAUAUAUUUAUGAAUGUGAUCAGAUGGAAGAAAUUGUGUCAAAGCAGGGGAAGGAACAUGAGGAGGAAGCCGAUAUGAUAUCUUUCCAUAAAUUAACCAAUUUGAGUCUCUGGGGUCUACCGAGUUUGGUUGGUUUCUUCCAAGCCAACAAGCUAUACUCCAACCAAGAGGUAUGUCCCACUCUCCAAUUUCUAUGAUAUGAGGAGGCAACCAAAUUGUGGAAAUUUGAAAUUGUUACGAAAUGCUUAAGUUGGUGUAUAAUUUUUCUUUAACUGAUAAUGAUUUUUCUUUUUCAGGAAACAACGCCAAGGGUUGAGCAUCAAUCUGCAUGAAUAUUUGAAAAAGCAAUAUUUCCAUCAAAGUGCAUUUCAUGGUUACCAAGUUUAGAAAAGGUAGGAUUUGUUUGGAUUAAAACUUGACUUUGGGCUCAAGAUAGAAGCUGGCCCAAAAGGAGGCCUGAAGGAAUAGAAGAUCAAGGCCCGGCCGAAACCUAGGAAAGCAGAGAAGGGCUUUUUCUGACUUGAUACAAUUCAUAAGGACCACUUCCUUACCUACCCAAGGACCAAGUGGUAUAGACUGACCAGACUGCACAGCCCAUAAAGUACUUUAUGGUGGCAUUACAUGUAAAAAAGCUGAUGAGUCAUUACCCUCAAACUGCAUUCGGGCAAGGCUGCUGCUACAGGAGGCCAAACCAAGUUGUCUAUAAAAGGAGGAAGAGAAGACAAGAAUAAGGACACUCAAUCAAACAAACAAAUACAAGCCCAAACUCUGCUCAAAAACCAUAUUUGCCUUCAAAACGAAGCUGUAGUCAGCCCAAGCCUUCAUCCCAUUCGGGACAAGCCUUUAUCCCCCGCGGGAUAACCUUCUCUUCAAACCUUUGUAAUAGCUCUGCUACCUUGUUCGAACUUGUUGUAGUAUCGAUUCACUUUUUGUAUCUCCCUCUCCCCCCUCUCUCCCUCUAAGCUUUCAGACCUUUGACAAAACUACAAAGAUAAGGACCUGUAAGACGAUCAGCCUUAACUGAUAAGGUUUAACCUUGCCCGACCUUCUUUGCUUUGUCUUUGUCUUUUCAUUCUUUAAAGCCUAGCAAUAUGUUGUAUACUUCCAGUUAUAUGCAAGUUGUUUCUAGCAAAAUAAUGAUGAAAAGGCUUUCUCAGUAUUUGGAUCCGAUUUGAAUAUAUCUUCAGUGCUCAAAUCAGAUCCAAGUCCUAAGCCCUCGGGCAUGUAAAUCUGAUCAGUUUAAAAGUCCUUAGCCUCAAGGCAUAAAAAAGAACUUUAUGUGGACUUAACCCAUCCACGACAGUCCUUGAUAAACGAGAAGUCCGAAGUUACUUGGGGCGCAAGUAAUCGACCUACCUCUUGGUUUUGUUUCUAUUAUAUUAUGAUUAUCAUAGAACGCUUAAAUAUGGAAUAGAUUCUGAUAGGAAGCCUCAAGGCCUACACCUAAGGCCCCACAAAGGCACCUAUUUGGAUUCAUUCUAUUCUGCGGUCUAGACUGUUCGAAGAACGAACUCUAAUGGGAAGCCUCAAGGCCUACACCUAAGGCCCCACAAAAGCACCCAUUUGGGUUCGCUCUACCUCUCGGACUCGGGUAAUCAGAAGUAUAAUGGUGAGAAGACUUCUGCAAUCAUAAAGAUCAAAUAUGAUGUGUUCGAGCACUGGUUUAGUUUGAGAGAAAGCCUCAAGGCUUACACCUAAGGCCCCACAAAGGCACAUGUCAUGUCUAAACACGGUUUCUUGGGCAUAUACAUAUUCACAACUAAAACUCGACAUCCAUUCGACAUCUACCAUACUGAAGAUGGCAGUGGCACGCCUGAGCACCUCAAAAGUUAAUCUUGAUUGUGAGCCUCAAGGCCUAUACCUAAGGCCCCACAAAGGCACCUUUCAAAUUAACUCUGUCAUUCUCUUUCAGCACUGCCCGACGAGCCUUGCCCGAAGAGUCUUGCCCGAUCAAGACUUGCCCGACAAAGCCCGAUAGGAAAGCAGAAGCCCGACAGCAGCCCUCAACCGGCGCCAACCUCCCGGGGAGCUGUGUGCUUGUUGGCCAGGAAGACAUCCCCGACGGAAAUUCCUGCGACGAACAGGAUUGACAUAUAUUAUGAUGUUUGACGGCGUGAUAUUUGAUCUUAAAAUCCACAUAGUUACGGAUGGGCAGACAACUCCAAUAUUUCCUCAGUUACGUGAGUUGGCAAUAAGGAGUUGUUCAUUUACACACUUGUGGAAAAACAUUCCAUUUGGAUUUCAGGGUUUCCAAAAUUUGAGAUAUUUGAAAUUAAGAUAUUGUUAUGGUCCAGAAUAUGUGUUCUCGCAUUUAAUUGCCCGGGAACUUUUGAAUCUUGAAGAGGUAAAGAUAUCAAAAUGUUCGGACAUGGAAACUAUAGUCAGAAUCACAGAGGAAAUUGAAGAAGAGGCGACAAAAUACAUGAUUUUGUUUCCGAGACUGAACAGAUUUGAACUAGUAGACCUGCCUCGUCUCACAAGUUUUUGUCCAGAGGGAUUUACAUUUCAAUGGUCAUCCACAAAAGAUAUGCACGUGGAAAAAUGUGAAAAAUUGAAGACAUUGGGUGCUGUAAUUCCACAAAGAAAGAAGUUGGAGAAUUAUAAGUCUGAGAAGGAUUCAACAAGUCAUGAUUUCAGUACUUCUCCAACACGUUCAUCCAAUUGGUGCCCUGCUGGAUGUGUAUGCAUACCAUAUUUAAGAGCAAACGCCCACUGCUCCAUUGAAAUAUUGCCACAUCCAAUUAAUUUGGAGGUAAGCUUUUAAAUUAGGUUCAAUUAACCUCUAUAAGUACAACUUUUAAUUAGUAUUGUAUCUUGUUGUUGAUCAUGUUUAAUUUUCUAGGUUACACCAACUAAUCUUGGGGACUCAAAUGAUAAUGAUAAUCUCGAAAAUCUUAUUGUACAUGACUGUGCGUCAUUGGAAGUGAUUUUCCAACUCAAGGGACCGAAGCAUGAAGAAAGUAGUCACUCUGUUGAAGCAUUCAAUAAAUUGAGGUCCUUGCGGUUACAUAAGCUCUAAGUUUAACGUGUGUUUGGGAGACAGGUAGUUCACAGCCGAUGUUCACAGGAAGCAGUUUUGGAAACUUGAAAUCGCUGCAGGUCGAUUUUUGCAACCAGUUGAAAUACUUGUUUUCGUCGUUCAUAGUCAAACUCCUUGUGAGUAUAGAGGAAGUAGAAGUUAAGAAGUGUGAGCAGAUGAAAGAAAUCGUUGCCGCAGAAGAAGAAACUGAUGAAAUAAUUACAUUACCUAAAGUGAAGUCCAUCAAGCUUCAAAGUCUGCCAAAACUCAAUUAUUUUUGUGGUGAUGCUUAUACUUUGAAGUUGUCGUCUUUGGAGUUACUGGAGGUUAAGAAGGUCCAAAACUUAAGGCGAUUUGCUCCUAAGCUUGUUGACACACAUCCCCGAUUGCAAGUACGCACAGCGUUGGGAGUGGCUGAAUGGAAGGAGGACCUCAAUGCCACUCUAAGGAAUAUUUACGACACAAGGUAUGCUUUAAUGUAAGGUUUUUAAUUUUCAGUCAUUUAUGUGCGUAUUUAAUGUAAGAAUGCGAGCUGGAUGGAUGAAGUGUAAGAAUGCAUCCGGCGUAUUGUGUGACCGUCGUAGGCCACUGAAGCUCAAGGGAAAAUUUUAUAGGACGGCAAUAAGGCCGCGAUGUUGUAUGACACAGAAUGUUGGGCGGUGAAGCAUCAACACGUACACAAAAUGGGUGUAGCGGAGAUGAGGAUGCUUCGUGGGAUGUGUGGGCACACGAGAAAGGAUAAGAUUGGGAAUGAGGAUAUCCGAGGUAAAGUAGGAGUAGCCGAAAUUGUAGGAAAGAUGAGAGAAAAUCGGCUCCGGUGAUUUGGACAUGUGCAAAGAAGGCCGAAUGACGCUCCGGUUCGAAGAUGUGACUACGGGACAGAGGUUCAGGGCCGAAGGGGCAGAGGAAGACCUAGGAAAACUUUGGAAGAGACUCUAAGAAAAGACUAAGAGUACUUGGAUCUAACGGAGGACAUGACACAAAACCGAGCGCAAUGGCGUUCUAGGAUUCAUAUAGCCGACCCCACUUAGUGGGAAAAGGCUUUGUUGUUGUUGUUGUUGUUGUAUGUGCGUAUUUAAAGAUGUUUUUUUUUUUAAAACAUCUAUCUUUUAAUUCUUGAUGUAUACGUGGGAUUUCUAAAGUUUUUACAAAAGACUGAAUAAUAGCGUACAUAUAUUAAUGUAUAUGUGUGUGUAUAUGCGAGUAUGUGCACACUAAGGUGUGUGUGUGCCUAUAUAUAUAUAUUUUUUUUUAACUCAAUUGUAUCUCAAGAAAACAUCGUCUUUUAUUUCUAAUACAGUAAGGAUGAAGAUGACGAACUCGACAGUGAGGAUGAAGAUGACGAACUCGACAGUGAGGAUGAAGAUGACGAAAUCAACGGCGAGGAUGAAGAUGACGAAAUCGACAAUGAGGAUGAAGAUGAGGAAAUCGACGGCGAGGAUGACGAUGACAAAAUCGACGGCAAUGAUGAAGAUGACGAAAUGAACAGGGACGACGAACACAAUUGAUUGAUCAAGCACAAAGAUUAGCAUGUUUCCAUCUCCAACUUCUUCUAGGUUUAGUAAAAACUGAUGAAAAUUGUCUAUAUAGUACUCAAAAAAAUAUUCUACCAUGUUUUAUAUAAUAUAUACAUACAUUUAUAGCACUUAAAAAAAUUUAACAGUUUGGAUCUAAAACCAGAAUCUGCUACCUGUUUCAUUUUUUCGAGGUACCUAAUAGCAAUUAAGGACCUUUGUCAGACACGUAUACAAUAAACAUAACCCUAGUGCUAAGUGGCUUAAAAAUUAAUUUAGUCCUUAAACCGCUAUUUUUGGAAACACAUACAACAAGCACAAGCGUUUCAACUUAUUCCAAUUUCAGUGAUUUCUAAUAUUCUCCAAUGCAUGCAGGAAAAGAGUUUAAAGAACGUUGUGGCUACAGCAAUUCGUUUACUAUAUCAUAUGUACAAACCAAUAAAAGGACAUUUGUUGCACCCUAAUUUCAUUCCAAAAAUACUAUUUAUGUUGCUUAUUUUAUGUACCAUAAAUUCCAAUUGCGAUUAUUACUGUUUGUUUCUAAAUUCGCAUCAUUAGUGUUUGCUUAUUUGUGCUCGAUGUUGAUUAUAUUCUUGCAUUUCCAUUCAUAAUGAUAAUUUGGAAGUCUUGUCUCUAGCUAACUAAUAUUUGCAUUUCAAUUGAUAAUGAAAAUUCUAUGAUACCAUACAAGUGUUAGCUGAAUGACAUGUCUGUAGGAUGGAAAGCUGAAUAUACUGUAAUAUUGAUCACACACAUAUAAACUGAACAAUAUUAUGAUACACUAGCUAGCCGUAACUAAUGAAAGCUGAAUAAUAUGAUCACACACUAUAAAGUCCGCUAUUAUAGAAACUAACUUGGGGAUUGGAUAAGGGACGGCAAUAUUGGCCCAAUUCCGGCGAUAUUGGCCCGAAAACCCUGGGUCACCGUGUCUUAGAUUUGAAGUUGAGGAAAAUCGCCUACGAAUUUAUAGAAACUAACUUGGGGAUUGGAUAAGGGACGGCAAGAGCAUUCUGGAUGUGUAGUUUGAGAGCCUUUGGUGACCAGUGGACGACAGAGCUGUUGCGUCGGCACUCGGCAGUCGUCGGCUUGCUGUUAAAUGGGGCUCCUGUUGCAGCGCAAAAGAGAAGAAGGAAAGAGGAUACGGGAGGAGAGAAAAUGGGUUUCACCCACUUUGUACAUUAAUUCUUUUCCACAUUUUUUAUGGAAUAAACGACAUUAUCUAUCAUCAAAAGUGCGUUUGGUACGUGAGAUGAGACGGAACAUGUUUUGAUGAUAAUAAUGGUUAGAAGUAAUAUAGUUCAAAUUCAUCUUUGAUGAUAAUCGAAUAUAAAAUCCCUUACUUACAAGUUACAAAUAAAGAUGAAUGCCAUUAAUUUUUUUUCCACUUUUAAUACAUACCUAAAUAAAAAGAAACAAAAUGAAAAUGAAAAGAAAUAAUAAUUUGAAAGAGAAAUGAAAAAUAAAGGUAAAUUGACAGCAUAAGGUAACCCCACUACCCCGCUGCUGCCCGCAAGUUCUUUCCUCGCCCCUGUUUCUACGUCCAAUUAAUCUGUAGAAACUAACUUGGGAGUUGGAAAGAGAACGGAAAGAGGAGUCUGGAUAUGUAAUUUGACGGCCGUUGGUGACCCGUGGACGAAAAUAAACUUCAUGCGAAAACAAGACCAGAUUGAGGUAAGAAAGAAAAAUACAUAGGCAGAAAUAACAUGUCAGUCGGGCAAGACAAGUAAUUGCAACCAUAACACAACACAAUGAAGAAACAUACCACGAGGAUUUUGAACAAACAUAAUGAAGUGUAACCAAGAGCAUACAAAUAUCAAAAAUAUAGAAAAGAAUGCUAUACAAUCACUAUAAGUGAUUGCAAAGGCCAUCUUUCCUCGCCCCUGUUUCUACGUCCAAUUAAUUAAUCUGGAGGUAAGCUUUUAAAUCAGGUUGAAUUAACCUCUAUAAGUACAUCUUUUAAUUAGUAUUGUAUCAUCUUGUUGAUCGUGUUUAAAUUUCUAGGUUACACAACCUAAUCUUGAGGACUCAAAUGAUGAUGAUAAUCUCGAAAAUCUUACUCUAAUUAACUGUAAUUCAAUGGAAGUCACAUAAAAUUAUCAGAUUCCACAAUAGUAUUGGAAAUAACCUUUAGUCCUUAAACAGCUAUUUUCAGAAACACACAUUUCAGUGAUUUCUAAUAUUUUCCAAUGCAUGCAGGAGUUUCCCGAAAGAAAAAAAGAAGGUUGUGGCUUCGGCUAUUCGCUUACUUUCAUAUGUACAAACCAAUAAAAGGUCAUUUGUUGUACCAGAAUUUCAUUCCAAAGAUACAGUUUCCGUUGCUUACUAUAUGUAUAAUUAAUUUCGAUUGCGAUUAUUACUGUUUGAAUUCAUCUCUCGACUGCCUAUGGGGACGUCAAGGUGGACACCAAAAUGGAGGCGUGAUGACCUGCAUCCGGAAAGUGACGUAGCCAUAACGUGCAUGCAAAUAUAAUUUAAUAAAAUAACUUCAAAUGAUCUACGGAAAAAUCGGCAUAGUUUCCUUUGGAAUUAGGUUUUGGCCCCCAAAUUUAAAACCUGCUGAAAAAGUUAUAAUUAUUUCAAAACCACAUCCCCGACACCUAAUGGGUUAUCAACCCUCUACUACAUGCACGUAUACUCCAAUAUACUUACUGGUGGUAUAGCAUACAAUUUCAUACACCAGUGAUAACUAGUGUAAGCUGAAAAUUUAACCAUACACGCUAGUGUAAACUGAAGAUAAAACCAUACAUUAGCUGUAGCUAGUGUAAACUGAAAAAUAUAAUCAUACACUAGCCGUAGCUAGUGUAAGCUGAAUGGGCAUGCUCAUAGUAGGGACAAGAUGACUAUACUGUAGUAUAAAUCAUAAACGUGUAAGCUAAAUAAAAUUAUCAUACACUAUAAGGUCUGGUAUUAAUUCAUAAAAUCUAUUCUUCCCCUAAACGUAACGGAAAUCAUAUGUAUCUAGGCAUGCUUAAUAUUUGAUAAAGAAAAACAUUUCUGAAUAAAUGUCCACUGACACCUCCGGCUAGCUCUCCCUUGAGGAGCCUUGUCUACCAAAAAGGUAAUUUCAAGCAACUUCAAGAGAUAAUUUGACCACGUUGCGAAAGUAUGACACCAAACGGUUGAGACCCAGAAGACAUCCAAGAGUUUUUGGAGAAACAGAACGCUCACUGAAGAUAUGUGUUCUAUUUCUAUAGCACGUUUACCCCAAACAAAACACAGGUUAUGGAAAGGAAAAUAACAUUAAGAAAUGCAAAAGAUUGGGGAGAUGAGAAAGAAGUAGUCUCUGGUCCUGGAAAUAAUGCAUACAAUAUUGCUCUACCAAUUAAACCAAAUCUUAUGACUCUAGUGACAAGCUAGAGAGCCACAAAAACCCCAAGUCCUUGCAGGGAACCCAAAACCAAAGCAAACUACCGAAAUGAACCCGAUUCGAGCCAAGAAAUGACAAAUGCUUAUGUAAAAAUAAAUUAAUCAAAUCAAACAAGAAAUGACAAACCCCGAUUCUAGUUGAAUACAACUAGAAUAAACAAGGAAUCAGGCUAUGCAAUUUCCUACCACAUUUUCACAUCAACGUCAUUGUUAGGGGUUUCAACAACUUCACAGAAUGACCACAAAUCUCAUCUCCGGCAUUCAGACAGAAAAAUCGAAUAAAAGUUCGAAAUUAAGAAUCGAUCCCAAAUCUCAUUUUUACCUCUUGGUUCGAGGUCCAAUUCCUGCGAUAUUUGGCCGGAAGUUUGCCGGAAAACCCGUGGUCACCGUUUCUUUUGAUCUGAAAUUGAGGAAAUGCCGCUUCGAAUUUGUAGAAACUGACUUGGGGGUUGGAAAGAGGACGGGAAGAGAGAAUUCUGGAUGUGUAAUUUGACGGCCGUUGGUGACCGAUGUUAGCAGACGUCGCUGUUGCAAUUACAUCAAACCUUCAACUCCACCACUUCAUCUUCUUCGUCAAGACCUAGAUGGACGACAACGUCGUACACAGAGUCUUCCAAGAAGGAGGCCAUGGCUAUUUCCAACAAUGACCCUCCACUUUCUCUUCCUCCGACGUCGUUUCAUUGAUUUUGAGAUCUGGGUUUUGUUUGCGGUGUGAGGUAUUUUAAAAUCUGGCAUCGUGGAGCUUGCUGGAGAAGAAGAUGUGGGCUGAUAUUGUUCGAAUUCAGGGACCCCCAACUCGAAUUGUAAAGCUUGGUUAUGGUUUUGGGAAGGGGUGUGGGCUGGCGAGCGCUGUAAUGAGAACCGAGUCGUCCGAAUCCAAGCAUUUCUUCUUCAAUCCCGAUUCUUCCCAAAGAACCACAACUAAGGUCGACACAAUCCCACCGUUGGAUAGGAGCUGCACCCAAUUCCUUUGCCCACCCUCUUUGAAAUCGGUAUCGCCGCGUCGCUUCUUGCCUUCCCGGACCUUGGUCAGCUUCGACAAUGUAAAGAACACCCGCAACAGAGCUCCACCAUGGCCAGGUGGGUGGGAAGAACAAGCGAGAGAAGAAACGACAUUUUUCGUUUUUCAUUUUUUUUCUUAAUUUUUUUAAUAUUUAAUUAUUUUUAUUUGCCACGUCAUACAAAGAUGUGGACUCUAUAUUUACUAUGUCAACAUUUAAAGGUCAAAUUAACGGUUUGAUUGACGGAUAUAUGAAAUUGAAAUAAAUUAUUAGUAAUUAUAUGAGUUUGAAAUAUUUAUAAAUGUUGUAUGAGGUUCUAAUUGCAUUUUUGAUAUGAGUAAUUAUAUGAGUAAUUAUAUGAGCAGAUGUGAUAAAAUGUAAUUUAACCUAAAAAUAAAAUGAAAAAUAAAAAAUAAAGGUAAACUGAAAGCAUAGUUAAUCACCCAUAAUAAUAGGUAACAUUAUCAUAUUGCCCUUUGUUGAUGCACAAAACCGGAGGUUUUGGAACAACGUAAAUCCGACCGUGAAUCUACAUAAAAUGUAAAUAACACAAGAGUUAUCGUGGUUCACCCCAAUGUUUGGGCUACGUCCACACUGAUUGUAUUAUAUUUCUCUGAGAAGUGAGGGGGAGAGAGAGCUCUAGAAGUGAGAGCGUUGAAAGGGGUGAGAAGGCUCCAGAAAUGGCCUCUAAGAGUGAGAGUGAGGCCUCCCUUAAUUGUUAGGGUGAGGAGUCCUUUUAUAGAAUAAGGGCUCCUCACUUAUUACAUAUUUGCCCCUUCCUUUAUCACAUAAUUAUAUUUAAGUCCCCCGAGUAUUUCUACGAUAUCUAAAUACGAGGCCCUAAAUAUGGUAUAAACAGUAGUCCCCUAAGUCUUCAGUCAAGAGAGUCUUUUGGCUGGAGACUUGAAAUUCAGUCCAUGUGUGGGCCGAAGUAACUAGAUGUCGUCUUGAACUGGUACUUGAUAUGAGGCGGUGCUCAAAGUGAAAUGAUGCUCAACUAUAAGUAGCACAUGUAGCGAGGCUGCUCGGCUUGUGGCUUAUGUUGCCUUAGUUAGCUCGGCUUGUGGCGCUUGAAGGUGAGGGGGUCCCUUUUAUAGAAUAAGGGCUCGCUCCUCAAUACAUAAAUGAUGGGCUAGAGUUGAUGCUCGCGGCGAGGCAGUUGCUCAGUAGGCGGCGAUGCUCUCUAAUGGUGGUGAGUGGAUCCUUUUUAUAGAAUAAGAGCUCGUUCCUCAAUACAUAAGUGAUGGGUUAGGAGUAAUGCUCGCGGCGAGGCGGUUGCUCAGCUAGCGGCGUUGCUCUCUAAUGAAGGUGAGGGAGUCCCUUUUAUAGAAUAAGGGCUCGCUCCUCAAUACAUAAGUGAUGGGCUAGGAGUGAUGUUUGCGGCAAGGCGGUUGCUCAGCUGGCGGCGUUGCUCUCUAAUGAAGGUGAGGGAGUCCCUUUUAUAAAAUAAGGGCUCGUUCCUCAGUACAUGAAUAAUGGGUGCUCUCUAAUGAAAGUGAGGGAGUCCCUUUUAUAGAAUAAGGGCUCGCUCCUUAAUACAUAAAUAAUGGGCUAAGUCCCCCAAAUAUUUUUCAUGAGGCCCAAUAUAUGGUACAUAAUGUAGUCCCCCAAGUCUUCGGUCAAUAGAGUCUGUUGGCUGGAGACUUCAAAUUGAAUCCAUGUAUGGGCCGAAGUGGUGGUUGUUCGGAGGCGGUAUUUGUAUACCCUGCACUGAAGCUUUGUAGGUGAAGCUUUGCAAGUGAAGCUUUGAAGCUAGAGCUCUGUAAAUGAAGCUUUCGAAGCUGGAGCUUUUAUAAAUGAAGCUUUUGAAGCUAGAGCUCUGUAAAUGAAGCUUUUGAAGUUGAUUGACAUGAGUGAUGCUCAUGAAUGUUUAUGUUGAUUGACAUGAGUGAUGCUCAUGAAUGUUGUCAUGAGUGAUGCUCAUGAAUGUUAACAUGAGUGAUGCUCAUGAAUGUUGACAUGAAUGAUGGUCAUGAAUGUUUAUGUAUGAUUGUCAUGAGUGAUGCUCAUGAAUGUUUAUGUAUGAAUGACAUGAGUAAUGCUCAUGUAUAAUUUGGAAUACUGGGCGUACUUUUGAUCACCUAGUUGGUGGCAUGAAGAAGAGUAGGGGUUGUACAUUUCAUCACCUGGUUGGUGGCAUGAAUGGCUAGUUGCCAAAUGAUAUUAGAGUACGGGUUGUACAUUUCAUCACCUGGUUGGUGGUAAAAGCGGCAGGUUGCCGAAUAAUUUUGGAGUACUGGGCGUACUUUUGAUCACCUGGUUGGUGGUAAUAGCGGCAGGUUGUCGAAUAAUUGUGGAGUACUGGACGUACUUUUGAUCGCCUGGUUGGAGCUAUUUUGGGCUUAUGGGCCUUCGCCCUUUACACAACAUUCCAGCCCAUUUAUUUUGGGCUUUGUCGUUUUUUUUUUUUUUUUUUAUACCCUCUGAUGGGGUUUAUACAGAUGUCUUCGAAAGAUAAGAAAAAUAAAUUACAUCAUACAAGAAAAGGAAAUCACUAGCAGGGUGUUUUAUUCCUUGAUUUUGCUUUCUCUUUUGCUUUCGCUUUCUUGGAUGACCGCUCUUUUUAGGAAUAAUGGUGCUCGGUGUCUUGUCAAUCCAACGUCCCAAGGUACUGACAUAAGGAGAUGCUGGGACCUUGUAAUGGGAUGGUAACAGCUUGACAUCAUUAGACAUCUGAAUUCCUUUAUCAUCGUGGUCGCGGGACCACUUUGCAGCUGUGUGUUUAAAGAAACCUGCUUUACCUUUACUGCUUUUGUUUCUGUUUCUUUUGACAAGCUGAUGGACGGACAGGAUGGCAUGGGUCGGAUUUAGCACAUGCGAAAAGUUAUUCCUUUUGUCCAAGUGGGUUGUUGAAGAUAACCCAUUACUGCAUUAUUCUCAGGGCUGUGAUGAUGAUGCAGUUGAAGAUUGUGCAGAGAUACGGAAGACCAAGAAGAAGACUUGGCUCUCAGCUUUGUACGAAAUGGGAUUAUCACUGCAAUACGCAAGCUUUGCAGUAGAAACAUAUAAAACUCCCAUGACUGGACUGAUGUGGACAAGUAACAUGCAAAUGAAUUUUGAAGUUGCUCCUCGGGAGUUGUCUUAAAGGUUGAUCGAAAAAUCUUCUCGUAACCACCUUCUGCUAGAACCUUUGUUCCUAGUGCAAUUCUUCCCAUGGCAGCAUCAGCAAAACUGGGGCUUGUUUUUAAGAGCUGCCACGUGUUUCCGGCGAGGUCCUCCGCCUUCUUCGUAGGUUCCCCCACCGACUUCCUCCACCUCCCAAACACGUUCCGCACAGUCUCCACCGAAUCUUUGAAUGAGAGAGAUUGUGAGAGCGUCGGGGAGGGAGCCACGUAAGUAUUGGAUCCCUGAUGGGAAGACUGAUCCGACGUGGCAGCGUGCGACUUAGACAUCAAUUCUGGGUUGGUGCUUCUUCACGCUGUUUACGAACCUAUUGGAGCCAUCCCUCUUCUUCGCCACCACUCGCUGGACGGAGCACGGUCAAGGACUUGCCGAUAUUCUCCUUCCCGCUUCCAUUGUCUCAUCUCAGAUUCAUUCUUCUUUGCUGCCAAAGCAGCUUGUAUGCCUUGCUCAUGCUUCAUACUUGUGUACAUCUGAAGAUGGUUUUUAACGUGUGAUAUGUUAAGGCCCUUCACAUUCAUGGUCUGUAAAACCAUCUUUGGAGUGGCUCUUUGAUCUCCGCCAAGCCUUUCAACCGAGUAGAUGACGACGGGGAUGAUUUCGACAAGCUGCCGAUCAUCUGACGAUGACUGGCGCGGGCCGGAAAAUGAUGGUGGUAGCCGUGGACGACUAGAUGCUUCCCUUGAGCUGUGCUUCUAUUAGGAGUAACACCAUCAUCGUCGUCAAAUGAUGACGAGUGGGGUUUCUGACCACCUGCUCCGAGUAGCUCUCUCCGUGUGUAGAUUCCCGCUCAUGUGAUGACUGGGGACCAUCGAAGCCGGCGGCGGCGGGUACCUCAGAUUAUCCGUGGAUUUUUUAGAGAGGUUGAAAAGACAGGGAUUUGAGGAGAGAGAGAGAGAGUCCUCAUUUCGCUAUCUUGAGCUCUAAAAUCCAUGGAUUUUUUUAUAUUAGUUUGUAAGAAAAAUGAGAGAUAGAAACAGCAUCUUCAGCAUGACUGCUUGAACAUCUCUAUGGUUUUAGAGAGAGAGAGAGAGUGGUGUUCUUGGUUUUUUGUGAUUUUUGCAGAUUCACAGUGGAGGUGAAAAAAAUGAAAGAGAACCGACACAACUUUUCGUAUCGAUUCCCACAGACGGCGCCAAAUGUUGAUGCACAAAACCGGAGGUUUUGGAACAACGUAAAUCCGACCGUGAAUCUACAUAAAAUGUAAAUAACACAAGAGUUAUCGUGGUUCACCCCAAUGUUUGGGCUACGUCCACACUGAUUGUAUUAUAUUUCUCUGAGAAGUGAGGGGGAGAGAGAGCUCUAGAAGUGAGAGCGUUGAAAGGGGUGAGAAGGCUCCAGAAAUGGCCUCUGAGAGUGAGAGUGAGGCCUCCCCUAAUUGUUAGGGUGAGGAGUCCUUUUAUAGAAUAAGGGCUCCUCACUUAUUACAUAUUUGCCCCUUCCUUUAUCACAUAAUUAUAUUUAAGUCCCCCGAGUAUUUGUACGAUAUCUAAAUACGAGGCCCUAAAUAUGGUAUAAACACCCUUAUACAUUUUUGAUAUGAUAUUGCCCUUAUACUCUAUAGUUAUGUAUAAGCUCUAUUUUAACUUUGAAUUUUGUUUUGCUUGCGCUUACUCUUAAGUAUUAACAAAUACUACAAAAAAAUGUUGUGAUAAUACGGCAUAUGUGUCACUAGCUCAAAGGUUAACCGAAGUCAACACUUUCUCUUCUAAAGACAUUUUCGUAUAUAAGUGAUUAGUGACUACAAGAUUGUUCUUUAACUAGAUUUCUCGUAUUUCAUAUGAGUAUACGCAUUCUACUAUAUACUGAUGAAAUUGAGGUUCCAUCAUGAAACCAAUUGGCAAUAUGAGGGGUAGCCCGAUACCUUUGAGUUCAGAUGGAUUGUAAAAGUAAUGACUACUAGAUUGUUCUUUUACUAGAUUUCUCGUAUUUCAUAUGAGUUUACGCAUUCUACUAUAUACUGAUGAAAUUGAGGUCCACUAUAAAAUCAAUUGGCAAUAUGAGGAGUAGCCUAAGAUCAUAUAAGCACAUAGCAAACAUUAUCCCUCACCGAUGUGGGACAACUCUCAACACACCCCCGCAUGUGUGGCUGAUAACUCUCAACACACCAUCGCACGUGUGACGGAUUUUCAAGCCUACACGUGGACAACAACUGGGUGACGUGGAGCGAGUGUGGCCGUUGGGCUUCACACAUGGACAACCUUGCUGUGAUACCAUGAUGAAAUUGAGAUUCCACCAUAAAACCAAUUAGCAAUAUGGGGAGUAACCCAAGAUCAUACAAGUACAUAACAAACAUUGUCCCUCACUGAUGUGGGACAACUCUCAACAUGCCCCGCACAUGUGACGGAUAAGUCUCAACAUAUACGUGAUCUGCCUAAUUCGGCAUUCCAGUAAGAAGCAAAAUGAUAAGAACAAUCGUGACAAUUACAUGAAAAGAAAGAAGCUAAUUAGCAAGUAAUCAUUCGAAUAAGCUGAACUCUCGGAAACAGGAACCUAAACACCACCAAGAUGGUAUCUGUUGUAACAUGCCCAUAGUAAGAUCAUAGUUUGAAGUAAACCACAUCAAAAGUGAGAGAGCGACUCCAGAAAACAAUUAUAGUCAUGUGCUUGCACUUCAAUGCAGAAACAGAAUAAAAUAAAAUCCUAGAGUUUUCAGACCAUCAUUAAACACCCAAGCAGAAGAAACAUUCACAAUCUAGCAAAUGGGUGUUCAUAAUUUCAAGCAGAAACACCAAAAAUCAAAGAAAAUAAUGAAUAUUAAAUUCAGAAUUUUUUUGUACUCAUGUAUCUCCCUUGAUCUUGAACCAAGUCUCAGCGCAUUGCUUAUGCGCAACACCCAAAUCCCCCUUGCAAAAACACCCCAAGUCAAUUGGGACCCCAGAGGCAGAGUCGGUCCUACCACCUCCCUCCAAACCCAAGUUGCAAAUCCUGCAGUUGUUUUCAACUUUACUCAAAUGCACCACCUUCUUCACCUCCAAAAGCCCACUCUCCAAAUCCACCUCAUUCACUGAACAAUCCGACCCACAGGACUUUCUCCAGACAUUGCUGGAGUCAGACAUUGAGUGCCAAGACUGGUUAUCAUCGGAGUCAUCCGAGACCGACGCACCGCUGUCUCCUGUGAUCGAACGAUGGUGGUCGGUUUUCUCGGGAGCUGACAUUCGUGAAACCCGGACAGAGAAAUGGCGUGAAAUGGUGAAGUGUUAAAGUUGCGGCACUCGGACAUCAAACAUGGUGGGGUUAUGGAGUAGGUGGAGAUGUUUUUAAUAUAUCCUCAAUCAAAAUAUCAAAGUCUCCAUCCUCCCUCGAUCACUAUCUUUAUUUAUGUGUCAGUUUCGAACAAUGACUAAGGGUGCAUUUGUUGUACUGGACUGUCUCGGAUUGGACUAACUUCAAGGGCUAAGCUGGACUGAUUUAGUGAAGUAUUUGGUGCAGUGUCGGACUAAAAAGCAUGACUCAUGUAUUAUAUUAUUAAAUUUAUAUUUACAAUAUUUUAUCAUUAAUUUAAUCUAUAUAUACUAAUAUUUUAUUAUUAAAUUAUCAUUUUCCCUUCUAGAAUCUCUUAAUUUUGUGUCCGCCCACUACAUCCUCUCAUCUUUCCCUGCCAUUUCAUAUUCCUCUCAUUUUUUUGUCCACCCACUGCAUCCUUUCCCUCUCUUAUUUCUCUGCCAUUUCAUCUCCCUCUCUCAUUUUUUUUGUCCGCCCACUGCAUCCAUCCCCUCUCCUUUUUCUCUGCCAUUUUAUCUGUGCCACUGUCUCUUUCCUCUUUCCCUUUUCUGGGUUCAAUUUUUCUGGGUUUUCUGGUUAUGGGAAGCAGGGAAAAAGGAGAUGUGAGGGGCAAAGCGGAGUAGAGGUAGCAAUGGAAGAGGUCAAGGAGGAUGGAGCCUGAAGUCAUUGCUGUUGAAAAUUGAAGUCUAGGAGGAAAGAGUCCAAUCGGAGGGCACGACUGAUGAGCUUGGUAUGAGCAGGGUGCGACCGAUGAAGCUCUUGAGUUCUCCGAUUGAAGUUCGAAUCAAGGUCUUUGUUCAUGAUUUAGGGUUGGUAAUGAAAAGAGAGGGAGAGAACGCGAGCAAAGAGAAGAGUAAGGGACGCAAGCAGAGGGCGACGAAGGGAUUAGCUAGUCCUAUGGUUCUCGACGUCUCUCUCUAAGACCGUCUAGCACGGUCCUUAGUCGAGGCAAGUCUGGCUUACUCCCACUAAAGCUAGUCUUGUGAAGUAACAAACAUGAGACUGGACUAACUAUUACUCUAGUCUAGUCCAAAGAGGGCUAGUGAAGGGAAACAAACAUGGCAUUAGCGAACAAGAGAAUGAGGAGUUCCGAAGCAAAUGCGAAUUAUGAGGAUGGUGGGUGGGGGCAGACUGCUCCGAUCAGAGAUAUUUGUAGGAUUACAAUAAAAGACUUGCAAUCUUUUAAGGCUGCCAGUUGUGUUACACUCACAGUCAGACACAUAUACACAGAGACAAAACACGAGUUAGACUUCCAAAAGACUUUGAGUUAGAGUUAGUAAAUUUAUGUAGGAUGGUUCGAGAUUUCAAAUUGAAAAUGAGAUUUCUACUUUUUAAUUUUAAUCUUAAUGUUCAUCUUAAAUUGCCACUUAGUACUACAAUUUAGUGAUAUUUCUCUUCAUUUGUAAGUAAGAGGUCUUAAGUUCAAUUAUAAUCAAAAGCGAAUUUAAACCAAAUUAUUGCUAGCACAUUGUAAGGGUGAGUUCAUCCCUUUUUUUUUAGUGAAACCCAGACAGAGAAAUGGCUUGAAAUGGUGAAGUUUUAAAGUUGCGGCACUCAUACAUUAAACAUGAUGGGGUUAUGGAGUAGGUGGAGAUGUUUUUAAUAUAUCCUCAAUCAAAAUAUCAAAGUCUCCCUCCUCCCUCGAUCACUGUCUUUAUUUAUGUGUCAGUUUCGAACAGUGGCUUUAGUGAACGAGAGAGGAAGGAGUUCCGAGCAAAUGCGAAUUAUGAGGAUGGUGGUGGGGGCAAACUGCUCCGAUCAGAGAUAUAUUUGUAGGACCACAAUAAAAGACUUGCAAUCUUUUAAGGCUGCCAGUUGUGUUACACUCACAGACAGAGACAAAACACGAGCUAGACUUCCAAAAGACUUUGAGUUAGAGUUAGUAAAUUUACGUAGGAUGGUUCUGUAUGAGAUUUCAAAUUGAAAAUGAGAUUUCUACUUUUUAAUUUAGACGAUCUGCACCAAAAAUUCUGAUCUCAAUGUUUAUCUUAAAUUGCUACUUAAUACUACAAUUUAGUGAUAUUUCUCUUCAUUUGUAAGUAAGAGGUCUUAAGUUCAAUUCUCGUCAAAAACGAAUUUAAACCAAAUUAUUGCUAGCACAUUGUAAGGGUGAGCUCAUCCCCUUUUUUUUAGUGUAAAUAAUAUCACUUGUUAAAAAAAUAAAAAUAAAAUAAAACCUUUUUGAAGUAUUCUUUUAAAAGAAUAAUACUUGCAUUUCUCCUUUGAAAAUGAGCUCAUUCUCCCCUACUUGCAAAUAGCAUAUCUUCAUUGUAGCAAUUUCAUAAUUAUAACCGUUCGAUUUCUUAAUUUUCCUUUAAAGAUCAUCACUUUCAUUGGAAAUGGAAAUCAUAUAGUCAUUCAUAUGCCACUCCGAUCAUUUUUUUUUUUUGAAGGUACGCAUUUUGAUGGAAUAAAUUCAUCCCACAAAGAAAAUGCAAAGUAUUAUUAUUUUUAAAACCUGAAAUUGACAAAAAUGACUUAUGAUUGUAAACAAUGAUGAAAACUGAGACCAAAUUGGUUAAAUCGAAAACGUUAACAUUGAAAUUUUACGUCACAGAAUGUAAAAUAAAGAUUACAAAAUCUGAUUAGUUCAUUUUUCUUUCAGCAGAAUUAUGCCAAUUUCGUUUUUGCAAUUGCCGUGAACCUCAUACAUUCAAUAACGAUAAAAGCCACAAAUAAUGCAUCCAUCUACAGCUCCUUCGUAUCAUUACCCUGUGGAAAGAAAAGUUGCUCGAAGUCUUGAGAAGCAACAUAACGAACAAUCAUACCGCGGCAUUUGGGUGCUCCAUUAGAAAUCGGUGGGACUACGACCAGAAUCGUAGGUAUAUGUAUUUGAAAAAAUGUCUUGCUACAGUUAAAGGGACAAGUACUCAAAAUCGAAUACAUAUUCGUGAUAUAACUUUGGCACUCUUAUUUCUGAUACAUAUUUGUGAGUGAGCAGAUAACAUAGAUAAAAUCUUUAAAAAAAAUCAGAAUUUCAACCAGAGAUUUCAAUGGCUCUUAUUUGUGAUACAUUUAUUAAGUAGAUGAUUUGUCCUAAAACAAACACAACCUCAAACAACUAAAGUUUAGAGAACAAACUCUGAGUAUCAAGAGUACUUGACUCAUCUCACUCUUUGCAUAAAACAUUUAAAAAACCAAAUGCCAAUUAUGAAAGUGGAAAACUGAAGUACUUGGCAAGGUUUUUCUUUUUAUCCAGACAUUCAAGAUGGUAAACAAUAUUUUUGAAAUACCAUUAAAAAAACAGAGUAUACUUUUAGGCAAAUAUUGUUCAAAAACCCAAAUAUAAUUCAUGAUACCUCAACAACAACAACAACAACAAAGCCUUUUCCCACUAAGUGGGGUCGGCUAUAUGAAUCCUAGAACGCCAUUGCGCUCGGUUUUGUAUCAUGUCCUCCGUUAGAUCCAAGUACUCUAAGUCUUUUCUAAGAGUCUCUUCCAAAGUUUUCCUAGAUCUUCCUCUACCCCUUCGGCCCUGAACCUCUGUCCCGUAGUCACAUCUUCGAACCGGAGCGUCAUUCGGCCUUCUUUGCACAUGUCCAAAUCACCGGAGCCGAUUUUCUCUCAUCUUUCCUACAAUUUCGGCUACUCCUACUUUACCUCGGAUAUCCUCAUUCCCAAUCUUAUCCUUUCUCGUGUGCCCACACAUCCCACGAAGCAUCCUCAUCUCCGCUACACCCAUUUUGUGUACGUGUUGAUGCUUCACCGCCCAACAUUAUGUGCCAUACAACAUCGCUGGCCUUAUUGCCGUCCUAUAAAAAUUUUCCCUUGAGCUUCAGUGGCCUACGACGGUCACACAACAACACGCCGGAUGCAUUCUUACACUUCAUCCAUCCAGCUCGUAUUCUAUGGUUGAGAUCUCCAUCUAAUUCUCCGUUCUCUUGCAAGAUAGAUCCUAGGUAGCGAAAACGGUCGCUUUUUGUGAUCUUCGCUAGAUUGCUCCGGUCAUUAGUGUGGAUAAGUAUAUAAAUAGAGAUAGAGAUAGGAAAGCAAAACACAAGAUGUACGUGGUUCACCCAGAUUGGCUACGUCCACGGAAUAGAAGAGUUCUCAUUAAUUGUGAAGGGUUUACACAAGUACAUAGGUUCAAGCUCUCCUUUAGUGAGUACAAGUGAAUGAUUUAGUACAAAUGACAUUAGGAAAUAUUGUGGGAGAAUGAUCUCGUAAUCACGAAACUUCUAAGUAUCGGAGUGUGGUGUCGUCUUGACUUGCCUUAUCUGUCUCAUAGGUAGAUGUGGCAUCUUCUCUGGAAGUACUCUUCCUCCAUCCAGGGGUGGUAUCUUUAACUGGUGGAGAUGCACAAGGUAAUGUAUCAAUUUCACUUGAAGCUUACUUGUAGUUUCAGGCUUGGUCAAGCGCGAUACAAACCAUGUAGUAGGAGUCCCCCAAGUCGCCGAGCUAGGGGGUCUGCUGAAAGAGGUGACAGACAAGGUAAGCAAUCAGAGCUCCGACUGAUUGUUCACCUUCUCCCCAUCUUGCAGCAGCAUGAAGGAUAAAGAGAAGAAAAAUGAGAAGAGAUGAUAUGAGAUACUUUUGCUUUUGAAGAAGUAACUUUCCACAGGCUUAUUCUUGAACUGAGCUGGAGGGUUUUCUGGUUUCCUCCAGAGUAUAAGGCCGACUGAAGAAUUUGAGGGUCAAAACAAGUCCAUCAAAUCUAGAGUACGUUCCACCCUGCUGAUAUGGGAUACUUUUGCUUUUGACAGAGUAAUGGAUGUAUCGGCACGUGUGCUGUUACGCUUGUCUCCACAUGCUUCCUUGUAUCCUUCGCACUUGCCCUAUCUGUUCCUCAAGCAGAUGCGGAAUCUUCCCUGGAAACAUAAGAUGUUGAAGAUGAGUACUCGAGAGCAAUGCCAGGUAAGUAAUCAGGUAAGGGGUUCCAGGCAGUCAGUUCCUGGCUGGAAGCUUGAUUCCAAGUGCUGACUGAUUGCUCUCUUUCUCCUUGUCUUGCAGGUAAAAACAAGGCCAAAGGAAAAGACAGGGAAAAAGCAUGAUAUGGGAUACUCUUGCUUUUAACCCUGAUGAUAUGAGAUAUUCUUGCUCUAGUAUAGCUUGUUUGCAGAGGUAUUAUCGGGGGGAAAGAAAGCUGAAUAUUUCGAAAGGCUUCGUUGGGAGUGCCUUCUCAGAUAUGAUGAAGGGUUGAGCAUUUUUGCAGGUCUGCCUGUCCGUUGGGGAUGGAGGUCGACAUAUAUAGGAGUCUCCCUAACAACAAGUAGUAAUGAUAUUCCUUUACCCUGCUUGGUCAUAGCACGGUAGUGGGAGCUGCCAGUUUCACAUGUUUUAACUCUGUCAGAGCACUUUGAAAAAGUGGUCUGUGGUAUCUGGCUCUCGAGAUUCGGAGAACGAUGCCUCUUCGAUUUUUGAGAAAGCAAUCAUGCUGGGGGUAUGGCUCUCAAGAUUCGGAGAGCAGUGUCUCUUCGAUUUUUAAGGAAGUAAUCAUGUUGGGAGUCUGGCUCUCGAGAUUCGGAGGGCGGUGCCUCUUCGAUUUUGGAGCAAGCAAUCUUGUUGGGAGUGUUGUCUCGAAUGUGAGUAAAGGUUGGGCAUGUUUGCUAGUCUACCUUGCCACGAAGCACAAAGGUUGACACACAGGGACUUUCCAAUUAUCCAGCAAUGGUACUGUUCCUUUACCCUCUCUUCGAUUUUGAGAAAGUAAUCAUGUUGGGAGUCUGGCUCUCGAGAUUCGGAGGACGGUGCCUCUUCGAUUUUGGAGCAAGCAAUCUUGUUGGGAGUGUUUUCUCGAAUGUGAGUAAAGGUUGGGCAUGUUUGCUAGUCUACCUUGCCACGAAGCACAGAGGUUGACACACAGGGACUUUCCAAUUAUCCAGCAGUGGUACUGUUCCUUUACCCUUGUGUGGUAAUAAUAUGGUAGCUAGACCUUCAAAAUUUAUGUGUCUAAACUUUGUUAGUGCUGUUUCUUUGCUAUUCUUUUACCUUUCUUGGUCAGAGCGAUGUAGUGGGAGCUGCAAGCUUCACGUGCUCAACUUUGGCAGAGAACUUUGGCAAAGUUAUCUGUGGUACCCAUGAGCUAUUGUUGCGUGUGGGAAGUGGGUGAUUGAACAGUAAGAUUCAUGUGCUUUCUACUUCACCAGAAGUCUUCGACAGAAUGCCCAUAAUUUCUGCAAAGCUGAGUGUGCGUGUGACAGGUGCUGACAAGGCUAGAAAAGUAGGUGCCUCUUCGAUUUCUGAGAUUGGCCCUCGUGGUCUCUGAGCAGCCCAGCUUUUGAGAAAGCGAGCGCCUCUUCGAUUGAUUCGGAGAACGAUGCCUCAUCGAUUUUUGAGAAAGCAAUCAUGCUGGGGGUCUGGCUCUCGAGAUUCGGGGAGCAGUGUCUCUUCGAUUUUUGAGAAAGUAAUCAUGUUGGGAGUCUGGCUCUCGAGAUUCGGAGGGCGGUGCCUCUUCGAUUUUGGAGCAAGCAAUCUUGUUGGGAGUGUUUUCUCGAAUGUGAGUAAAGGUUGGGCAUGUUUGCUAGUCUACCUUGCCACGAAGCACAGAGGUUGACACACAGGGACUUUCCAAUUAUCCAGCAAUGGUACUGUUCCUUUACCCUCUCUUCGAUUUUUAAGAAAGUAGUCAUGUUGGGAGUCUGGCUCUCGAGAUUCGGAGGACGGUGCCUCUUCGAUUUUAGGAGCAAGCAAUCUUAUUGGGAGUGUUUUCUCGAAUGUGAGUAAAGGUUGGGCAUGUUUGCUAGUCUACCUUGCCACGAAGCACAGAGGUUGACACACAGGGACUUUCCAAUUAUCCAGCAGUGGUACUUGUUCCUUUACCCUUGUGGGUAAUAAUAUGGUAGCUAGACCUUCAAAAUUUAUGGGUCUAAACUUUGUUAGUGCUGUUUUCUUUGCUAUUCUUUUACCCUUCUUGGUCAGAGCGAUGUAGUGGGAGCUGCAAGCUUCACGUGCUCAACUUUGGCAGAGAACUUUGGCAAAGUUAUCUGUGGUACCCAUGAGCUAUUGUUGCGUGUGGGAAGUGGGUGAUUGAACAGUAAGAUUCAUGUGUUUUCUACUUCCCCAGAAGUCUUCGACAGAAUGCCCAUAAUUUCCGCAAAGCUGAGUGUGCGUGUGACAGGUGCUGACAAGGCUGGAAAAGUAGGUGCCUCUUCGAUUUCUGAGAUCGGCCCUCGUGGUCUCUGGGGAGCCCAGCUUUUGAGAAAGCGAGCGCCUCUUCGAUUUCUGAGAUCGGCCUUCGUGGUCUUUGAGCAGCCCAACUUUUGAGAAAGCAAACGCCUCUUCGAUUUCUGAGAUCAACCCUCGUGAUCUCUAAGCAGCCCAGCUUUUUGAGAAAGCAAACGCCUCUUCGAUUUCUGAGCAGGCGCCUCUUCGAUUUCUGAAGCUCCGUCGAGUGCAGAUUUUUAUAGGGGCUGGCAUUAAGUUCCAAAGCACACUUGAAUCUCCACCAGUAGAAGCUUCAUUCUUGCACUUCUAAGAUCUUGAUUUGUCCGACCUCUUCUCUCUUCAACACCUUUGAAAAUGUCUGGCCCCUCCGACCGUCGUUUUGACUUGAACCUUGUUGAAGAGGCAGCCCCGCCUUCUCCAGACAACAUAUGGCGCCCAUCCUUCGUCUCCCCUACUGGUCCUCUUACCGUUGGGGAUUCCGUGAUGAAGAAUGAUAUGACCGCUGCGGUGGUGGCCAGGAACCUUCUCACUCCCAAAGAUAACAGACUACUUUCCAAACGGUCUGAUGAGUUAGCUGUUAAGGAUUCGCUGGCUCUCAGUGUUCAGUGUGCAGGUUCUGUGUCUAAUAUGGCCCAACGCCUAUUUGCUCGAACCCGCCAAGUUGAAUCAUUGGCGGCUGAAGUGAUGAGUCUCAAACAGGAGAUUAGAGGGCUCAAGCAUGAGAAUAAACAGUUGCACCGGCUCGCACAUGACUAUGCUACAAACAUGAAGAGGAAGCUUGACCAGAUGAAGGAAACUGAUGGUCAGGUUUUACUUGAUCAUCAGAGAUUUGUGGGUUUGUUCCAAAGGCAUUUAUUGCCUUCGUCUUCUGGGGCUGUACCGCGUAAUGAAGCUCCAAAUGAUCAACCUCUGAUGCCUCCUCCUUCUAGGGUUCUGUCCAGUACUGAGGCUCCAAAUGAUCCCCCUCCGGUGCCUUCUCUUUUCUGGGGCUCUACCGACUGCUGAGACUUCUCCUAAGCAACCUUUGUGAAGGCUCCCUCUUGUGUGUUUAUUUUGACUCAUGUAUAUGUACAUAUUUGUAGCUUAUCGGGGAUAUCAAUAAAUAAGCUUUCCUUCAUUUCAACGUAUUGUGUUAAAUACACCAAAGCCUUCUUCGCUAAGUUCUUUGAAUUUUCUUUUGUUGAAGCUUGUAUGUUGAAGCUUUCUGAGUGGAGCAUGUAGGUUGGGGUAGUGUUCCCUUAAUUUCCCGAGUGAGGAAAACUUCUCGGUUGGAGACUUGGAAAAUCCAAGUCACUGAGUGGGAUCGGCUAUAUGAAUCUUAGAACGCCAUUGUGCUCGAUCCUGUGUCAUGUCCUUCGUUAGAUCCAAGUACUCUAAGUCUUUUCUUAGAGUCUCUUCCAAAGUUUUCCUAGGUCUUCCUCUACCCCUUCGGCCCUGAACCUCUGUCCCAUAGUCGCAUCUUCUAAUCGGAGCGUCAGUAGGCCUUCUUUGCACAUGUCCAAACCACCGUAACCGAUUUUCUCUCAUCUUUCCUUCAAUUUCGGCUACUCCUACUUUACCCCGGAUAUCCUCAUUCCUAAUCUUAUCCUUUCUCGUGUGCCCACACAUCAUCCAACGAAGCAUCCUCAUCUCCGCUACACCCAUUUUGUGUACGUGUUGAUGUUUCACCGCCCAACAUUCUGUGCCAUACAGCAUCGCCGGCCUUAUUGCCGUCCUAUAAAAUUUUCCCUUGAGCUUCAGUGGCAUACGGCGGUCACACAACACGCCGGAUGCACUCUUCCACUUCAUCCAUCCAGCUUGUAUUCUAUGGUUGAGAUCUCCAUCUAAUUCUCCGUUCUUUUGCAAGAUAGAUCCUAGGUAACGAAAACGGUCGCUCUUUGGUAUUUCUUGAUCUCCGAUCCUCACCCCUAACUCGUUUUGGCCUCCAUUUGCACUGAACUUGCACUCCAUAUAUUCUGUCUUUGAUCGGCUUAGGCGAAGACCUUUAGAUUCCAACACUUCUCUCCAAAGGUUAAGCUUUGCAUUUACCCCUUCCUGAGUUUCAUCUAUCAACACUAUAUCGUCUGCGAAAAGCAUACACCAAGGAAUAUCAUCUUGAAUAUGUCCUGUUAACUCAUCCAUUACCAACGCAAAAAGGUAAGGACUUAAGGAUGAGCCUUGAUGUAAUCCUACAGUUAUGGGAAAGCUUUCGGUUUGUCCUUCAUGAGUUCUUACGGCAGUCUUUGCUCCUUCAUACAUAUCCUUUAUAGCUUGGAUAUAUGCUACUCGUACUCCUUUCUUCUCUAAAAUCCUCCAAAGAAUGUCUCUUGGGACCCUAUCAUACGCUUUUUCCAAAUCUAUAAAGACCAUGUGUAAAUCCUUUUUCCCAUCUCUAUAUCUUUCCAUCAAUCUUCGUAAGAGAUAGAUUGCCUCCAUGGUUGAGCGCCCUGGCAUGAACCCGAAUUGGUUAUCCGAAACCCGUGUCUCUUGCCUCAAUCUAUGCUCAAUGACUCUCUCCCAGAGCUUCAUUGUAUGACUCAUUAGCUUAAUACCCCUAUAGUUCAUGCAAUUUUGUACGUCGCCCUUAUUCUUGUAGAUAGGCACCAAAGUGCUCGUUCGCCACUCAUUUGGCAUCUUCUUCGUUUUCAAAAUCCUAUUGAAAAGGUCAGUGAGCCAUGUUAUACCUUUGGAUUCAUUUUCAUAAGGAUUCAACGUGAUCAUGGAGUGCUGGCUGUCGACUACCUGACGCCCUCCCCCUCCUCCUUUAUCCGGGCUUGGGACCGGCCAUGUAAGACAUAAGCGGAGUUAUAUUGGUGGAUGUGAUCAAAUGGAAGAAAUUGUGUCGAAGCAGGGGAGGGAACAUGAGGAGGAAGCCGAUAUGAUAUCUUUCCAUAAAUUAACCAAUUUGAGUUUCUGGGGUCUACAGAGUUUGGUUGGUUUCUUCCAAGCCAACAAGCUAUACUCCAACCAAGAAGAGGUAUGUCCCACUCUCCAAUCUCUAUGAUAUGAGGAGGCGGCCGAUAUGUGGAAAUUUGAAAUUGUGUUAACUGAUAAUGAUUUUUCUUUUUCAGGAAACAACGGCAAGGGUUGAGCAUCAAUCUGCAGGCAUAUUUGAAAAAGCAAUAUUUCCAUCAAAGUGCAUUUCAUGGUUUCCAAGUUUAGAAGACGUAUAUUUGGUUGAUAUGAAUUUUGAAGGCGUACUAUUUGAUCUGAAAAUCCCUAUAGUUAUGGAUGGGCAGACAACUCCAAUAUUUCCCCAGUUACAUAAGUUGGAGAUAUUCAUUUGUUCAUUUACACACUUGUGGAAAAACAUUCCAUCUGGAUUUCAGGGCUUCCAAAAUUUGAGAUAUUUGGAAGUAAGUGGAUGUUGUGGUCUAAAAUAUGUGUUCUCGCAUUUAAUUGCCCAAGAACUGUUGAAUCUUGAAGAGGUAAAGAUAACAGCAUGUCCGAACAUGGAAACUAUAGUCAGAAUCACAGAGGAAAAUGAAGAAGAGGCGACAAAAUACAUGAUUUUGUUUCCGAAACUGAACACAUUUGAACUAGAUGCCCUGCCUCGUCUCACAAGUCUUUGUCCAGAGGGAUUUACAUUUCUAUGGUCAUCCACAAAAAAUAUGCGCGUGAAAAGCUGUGAAAAUUUGAAGACAUUGGGUGCUGUAAUUCCACAAAGAAAGAAGUUGGAGAAUAACUUGAAGAAGGAUUCAACAAGUCAUGAUUUCAGCACUUCUCCAAGGAUUCAACAAGCUGGAUGUGGAUGCGCACCUUAUUCGUGACCAAACGCCCACCGCCCCAUUGAAAUAUUGCCACGUCCAAUUAACCUGGAGGUAAGCUUUUAAAUCAGGUUCAAUUAACCUCUAUAAGUACAACUUUUAAUUAGUAUUGUAUCAUCUUGUUGAUCGUGUUUAAUUUUCUAGGUUACACCAACUAAUCUUGAGGACUCAAAUGAUGAUGAUAAUCUUGAAAAUCUUACUGUAAGUGACUGUAAUUCGAUGGAAGUGAUUUUCCAACUCAAGGGACUGAAGCAUGAAGAAAGUAGUCACUCCGUUGAAGCAUUCAAUAAAUUGAGUUCCUUGCGGUUAUAUACAUUGCCAAGUUUAACGCGUGUUUGGGAGACGGGUAGUUCACAACCGAUGUUGACAGGAAGCAGCUUCGGAAACUUGAAAUCGCUGCGGGUCUAUUAUUGCAACCAGUUGAAAUACUUGUUUUCAUCGUCCAUAGUCAAACUUCUUGCGAGUAUAGAGGACAUAGAAGUUAGGAAGUGUGAGCAGAUGGAAGAAAUCGUUGCCGCAGAAGAAGAAACUGAUGAAACAAUUACAUUACCUAAAGUGAAGUCCAUCAAGCUUGCAAGUCUGCCAAAACUCAAGUAUUUUUGUGGUGAAGCUUAUACUUUGAAGUUGCCGUCUUUGGAGUCACUGAAGGUUGAUGACGUGCAAAACUUAAGCCUAUUAGCUCCAAAGCUUAUUGCCACACAUCCCCGAUUGCAAGCAUACACCGCGUUGGGAGUGGCUGAAUGGAUGGGGGACCUCAAUGCCACUCUAAGGAAUAUUUACGACACAAGGUAUGCUUUAAUUUAAGGUUUCUGAUUUUCAAUCACUUAUGUGUGCAUAUUUAAAAAUGUUUUUUUUUUUUAACGUCUCUCUUUUAAAUCUUGAUGUAUACGUGGAAUUUCUGAAGUUUUUACAAAAGAAUAUAUAAUAGCAUACAUAUAUUAAUGUAUAUGUGUGUGUGUAUGCGAGUAUGUGCACACUAAAGUGUAUUUAAAUAUUUUUUUUUUUUGAAAACUCAAUUAUAUCUCAAGAAAACAUCGUCUUUUAUUUCUAAUACAGUAAGGAUGAAGAUAACGAAAUCGACAUUGAGGAUGAAGAUGACGAAAUCGACAAUGAGGAUGAAGAUGAAGAUGACGAAAUUGACGGCAAGGAUGAUGAUGACAAAAUCGACGGCAAGGAUGAAGAUGACGAAACCAACAGGGAGGACGAACACCGUUGAUUGAUCAAGCACAAAGGUUAGCAUGUUUCCAUCUCCAACUUCUUCUAGGUUUAGUAAAAACUGAUGAAAAUUAUAUAUAUAGUACUCAAAAAAGUAUUCUACCAUGUUUUAUAUAAUAUACACAUACAUGUAUAGCACUUGAAAAAUUGAACAGUUAAUAUAUACAUACAUGUAUAGCACUUAAAAAAUUGAACAGUUUGGAUCUAAAACCACAAUCUGCUACCUGAUUCAUUAGUGUUUGCUUAUUUGUGCUCGAGGUUGAUUAUACACGUGUAAGCUGAAUCACAUGUUUGUAGAAUGGACAAGCUGAAUAAAAUCUGUUUGCCCCCUAAAUGUAAUGGAAAUCAUAUGUAUCUAGGCAUGCUUAAUAUUUGAUAAAGAAAAACAUUUCUCAAAUAAAUGUCCACUCACACCUCCGGCAGCUCUCCCUGAGGAGCCUUGNNNNNNNNNNNNNNNNNNNNNNNNNNNNNNNNNNNNNNNNNNNNNNNNNNNNNNNNNNNNNNNNNNNNNNNNNNNNNNNNNNNNNNNNNNNNNNNNNNNNNNNNNNNNNNNNNNNNNNNNNNNNNNNNNNNNNNNNNNNNNNNNNNNNNNNNNNNNNNNNNNNNNNNNNNNNNNNNNNNNNNNNNNNNNNNNNNNNNNNNNNNNNNNNNNNNNNNNNNNNNNNNNNNNNNNNNNNNNNNNNNNNNNNNNNNNNNNNNNNNNNNNNNNNNNNNNNNNNNNNNNNNNNNNNNNNNNNNNNNNNNNNNNNNNNNNNNNNNNNNNNNNNNNNNNNNNNNNNNNNNNNNNNNNNNNNNNNNNNNNNNNNNNNNNNNNNNNNNNNNNNNNNNNNNNNNNNNNAGUUCAUUCAUCGCCUAUUCACAACAAUACAAGGUUCUACAGAGUUCAAUCCCACACCAUGUUAUAGACAUGCUUCAACUAUCAACCGGAACGUAAUCGUUAGGGUUCAACAACUUCCAGAUACAAAAUUACUAUAAGUCUCAUCUCCGACAUUCAUACAGAAAAUCGAAUAAAAUUCGAAAUCAAGAAUCAAUCCAAAAUGAAAGUUGAAAAUUUGGAAAAAGAACUUACAUUGGAGAACAGCCCACGAGAAGAGUAUCAUUUCUACCUCUUGGGUCGAGGUCCAAUUCCGGCGAUAUUGGCCGGAAACCCCUGGGUCACCGUUUCUUAGACUUGAAGUUGAGGAAAAUCGCCUACGAAUUUAUAGAAACUAACUUGGGGGAUAGGAUAAGGGUCGGCAAGAGCAUUCUGGAUGUGUAGUUUGAGAGCCUUUGGUGACCAGUGGACGACAGAGCUGUUGCGUCGGCACUCGGCAGUCUUCGGCUUGCUGUUGAAUGGGGCUCCUGUUGCAGCGCAGCGCAAAAGAGAAGGAGGAGAGAGGAUACGGGAGGAGGAGAGAAAAUGGGUUUCUCCCACCUUUUACAUUAAUUCUUUUCCACAUUUUUUUAUGGAAUAAACGAUAAUAUUUAUCAUCAAAGUGUGUUUGGUACGUGAGAUGAGAAGGAACAUGUAGGAAAACUAAUGAAAAUGACUUGAAAAUUUUGAGUUUUAAUGAUAAGGACAAAAUAAAGAGUAAAGUGAAUACUACCGGAUUGACUUUUUAGUGUAAAAAUGUGGUUUUUCGUUAAAGUGAACAGUACUGGGUGCUUUUCGUUAAAGUUCCCAACAUGUUUUGAUGAUAAUAAUGGUUAGAAGUAAUAUAGUUCAAAUUUAUUUUUGGUGAUAAUUGAAUAUAAGAUUUCUCUUACAAGUUACAAAUAAAAAUGAAUAUCAUAAAUUUUUUUUUCACUUUUAAUACACACGUAAAUAAAAAACAAAAUGAAAAUGGAAAGAAAUAAAAAUUUGAAUAGAAAUGAAAAAAUUAAGUAAAUUGACAGCAUAAGGUAAUCAGCCAUGAAUAAAAUAUUAUACCAUCCUUAAACAUUGUAGUGCCAUGGAAUCUCAUUUUAGUCUGAAUUUCCUUCUGCUUACACUCACGCGUUCAUAUUGAUGAGCACUACGAGAAAAUAUUAAGAUGAUAGGUCAUACUCAUACGUUCGUUUUUGUUGAGAAUUUUUUUGAAGGAUUUUGCAAUAUGGCAGCCAUGAUUUGCAAAGCCCACCAUCGUAGAGCUCGAUAUCGGCCUAACUUGUGGAGCCACCAUCGCAAAGAAGAACCUGGAAAGCUCAAUCCUUGUCGUCUUUUUCUUAUAUAAGUGUCAUUUUGGUGAACCAAAUGUUCCGAUUCCAACAUCCAAAAUACCACAAUGUGAUUUUUUUCAUACUACAAUUGGAUUGCAUCUUAAAAUUAUAAAGUCUUGGAGCAUUGGUCAUGCCAUCAUGCUGAUUUGUGUUGGAUUUCGUUAGAGAUCGUAAUUAAUCAAUCACCCUUUUUGUGUCUCCCUUCAAAAGCUCAAAUUGAAAUCUGAACUCCCUAGCAAAUAAGAGCCCAAUUUGACAACCAAAAUCUUCAUCGUUCGAGCAUCAAUGUUCUCUUAAAUUCACUACGAGCAAACCGCCAUGAAAUCUCCUUCAUGGACAUCUCAUAAAAUUAGAACGAUACAAAGAAGAUUAGUGUGACUCCUAAGCUAGGAUUACACGUAUGAAUCGUAAAAUAGUUCCUCCUCCACUCUUUGAUUCUCUCUUUCACUGGCUAACAAUAUUUUACUCUACCUUUUCACCCUAAGUAAGAAAGUAAGAAAUGAGCAUUUUGUUAGCAUCUUUUUGAAAAUUUCAAAUUUGAUCCUAAUAUCUCUUUUGCACUAUUUGACUGAACGACAAAUUUUGAUUGUCUAAAUAUUUAUAUCAAACUACAAAUAAUAUUGAUAUUAUAUAUUUAUAAUGUGACUAGAAUUGUAGUACCCAACAUAUCUAUCUUGAAAUAAAUUUUGUUGUCUAUGAAGUGGCCAACUCGACCCUCUCCUAUACUCUUUGAGUUUGUAUAAAUAUAUCAUUGUUUUAAAAAUUGACAUUCAGUACUGCGAUUUAGUGAUAUUCAUUAUCAGGUUCGAAUCUUAGGAGUGACGAGUUUGUGUAAAUAUAUCAUUGUAUUAAAUAUAAAUAAAAAUAAAAAAAAUAAACAAAAUAUUUUUUUGGUCGGACAAAAACACGAAAAUGCCCUUAAAGCCCAAAGUGACCCCUCUACCCUGCCGCUGCCUGCAAGUUCUUUCCUCGCCCCUGUUUCUACGUCCAAUUAAUCUGGAGGUAAGCUUUUAAAUCAGGUUCAAUUAACCUCUAUAAGUACAUCUUUUAAUUAGUAUUGUGUCAUCUUGUUGAUCGUGUUUAAUUUUCUAGGUUACACAACCUAAUCUUGAGGACUCAAAUGAUGAUGAUAAUCUCGAAAAUCUUCCUCUAAUUAACUGUAAUUCGAUGGAAGUGAUUUUUCAACUAAAGGAACCGGUGCAUGAAGAAAGUAGUCACUCCAUUGAAGCAUUCAAUAAAUUGAGGUCCAUGCGGUUAGAUAUAUUGCCAAGUUUAACGCGUGUUUGGGAGACGGGUAGUUCACAACCGAUGUUCACAGGAAGCAGCUUCGGAAACUUGAAAUCGCUGCGGGUCGUUGCACCGAUGAAAUAAUUACAUUACCUAAAGUGAAGUCCAUCAAUCUUAAACGUCGGCCAAAACUCAAGUAUUUUUAAGGUGAAGCUUAUACUUUGAAGUUGCCGUCUUUGGAGUUAUUGGAGGUUGAUGACGUGCAAAACUUAAGCCUAUUAGCUCCAAAGCUUAUUGCCACACAUCCCCGAAUGCAAGUAUACACCGCGUUGAGAGUGGCUAAAUGGAUGGGGGACCUCAAUGCCACUCUAAGGAAUAUUUACGUAAUCACUUAUGUGUGCAUAUGCGCACACUAAAGUAUCUCGCAAUGUGCACACUAAAAUAUGUUUUUUUGUUUUUUUUUUUUGGAAACUCGAAUUAUAUCUCAAGAAAACAUCUCUCUUUUAUUUCUAAUACCGAGAAGAAUGAAGCUGACGGAAUUCUACAAGACACCAUAUAACGAGGAUGUUAACAAUCACAAAAGGUUGUGGCUUCGGCUAUUCGCUUACUUUCAUAUAACGAGGAUACUGUUUCCGUUGCUUACUAUAUGUAUAAUUAAUUUCGAUUGCGAUUAUUACUGUUUGAAUUCAUCUCUUGACUGCCUAUGGGGACGUCAAGGUGGACACCAAAAUGGAGGCGUGAUGACCUGCAUCCGGAAAGUGACGUAGCCAUAACGUGCAUGCAAAUAUAAUUUAAUAAAAUAACUUCAAAUGAUCUACUGAAAAAAUCGGCAUAGUUUCCUUUGGAAUUAGGUUUUGGCCCCCAAAUUUAAAACCUGCUGAAAAAGUUAUAAUUAUUUCAAAACCACAUCCCCGACACCUAAUGGGUUAUCAACCCUCUACUACAUGCACGCAUACUCCAAUAUACUUACUGGUGGUAUAGCAUACAAUUUCAUACACUAGUGAUAACUAGUGUAAGCUGAAAAUUUAACCAUACACGCUAGUGUAAACUGAAGAUAAAACCAUACAUUAGCUGUAGCUAGUGUAAGCUGAAAAAUAUAAUCAUACACUAGCCGUAGCUAGUGUAAGCUGAAUGGGCAUCCUCACAGUAGGGACAAGAUGACUAUACUGUAGUAUAAAUCAUACACGUGUAAGCUGAAUAACAUGUCCGUAGCAUGGACAAGUUGAAUAUUCUUUAAUAUUAACCAUACACAUAUGCGGAAUGACAUGUUUGUAGUAUGGACAAGCUGAAUAUACUGUAAUAUUGACUAUACACGUGUAAGCUAAAUAAUAUUAUCAAACACUGGUUAUGGCUAGCUAGUGUAAGCUGAAUAUGUUCAUACACUGUAAGGUCUGGUAUUAAUUCAUAAAAUCUAUUCUUCCCCUAAACGUAACGGAAAUCAUAUGUAUCUAGGCAUGCUUAAUAUUUGAUAAAGAAAAACAUUUCUGAAAGAAAUGCCCACUGACACCUCCGGCUAGCUCUCCCUUGAGGAGCCUUGUCUACCAAAAAGGUAAUUUCAAGCAACUUCAAGAGAGAAUUUGACCACAUCGCGAAAGUAUGACACCAAACGGUUGAGACCUAGAAGACAUCCAAGAGUUUUUGGAGAAACAGAACGCUCACUGAAGAUAUGUAUUCUAUUUCUAUAGCACGUUUACCCCAAACAAAACACAGGUUAUGGAAAGGAAAAUAACAUUAAGAAAUGCAAAAGAUUGGGGAGAUGCGAAAUAACUCAUCUCUGGUCCUGGAAAUAUUGCAUACAAUAUUGCUCUACCAAUUAAACCAAAUCUUAUGACUCUAGUGACAAGCUAGAAAGCCACAAAAGAAUAAACAAGGAAUCAGGCUAUGCAAUUUCCUACCACAUUUUCACAUCAACGUGAUUGUUAGGGGUUUCAACAACUUCAGAGAAUUACCACAAAUCUCAUCUCCGGCAUUCAGGCAGAAAAAUCAAAUAAAAGUUUGAAAUCAAGAAUCAAUCCCGAAACUGAAAGUUGAAAUUUUGGAAAAAGAACUUACAUCAGAGUACUUUCCAUGAGGAGAAGAUCAUUUUUACCUCUUGGGUCGAGGACAUUCCACGGUGAGCCUGCAUAAAUGAACCAAUUAAACAAAGAAAUGAAAACCGAAUAACUCGGAAGCUAAAGUAUCACAGAUAGAAAAUUGCAUAUACCUAACUAAAAAUGCACAAUCUAACGAGAUGUGGUAGUCUAAGUGUAUAACACAAGGGUGAGAAGUACUCUAGUGCUCACAAACUGAAGCCACAAGACUACCAGAUAAUGUAGCUUCAGAAAUAUCAUUCGUUCUUUUGCGCAUAAUCAUACAUGCUCAUCAGAACAAAGUAUGAUCUCCAACGGAAAUAGAAGUGACACAGGUGAAAGUCAAAAUAAACAAACAAAUAAUAGUGAACGAGAGGCCCUAAAGAAUUGUUCUAACUAGGAGACAAGCUUAAAUUAUUCAGAUAAUAAGUCUUGCACAAACCCAACUUUCAAAAAUACUAGAUUAGUAUGCCGUGAUAUUUAACAAUGCCGUCAAAAACUUACUUGUUGAACAACUCAACCUGUAUUCCAUCUCCUUCUCUGCCAUACCAAAAAUUUGCACAAUUGUUUAAAACCAAAUUAAGGUCUUUCGAAAACCCACCUGAGAUUAUUUGAAAAACACGAAUUUAGAACAAUAAUUCAAAACCAAAGAACAGAAAAUCCAUCACACCAGAGUAAAAAUUAACCAUCUUGUUGCUUCCUAACUCUCAAGAAAUAUCCACGUCUCACUUUUACUAAUGUCAAAACACCGCCAUCAUUGAUCAAUUAGACAAAUAAGACCCAAUUCGAUUACGCCCAAACUCACAGAACACCCAGAUUCCCAACACCAAUUGAACAAUCUAACCAUGAAUUUCCAAAACUUUCCCCAAAAUCCAGCCUUGGGCAUGCAUUAAAUCCAAUCUAAAACUUGAAUUCAUUUUUAGAGAACAAAAUGUAAAAACUUUGGAACAAUGAAGCAAAAGGGUACUCACCUGUUCCUUGUCCAAAACCGUCGGCGCAUUGUUGGGGGCAGCCAUUAGAACCUGAACAAUUCGCAAAUUAAUUUACACAAACUUCUUCGAAACCGAAUGAAUUAGCAGAGAGGGUUUAAGUAAUCUUACUCGGCGGGAUGGAAUCGAACGCGCUGAAAGUGGUUGCUGUAAAUGCAGAGGGGUUUAAGCGUCCGAUUUGAAGCUAAAGCAGAAGAAAAUAAAAAUCCCACUGAGCUAAUAAUGUACGAAUUAGGGUUUUAGGAGUUAAUAUAGCGUGUAUAUGCGAUGGACGGUUUUGUUUUUAGGGGGGGACUUUCAACCGGAAAAGUUAGUGGAUUACUGCCCUUUCUUUUUUCCUUCCACCACAAGUAGUGCGAUAAUUUCACAAAGGCCCUGUAUGGUGGGCCGCCGUAUAUAAUUGUCCUUUUCUUUCUUAUUUUUUUGGAUUUAUUUAUUUAUUUUCUAACUCAUAGUUCAUCAGGGCUCAGGUUCAGUUGAUUAAAGUAGUAUGUUUCUUUUGUUAUGCUAUAGUUUGAAUAUUCAUUCAAAUGAUUUAGAUUUCUUCGUGCAAACGAUCAUUCAAUUAAAAGAAAAACUCGUAUUAUGUUUGCUUACAAGAAAUGAAUAUCAUUCUCAUUGUAUGUUUACUAACAACCAAGGAUUUGAGAGGAAAAAACGUGAAUCCACAUUGAUUUUGCAUAUCUAAUACCUUCUCAUACCAAAAAAAAAUCAAGGUAUAAGAUUAUUAAGGGGGUUGUUUAAACUCAUGGAAAUGUGUUUUGAUGUUCGCCGAAUAACAAUUGUUUGUUCUCGAUUCAUUUCAAAUUUUAACAGAUGACUCGUAACUUAAGCAGUUAAGAGUUUUUUCUCGUGCUCUCAAAACUUGGCGUUACCUAGUGAAUCAUAUAAUAUUCAAUAAUGCCAUACCAUUUGAAUGGAUCGAAGAUUUCAAAUUGACAACAUUUGUGCCGGUAACCUGUGUAUUACAAGGAUCAUUGAGAAAAUACAUACUUUCACAUUGUGCCGGUAGCUUUCAUUAGCAAUGCUUCACAAUUUACAGGUACGAGGGCUUGACCAGCAUCUCCUCCGGAUCUUUCCACACUGGGAGUCCUUAACUGUACAAAUAAGAUUCACAUACGCAAAAUAUGUGCUAGACUACGCACUGCAAAUGGAAACAAGUUGUCACCCCUAUUUAUCCAAAAAUAAUAUACUUGUUAUAGAUAUCCGUGUAGAAUAUUAUAUUACGAGGGGCGGAGAGCGUGUGUACGGCAAAGUAGGAACGGGUACAGCAGCAACGUAGCAGCACAAGCAAGAGGAUGAUUGGAACUGCAACUUACCCCCACACAUUCACAGAAGCCUUUUUCUUUCCCCUGCUGGUGUUCAUGAAAGCACUUUGAAGUGAAAAAGCCAUGAAAUUACGAAGGCAAGAAUCAUGCAGGCAAGAAGGAAAUUCAUAAUGCAGCGGCCAUGCCACAUGGUUCAGGUUUCAACCUGGAUCAUGGGUGCUGAUGCGGCUGUGGCAGUACUGCUAUUUGCCUCGUUUAUCUGGCCACUGGAAAUGUUGAAUGCAGUUACUCCACAGAUCUCGCAGGUUCUGCAAAUCAAAUAAAUAAAAUUAUGCAUAGGCAGAAAAUAACAUAUCAGUCAGACAUGACAAGCAAUUACAACCAUAACACAACAUAAUGAAGAAACGUACCAUGAGGAUUUUGAACAAACAUAAUGAAGUGUAACCAAUAGCAUACAAAUAUAGAAGAAAAUGCUAUACAAUCACUGUAAGUGAUUUCAAAGGCCAUCAAUCUUCUAUUUCUGUUUCUGGAAAAAAGUCAUGUCGUCGAGAAGUCGUUCCAUUUGCUUACCAUGAUGAGUAAAAUGAAAUUUGAACUAGCUUGCUGUUCUUGCAUAUCUUCUCCUCAUCCUGGUUACCAAGCAAGUCAGUCUUGACCAAUCCAUCUAUAUUAUCAUGUGAUGCAGCUUAUCUAGAUUAUAUUUCCUGUGGCCUAAGUUUGGAUAUUUCCUUUGCAGAGGGUAUAGCGUGCAAGGUCGUAAGAACUUUACCAAAUUAUCAUCCUUCGAGUUUAGAAAAUCUCCCAAAUAUAUAAGCGAAAUAAACUUGUGACGGAAUCAAAGAAUGCAAAUGCUCAUCAUCAUUUACUAAUCCAUAUGCAUAAUGUAAACAUUUACAUCUCUAUUAGAAGCAUACAUAAAAAAUACAUGGCACACAAGAUAUCCACUUUUCGACAUAGGAGCUCAAUUCUUGCAUACAAACACACUUCCUUUAGCUUGCUUUGGACCUCGCACUUUCCACUAAUGUAAAUGCCACAAAAAGUGUGACUGUAAAAACUAUAAACGUAGAACGAUCGAUAUGUUUGAGUUCAGAUGGACUGUAAUAGUGGUGACUACAAGAUUUGUUCUUUUACUAGAUUUUCUCGUAUUUCAUAUAAGCAUACGCAUUCUACUAUAUACGUGAUCUGCCUCAUUCAGCAUUCCAGUAAGAAGCAAAAUGAUAAGAACAAUUGUGACAGUUACAUCAAAAGAAAGAAGCUAAUUAACAAGUAAUCAUUCGAAUAAGCUGAACUCACGAAAGUAGGAACCUAAACACUAUCAAGAUGGCCUCUGUUGUAGCAUGCCCAUAGUAAGAUCAUAGUUUGAAGUAUGUUAGGAUGCCACUUGUCAUCAUCUCAAUAUGACAAAUGUAAGGUUGAGAUGCUAUAGUAGUAGAUAAGAUGGUUGUAAGUUGUUAGAUGAUAGCUUACAAAGGAAGCUAAGUAGUUUACAUAUAAGGAAGUCGGUUGUAAUUGGGAGGGGGUCAUUGGAAUAAUCUCUGUUUAAUACAAGAAAGUACUACGCAAUUGUCAAGAAGCCGAGCAAGGUUUUAACAUUGGUAUUAGCCAGUGUCGAUUCCUCUCAAUCUUUCAUUGUUGUAUGCCCCGCCGACCCUGGAACACCAUGGAAUCGCGAGUGUCAACUUUGGAAACCAUGCUCGCCAAUCUCAAAGCUAAGCUCAAGAACAACCAAGAGAUGAUCAUGAUGCAGCUGCAAUCUAUGGCAGCCAAAGGCGGUUCUUGCAGCGGCGAAUCGUCCGAGGCAACACCGCUGAAUCCUCAGAUACAGGGCGAAGUACAAUGUGGUAGCCACGAUUUGGGUCUUCAAAAUUGCUGGGCAUUUCUGAAAAUGGACUUUCCAAGGUUCAUGGAAGGUGAUGAUCCUUUGGGUUGGGUCUAUAAAGGCGACCAUUAUUUCGAUUUCUACCACAUCGAAGAUGCUAAGAAGGUGAAAAUGGCUUCAUUCCACAUGGAAGGGGAAGCUCUUCAAUGGUUCCAGUGGGCCAAUUGUCUAACCAAUUAUCCUAAUUGGGAGGAUUUCACCAAGGUUUUUUGUCAAGAAUUUGGACCUUCCGAAUUCGAGGACUCUGCUGAAAGUUUGGUCAAGUUACGGCAAACUGGGACACUCCGAGAUUACUUGUUGGAAUUUUGACAUUUAUCGAAUCGUACCAAAGAUAUCAGCCUUGCUUUGUUGAAAUCUUGUUUCAUUGGGGGUCUUAGGCCGGAAUUGCAACUUGAUGUGAAGCUCUUCAAACCUAAGGAUGUGCUGGAAGUUGCUGCAUUAUCUCAGCAGAUCGAUGCCAAGCUUACAGAUCUCAAGGUGAAAACUUUCUAUAAAUCACCUACAAUUCAACCCAAUUUUAGAUCACCAGUUUUGCAGAAUGUUAGUAACCAAACAUUGGCUGAUAUUCGUACUAAAACUCCUAAUGUACGAUGAUUGACCCCAGAAGAAGUGGAUUAUUGUUGAAAUAAUGGAUUGUGUUUUCACUGUAAGGAGAAAUAUGUGAGGGGCCAUACUUGUGAAAAGAAACAGUUGCAUCUUCUUGAUGUUCAAGACUGUGAGAUGGGUGAUGAGUGUGCUGAGGAAGUAGAGAAUGAGGAACCAGAGAUAACUGUUUGUGCUAUUUUUGGCAUCCCAGCUCCACCUAUAAUUAAUACUAUGAAGGUCAAUGGAUUUGUUAAAAACUGUCCAGUCACUAUACUCAUUGAUUCUAGUAGUUCUCAUAACCUUGUUGAUUUGGGAUUAGUUAAAAGACUCAGGGGGUAUCUUGAUACUGCAUAUCUUUUCAAUGUUAAACUGCAAAUGGGGGACGAGUUGCUACGAAAGGAACAUUAGCUCCUACUGUGAAAAUUUAGGAUUUCAGUUGUAUAACUGAUCUCUAUGCCAUUCCUUUAGGGGGUUGUGAAAUUGUAUUGGGGGUACAAUGGCUUCGAACCCUUGGCCCCAUUCUCUGGGAUUUCGAUAAACUUUACAUGAAAUUCUUAAAUGGGUCUCUCAUACAUAUUGUAUUACAAGUCCAGGAUCUUCCUUACAUCAGCUUGAAGACAUAUCAGCAUUGCAGAUGCAAAAACUUUUGCAGUAGGAAAACACAAUAGGAGCAGUUCUUUAUCAAAUGGGACCUACUACUAUGCAAUGUUAUUCUCCGGAGCAAACAUUGGGGGAUCUAAGUUCUCAACAUCUCACUAAGCUGCAACAACAAGACUUAAAGUCCCUUUUGGGGGAAUAUGAGAUAUUGUUUGCAACCCCUAAUACCUUACCUCCUAAUAGGUUGCAUGAUCAUAGAAUUCCCUUGAUAGCAGGAAGAAGUAAACCUCCAAAUACGCCUUUAUAGAUAUGGUCCAGUGCAAAAAUCAGAGUUUGAAAAAUGUGUUCAGGAGUUUUUACAAGCUGGUUUUAUUAGGGAAAGUAAUAGCCCUUAUUCAUCUCUAGUAAUGUUAGUGAGGAAGAAAGAAGGGACAUGGAGGAUGUGUAUGGAUUAUAGGGGUCUGAAUGGCAUCACUAUCAAAGACAAAUUUCCAAUUCCUUUGAUUGAUGAACUUCUGGAUGAAUAGUUUGGUGUUCAAUUAUUUCUAGAUUUAAGAGCUGGUUAUCAUCAAAUUAGGAUGUAUCAUAAUGAUAUAGAGAAUACAGCUUUUAGAACACAUGAUGGCCAUUAUGAAUUUUUGGUCAUGCUAUUUGGUUUAACGAAUGCUCCUGCCACAUUUCAGUGUUUGAUGAAUGAAAUUUUCUGACCAUUUUUGAAAAAGUUCAUCUUGGUGUUUUUUGAUGACAUUUUGGUAUAUAGUGCUACUUGGGAAUUGCCCCUGCAACACUUGAGGGUAGUAUUUGAUCUGUUGAAAGCUCACAGUUUGUUUGUUAAGAAAUCGAAAUGUGCCUAUGGGAGGGAUAAAGUUGAAUAUUUGGGACAUAUUGUGUCCAAAGAUAGGGUAGUUGCCGACCCUACCAAGUUGGAUUCAAUUGCUAACUGGCCUAUCCCUACUACAGAAAGUUUAUUCCCCAUUUUGGCAAAAUUAUAGGUACCUUGAUUGCCUUGACCAAGAAGGACAGUUUUAUUUGGUCUGAGGAAGCUACACAGGCCUUUAACACUCUUAAAGUAGCCAUGCUUUCCCCUCAAGUUUUAGCUCUACCUAAUUUCAGUAAGCCCUUCAUUAUUGAGAGUGGUGCAUCUGGACAUGGCAUUGGAGCAAUAUUACAACAAGAAGGCAGGCCCAUUGCUUUUACAAGCAAAGCCCUUAGCCCCAGAAAUCAAACUAUGUCAGCAUAUGAACGGGAAAUGUUGGCAAUCAUUCAUGCAAUUCACAAAUGGCAGUCUUAUUUGGUGGGGAACCAUUUUAUAAUUCUCACACAUCAUCACAGCUUGAAAUAUUUCUUACAAGGAAGAGCUCACACACCUUUUAAGCAAAAAUGGGUGUCUAAACUCAUGGGCUUCGAUUAUGAAAUUCAAUAUAAGCAAGGCUGUGACAACCAAGCUGCUGAUGCAUUAUCAUGUAGUCCUUUAACUACUGAUCUAACUAUUGAGUUCCGGUGUGAUUCCAUUGUUUGUGCAGCUAUUUCCUACCCUUAUUCAACAUGGAUUGAUGACCUUAUGAGACAUGUUGAAAAAGACACUUGGGUGAUUGAAAAAACACAGAAAGUUCUUAGUGAUACCUCAGAUGGGGGACCACUUGGCAAUCUCAGGUUUCAAGUGGAUAAUGGGUUUCUUAAGUACAAUGGUCAAAUUGUACUCAGCCCUUGUAGUUCAUGGAAAUAAAAAAUCUUUGAGGAACAUCAUGCAACCCCACCUGAAGGCCAUGAAGGUUUUCUUAAAACCUAUGAAAGAAUCUCACGAUCAUUCUAUUGGGAAGGAAUGAAGAAAGACAUCAAAAAGUUAGUAGCAUCUUGUAGUGUCUGCCAACAACAUAAGUAUGAAACCUUAUCUCCGGCUGGUUUCCUUCAGCCAUUACCUAUUCCAUCCAAAGUAUGGUCUGAUAUCUCCAUGGAUUUCAUUGUGGGGCUUCCUUCUUGCAAAGGGAAAACAAUGAUCUGGGUUGUAGUAGAUCAGCUAUCCAAGUAUGCUCAUUUCCUAGCUCUAUCUCAUCCUUUCACAGCAUCCAUGAUUGCACAACUUUUCAUUGAUAACAUUUUUAAGUUGCAUGGUAUGCCCAGUUCUAACUCCGCCUAUGUCUUACAUGGCCGGUCCCAAGCCCGGAUAAAGGAGGAGGGGGAGGGCGUCAGGUAGUCGACAGCCGGCACUCCAUGAUCACGUCGAAUCCUUAUGAAAAUGAAUCCAGAACAAAAUCGCGCUAAAGCUAGGGCGUCACCCGUAAGUGGCGCGCUGUGUGGCCUGAGCACAGUGAUAAGUGAGCAAGGGUCGCUGUAUCUCCAUCGGCACCCGGAUGCAGUGUUAAAUGAGCAAGGGGGCCAUAGAAACUUCUUUUCGAACGACUCCACUCAAAGUUGUUUGGGAGCAUAUGCUCCUAUCAACUUUACCCGGGACACACAAAAAGAAGUACUUUGAUCCUAUUAGACGGGGGAGGGUGAAAGAAGCUAGGACAGAAGGGUAGAGUUCAAGAGAGCAAAAUGCGUUUAGGAACGUGGAAUAUAGGAACCUUAACGGGAAAAUCUAUGGAAGUAGUGGAAGUUAUGGUGAGGAGAAGGAUAAAUAUUAUGUGCCUACAAGAAACUAAGUGGGUUGGUAGUAAGGCAAAGGAUCUAGAAAACUCAGGGUUUAAACUUUGGUAUUCGGGCACAAAUAGAACGAGAAACGGUGUUGGCAUCAUCGUGGACAAGACCUUGGUACAAGAUGUUGUAGAUGUCAAGAGGGUAGGAGAUAGAAUCAUGGCAAUCAAGAUUGUAAUAGGACAAGAACUUAUCAAUGUGAUUAGUGCGUACGCACCUCAAGUAGGGUUGGAUACGAGUUCGAAGGAGAAAUUUUGGGAAGAUCUUGGAGACUUGGUGCAAGGAAUUGCUCAGACGGAGAAGUUAUUAUAUAGGAGGAGAUUUAAAUGGACACGUGGGCAGGGAGACAGGCAACUAUGGAGGUUUUCAUGGUGGCCAUGGUUUUGGGGAGAGAAACGAGGAUGGGGAAGCUAUCUUGGAUUUUGCAAUGGCAUAUGAUCUCUUCUUAGCCAACACCUUCUUUAAGAAGAGAGAAGAACAUGUGAUCACCUACAAGAGUGGGUCGUCAAAAACACAAAUAGAUUUUCUUCUAAUGAGGAAAGGGGAUCGUAUAACUUGUAAGGAUUGCAAAGUUAUACCAGGAGAGAGCGUGGCUAAUCAACAUCGCUUGUUGGUGAUGGAUGUACAUAUCAAAAGAGUAAGACAAAAGAACAAGACUUGGAAGUGCCCAAGGACUAGAUGGUGGAAUCUAAAAAGAAGAAAAACAAGCCAUUUUCAAAGAGAAGGUAAUCACCCAAUGUGUGUGGGAUAGAGAGGGGGAAGCUAGCCAAAUGUGGGAUUCCAUGUUGGAAUAAGAGCUAGUUGCAUCCGAAAGAGGUAGCAAAAGAGGUAUUAGGAGAGUCCAAGGGCUUUGCCCCACACCAAAAGGAAUCUUGGUGGUGGAAUGAGGAGGUACAAACAAAGGUGAAGGCUAAGAAGGAAUGUUGUAAAGCCUUAUACAAGGAGAGGACUGAUGAAAAUGGUGAAAGGUAUAGAAAAGCGAAGCAAGAGGCGAAGAAAGCUGUCAGAGAAGCUAAGUUAGCGGCUUACGACGAUAUGUAUAAACGACUAGAUACCAAAGAAGGAGAGUUGGAUAUCUAUAUAAACUAUCUAGAGCAAGGGAAAAGAAGACAAGGGACCUAAACCAAGUGAGGUGCAUCAAGGAUGAGGAUGAGGAUGGAAAGGUUCUUGCUACAGAGAACGCGGUUAAAGACAGAUGGAGAGGUUAUUUUCAUAAUCUUUUCAAUGAUGAAGGACAUGAAAUGAGUGCUUCUUUAGGGGAGUUGAGUAACUCAGAAGAGUGUAGAAACUACUCUUUUUAUCGUCGAAUCCGGAAGGAAGAAGUGGUUGUAGCUUUGAAGAAGAUGAAGCAUAAAAAAGCAAUAGGCCCAGACGAUAUACCAAUCGAAGUGUGGAAACUUUUGGGAGAGACAGGUAUAACAUGGCUCACUGACCUUUUCAAUAGGAUUUUGAAAACGAAGAAGAUGCCAAAUGAGUGGCGAAUGAGCACUUUGGUGCCUAUCUACAAGAAUAAGGGCGACGUACAAAAUUGCAUGAACUAUAUAGGGGUAUUAAGCUAAUGAGUCAUCAUACAAUGAAGCUCUGGGAGAGAGUCAUUGAGCAUAGAUUGAGGCAAGAGACACGGUUUCGGACAACCAAUUUCGGGUUCAUGCCAGGGCGCUCAACCAUGGAGGCAAUCUAUCUCUUACGAAGAUUGAUGGAAAGAUAUAGAGAUGGGAAAAAGGAUUUACACAUGGUCUUUAUAGAUUUGGAAAAAGCGUAUGAUAGGGUCCCAAGAGACAUUCUUUGGAGGAUUUUAGAGAAGAAAGGAGUACGAGUAGCAUAUAUCCAAGCUAUAAAGGAUAUGUAUGAAGGAGCAAAGACUGCCGUAAGAACUCAUGAAGGACAAACCGAAAGCUUUCCCAUAACUGUAGGAUUACAUCAAGGCUCAUCCUUAAGUCCUUACCUUUUUGCGUUGGUAAUGGAUGAGUUAACAGGACAUAUUCAAGAUGAUAUUCCUUGGUGUAUGCUUUUCGCAGACGAUAUAGUGUUGAUAGAUGAAACUCAGGAAGGGGUAAAUGCAAAGCUUAACCUUUGGAGAGAAGUGUUGGAAUCUAAAGGUCUUCGCCUAAGCCGAUCAAAGACAGAAUAUAUGGAGUGCAAGUUCAGUGCAAAUGGAGGCCAAAACGAGUUAGGGGUGAGGAUCGGAGAUCAAGAAAUACCAAAGAGCGACCGUUUUCGUUACCUAGGAUCUAUCUUGCAAAAGAACGGAGAAUUAGAUGGAGAUCUCAACCAUAGAAUACAAGCUGGAUGGAUGAAGUGGAAGAGUGCAUCCGGCGUGUUGUUGUGUGACCGCCGUAUGCCACUGAAGCUCAAGGGAAAAUUUUAUAGGACGGCAAUAAGGCCGGCGAUGCUGUAUGGCACAGAAUGUUGGGCGGUGAAACAUCAACACGUACACAAAAUGGGUGUAGCGGAGAUGAGGAUGCUUCGUUGGAUGUGUGGGCACACGAGAAAGGAUAAGAUUAGGAAUGAGGAUAUCCGGGGUAAAGUAGGAGUAGCCGAAAUUGAAGGAAAGAUGAGAGAAAAUCGGUUACGGUGGUUUGGACAUGUGCAAAGAAGGCCUACUGACGCUCCGAUUAGAAGAUGCGACUAUGGGACAGAGGUUCAGGGCCGAAGGGGUAGAGGAAGACCUAGGAAAACUUUGGAAGAGACUCUAAGAAAAGACUUAGAGUACUUGGAUCUAACGAAGGACAUGACACAGGAUCGAGCACAAUGGCGUUCUAAGAUUCAUAUAGCCGAUCCCACUCAGUGACUUGGAUUUUCCAAGUCUCCAACCGAGAAGUUUUCCUCACUCGGGAAAUUAAGGGAACACUACCCCAACCUACAUGCUCCACUCAGAAAGCUUCAACAUACAAGCUUCAACAAAAGAAAAUUCAAAGAACUUAGCGAAGAAGGCUUUGGUGUAUUUAACACAAUACGUUGAAAUGAAGGAAAGCUUAUUUAUUGAUAUCCCCGAUAAGCUACAAAUAUGUACAUAUACAUGAGUCAAAAUAAACAACACAAGAGGGAGCCUUCACAAAGGUUGCUUAGGAGAAGUCUCAGCAGUCGGUAGAGCCCCAGAAAGAGAAGGCACCGGAGGGGGAUCAUUUGGAGCCUCAGUACUGGACAGAACCCUAGAAGGAGGAGGCAUCAGAGGUUGAUCAUUUGGAGCUUCAUUACGCGGUACAGCCCCAGAAGACGAAGGCAAUAAAUGCCUUUGGAACAAACCCACAAAUCUCUGAUGAUCAAGUAAAACCUGACCAUCAGUUUCCUUCAUCUGGUCAAGCUUCCUCUUCAUGUUUGUAGCAUAGUCAUGUGCGAGCCGGUGCAACUGUUUAUUCUCAUGCUUGAGCCCUCUAAUCUCCUGUUUGAGACUCAUCACUUCAGCCGCCAAUGAUUCAACUUGGCGGGUUCGAGCAAAUAGGCGUUGGGCCAUAUUAGACACAGAACCUGCACACUGAACACUGAGAGCCAGCGAAUCCUUAACAGCUAACUCAUCAGACCGUUUGGAAAGUAGUCUGUUAUCUUUGGGAGUGAGAAGGUUCCUGGCCACCACCGCAGCGGUCAUAUCAUUCUUCAUCACGGAAUCCCCAACGGUAAGAGGACCAGUAGGGGAGACGAAGGAUGGGCGCCAUAUGUUGUCUGGAGAAGGCGGGGCUGCCUCUUCAACAAGGUUCAAGUCAAAACGACGGUCGGAGGGGCCAGACAUUUUCAAAGGUGUUGAAGAGAGAAGAGGUCGGACAAAUCAAGAUCUUAGAAGUGCAAGAAUGAAGCUUCUACUGGUGGAGAUUCAAGUGUGCUUUGGAACUUAAUGCCAGCCCCUAUAAAAAUCUGCACUCGACGGAAGCUUCAGAAAUCGAAGAGGCGCCUGCUCAGAAAUCGAAGAGGCGUUUGCUUUCUCAAAAGCUGGGCUGCUUAGAGAUCACGAGGGUUGAUCUCAGAAAUCGAAGAGGCGUUUGCUUUCUCAAAAGUUGGGCUGCUCAAAGACCACGAAGGCCGAUCUCAGAAAUCGAAGAGGCGCUCGCUUUCUCAAAAGCUGGGCUCCCCAGAGACCACGAGGGCCGAUCUCAGAAAUCGAAGAGGCACCUACUUUUCCAGCCUUUUCCAGCCUUGUCAGCACCUGUCACACGCACACUCAGCUUUGCGGAAAUUAUGGGCAUUCUGUCGAAGACUUCUGGGGAAGUAGAAAACACAUGAAUCUUACUGUUCAAUCACCCACUUCCCACACGCAACAAUAGCUCAUGGGUACCACAGAUAACUUUGCCAAAGUUCUCUGCCAAAGUUGAGCACGUGAAGCUUGCAGCUCCCACUACAUCGCUCUGACCAAGAAGGGUAAAAGAAUAGCAAAGAAACAGCACUAACAAAGUUUAGACCCAUAAAUUUUGAAGGUCUAGCUACCAUAUUAUUACCCACAAGGGUAAAGGAACAGUACCACUGCUGGAUAAUUGGAAAGUCCCUGUGUGUCAACCUCUGUGCUUCGUGGCAAGGUAGACUAGCAAACAUGCCCAACCUUUACUCACAUUCGAGAAAACACUCCCAAUAAGAUUGCUUGCUCCAAAAUCGAAGAGGCACCGUCCUCCGAAUCUCGAGAGCCAGACUCCCAACAUGACUACUUUCUUAAAAAUCGAAGAGAGGGUAAAGGAACAGUACCAUUGCUGGAUAAUUGGAAAGUCCCUGUGUGUCAACCUCUGUGCUUCGUGGCAAGGUAGACUAGCAAACAUGCCCAACCUUUACUCACAUUCGAGAAAACACUCCCAACAAGAUUGCUUGCUCCAAAAUCGAAGAGGCACCGCCCUCCGAAUCUCGAGAGCCAGACUCCCAACAUGAUUACUUUCUCAAAAAUCGAAGAGACACUGCUCCCCGAAUCUCGAGAGCCAGACCCCCAGCAUGAUUGCUUUCUCAAAAAUCGAUGAGGCAUCGUUCUCCGAAUCAAUCGAAGAGGCGCUCGCUUUCUCAAAAGCUGGGCUGCUCAGAGACCACGAGGGCCGAUCUCAGAAAUCGAAGAGGCACCUACUUUUCUAGCCUUGUCAGCACCUGUCACACGCACACUCAGCUUUGCAGAAAUUAUGGGCAUUCUGUCGAAGACUUCUGGUGAAGUAGAAAGCACAUGAAUCUUACUGUUCAAUCACCCACUUCCCACACGCAACAAUAGCUCAUGGGUACCACAGAUAACUUUGCCAAAGUUCUCUGCCAAAGUUGAGCACGUGAAGCUUGCAGCUCCCACUACAUCGCUCUGACCAAGAAAGGUAAAAGAAUAGCAAAGAAACAGCACUAACAAAAGUUUAGACACAUAAAUUUUGAAGGUCUAGCUACCAUAUUAUUACCCACAAGGGUAAAGGAACAGUACCACUGCUGGAUAAUUGGAAAGUCCCUGUGUGUCAACCUCUGUGCUUCGUGGCAAGGUAGACUAGCAAACAUGCCCAACCUUUACUCACAUUCGAGAAAACACUCCCAACAAGAUUGCUUGCUCCAAAAUCGAAGAGGCACCGUCCUCCGAAUCUCGAGAGCCAGACUCCCAACAUGACUACUUUCUCAAAAUCGAAGAGAGGGUAAAGGAACAGUACCAUUGCUGGAUAAUUGGAAAGUCCCUGUGUGUCAACCUUUGUGCUUCGUGGCAAGGUAGACUAGCAAACAUGCCCAACCUUUACUCACAUUCGAGACAACACUCCCAACAAGAUUGCUUGCUCCAAAAUCGAAGAGGCACCGCCCUCCGAAUCUCGAGAGCCAGACUCCCAACAUGAUUACUUCCUCAAAAAUCGAAGAGACACUGCUCUCCGAAUCUCGAGAGCCAGACCCCCAGCAUGAUUGCUUUCUCAAAAAUCGAAGAGGCAUCGUUCUCCGAAUCUCGAGAGCCAGAUACCACAGACCACUUUUUCAAAGUGCUCUGACAGAGUUAAAACAUGUGAAACUGGCAGCUCCCACUACCGUGCUAUGACCAAGCAGGGUAAAGGAAUAGCAUUACUACUUGUUGUUAGGGAGACUCCUAUAUAUGUCGACCUCCAUCCCCAACGGACAGGCAGACCUGCAAAAAUGCUCAACCCUUCAUCAUAUCUGAGAGGGCACUCCCAACGAAGCCUUUCGAAAUAUUCAGCUUUCUUUCCCCCCGAUAAUACCUCUGCAAACAAGCUAUACUAGAGCAAGAAUAUCUCAUAUCAUCAGGGUUAAAAGCAAGAGUAUCCCAUAUCAUGCUUUUUUCCCUGUCUUUUCCUUUGGCCUUGUUUUUACCUGCAAGACAAGGAGAAAGAGAGCAAUCAGUCAGCACUUGGAAUCAAGCUUCCAGCCAGGAACUGACUGCCUGGAACCCCUUACCUGAUUACUUACCUGGCAUUGCUCUCGAGUACUCAUCUUCAACAUCUUAUGUUUCCAGGGAAGAUUCCGCAUCUGCUUGAGGAACAGAUAGGGCAAGUGCGAAGGAUACAAGGAAGCAUGUGGAGACAAGCGUAACAGCACACGUGCCGAUACAUCCAUUACUCUGUCAAAAGCAAAAGUAUCCCAUAUCAGCAGGGUGGAACGUACUCUAGAUUUGAUGGACUUGUUUUGACCCUCAAAUUCUUCAGUCGGCCUUAUACUCUGGAGGAAACCAGAAAACCCUCCAGCUCAGUUCAAGAAUAAGCCUGUGGAAAGUUACUUCUUCAAAAGCAAAAGUAUCUCAUAUCAUCUCUUCUCAUUUUUCUUCUCUUUAUCCUUCAUGCUGCUGCAAGAUGGGGAGAAGGUGAACAAUCAGUCGGAGCUCUGAUUGCUUACCUUGUCUGUCACCUCUUUCAGCAGACCCCCUAGCUCGGCGACUUGGGGGACUCCUACUACAUGGUUUGUAUCGCGCUUGACCAAGCCUGAAACUACAAGUAAGCUUCAAGUGAAAUUGAUACAUUACCUUGUGCAUCUCCACCAGUUAAAGAUACCACCCCUGGAUGGAGGAAGAGUACUUCCAGAGAAGAUGCCACAUCUACCUAUGAGACAGAUAAGGCAAGUCAAGACGAUACCACACUCCGAUACUUAGAAGUUUCGUGAUUACGAGAUCAUUCUCCCACAAUAUUUCCUAAUGUCAUUUGUACUAAAUCAUUCACUUGUACUCACUAAAGGAGAGCUUGAACCUAUGUACUUGUGUAAACCCUUCACAAUUAAUGAGAACUCUUCUAUUCCGUGGACGUAGCCAAUCUGGGUGAACCACGUACAUCUUGUGUUUGCUUUCCUAUCUCUAUCCAUUUAUAUACUUAUCCACACUAAUGACCGGAGCAAUCUAGCGAAGAUCACAAAAAGCGACCGUUUUCGCUACCUAGGAUCUAUCUUGCAAGAGAACGGAGAAUUAGAUGGAGAUCUCAACCAUAGAAUACGAGCUGGAUGGAAAGAGUGCAUCCGGCGUGUUGUGUGACCGUCGUAGGCCACUGAAGCUCAAGGGAAAAUUUUAUAGGACGGCAAUAAGGCCAGCGAUGUUGUAUGGCACAGAAUGUUGGGCGGUGAAGCAUCAACACGUACACAAAAUGGGUGUAGCGGAGAUGAGGGAUGCUUCGUGGGAUGUGUGGGCACACGAGAAAGGAUAAGAUUGAGAAUGAGGAUAUCCGAGGUAAAGUAGGAGUAGCCGAAAUUGUAGGAAAUAUGAGAGAAAAUCGGCUCCGGUGAUUUUGAACAUGUGCAAAGAAGGCCGACUGACGCUCCGGUUCGAAGAUGUGACUACGGGACAGAGGUUCAGGGCCGAAGGGGUAGAGGAAGACCUAGGACAACUUUGGAAGAGACUCUAAGAAAAGACUUAGAGUACUUGGAUCUAAAGGAGGACAUGACACAAAACCGAGCGCAAUGGCGUUCUAGGAUUCAUAUAGCCGACCCCACUUAGUGGGAAAAGGCUUUGUUGUUGUUGUUGUUGUUGUAUGGUAUGCCCAGUUCUAUCAUCAGUGAUAGAGAUCCCAUUUUUAUGAGUAAAUUCUGGAAAACGUUUUUUGCACUAUAAGGGUCAGCUCUUUGCUUUAGCUCAAGGUAUCACCCUCAAACCGAUGGUCAAACAGAAGUGUUGAACAGGUGUCUUGAAACAUAUCUCUGGUGUUUUUGCAGUUUGCAGCCUAAAAAAUAGCUACAUUGGUUGUCUUGGGCAUAAUGGAGUUUCAACACUAGUUAUCACAUUGCCACCAAAUUAACACCUUAUGAGAUAGUGUAUGGUCAGGCUCCUCCAGUGGUUCCUUCUUAUGGAAAUGGCACUACAAAGGUAGCGUCAGUGGAUCAAUGCUUGCAGGAAAAAAACAUGAUGUUAUCUAUUCUCAAAGCUUAUUUGAUAGCAGCUCAAUGUAGAAUGAAGGUCCAGUUUGACAAGAAACGAACUGAAAGGCAGUUUAAGGUUGGUGAUUUUGUAUAUUUGAGGUUGGUGCCUUAUCAGUACAUGUCCUUAGCUUCUCACUCCUUUAGCAAAUUACAACUAGGGAUGGGCAAAUACCCAUUGGUUACGGGUAACCACGGUUACCCGUCUAUUUAAAUUAAACGGUUACUGUUAUGGGUAACCGUUUAGAUAAAUAAACGGUUAUGAGUAUAACCGUUUACCCGCGAAAUUUAAGUGGGUGGUUAUGGAUAUUAACCACGGUUAUAAACGGGUAACCAUUUACCCAUUUAUUUUAUAUAUGUAAAACUAACACAAACCAUGUUCUCGAUUCAAUAAUACUUAGCACCCAAUAAAUUAGCAAGGAAUUCAUCGGCCAUUCUCUCAAUAACACUACUACAGGAAUGAUGAUUCUCAUCAUUAAGGAAUUGGCCAAAUUAAUUUAAAUUCCUUGCGGGUAACCGUGAAAUUGACAGAAAUGCUUUGACAGAAAUGUCUUCUAAACAAUUUUUGUAACCCAAUAAUACUUGGCAAAUAUUAUAUUUACCUUCAUCGAUAACAGUUAAAAAUAUCGUCUGUAAAUUAUUGUUUAAAUUAUUGGAAUGAUAUAAGGAUUCAAAAAAUUAAAAUAUGGAAAUGUAUGAUGAAUGCACCGUGUUUAAUUGUCAAAAAAAAAAUUAUGAUAAUUUUUUUUAUUAUUUUCAAGUUGUUAAAAAACAUGUAGACUGGUGAAAAAAAAGGUAAUGGUUAAAAAAAAAAGAUAAACAGGUUAAAAAAGAUAAAUGGGUAAACAGGUAUUAAACGGUUACGGUUAAAUCUGUAUACGGUUAUGGAUAUGAGUAUAACAGUUUAGGCAAUUACCCAACGGAUAAAUGGUUAUACGGGUAUGAAUAUAAAUGGUUAUGGGUAAAUUAACCGCAGUUACCCGCCCCCAUAACAUUACCCAUCUCUAAUUACAACCUCGUUUUUAUGGACCCUUUGAGGUGAUAGCUAAAGUGGGACAUGUGGCUUAUAAACUGAAGCUUCCUGACAGUUCCAAACUGCAUCCAGUUUUCCAUGUUUCUUGUCUCAAAAAGCAUUUGGGUUCUCAGCAUAGCCCUACCACGCCACUUCCAAUCAUUACUGAGAAAGGAAUAUUACAGGACAUUCCAAUUGCCAUUCUAGACAGAAGGUUGGUGAAGAAGGGAAAUGCUGCAAUUACGGAAGUCUUCGUCCAAUGGCAGAAUCAUACUCCAGAAGACGCUACCUGGGAACCAUAUCCUGACUUGAAAUCGAAGUUUCCAGAAGUUGCUAAUCUCUAAGUCCUGUUCGAUGUACUGUUCAAUUUUUUUCCAGCUGCUUUGGAUUCACAUUUUACUGUUUUCUGCUGUAAUAAGUCAGUUUUCAAGGGGGGUAUUAUCAGGAUGCCACUUGUCAUCAUCUCAAUAGGACAAAUGUAAGGUUGAGAUGCUAUAAUAGUAGAUAAGAUGGUUGUAAGUUGUUAGAUGAUAGCUUACAGAGGAAGCUAAGUAGUUUACAUAUAAGAAAGUCGGUUGUAAUUGGGAGGAGGUCAUUGGAAUAAUCUCUGUGUAAUACAAGAAAGUACCAUGCAAUUGUGAAGAAGCCGAGCAAGGUUUUAACAAAGUAAAUCACAUCAAAAGUGAGAGAGCGACUCCGGAAACCAACUGCAUCCGUGUGCUUGCACUUCAAUGCAGAUACAAAACAAAACAUAAUCGUAAAGUUUUCGGACUAUCAUUAAACACUCAAGCAUAACAAAUAUUCACAAUCCAGCAAAUGGGUGUUCAUAAUUUCAAGCAGAACCACCAAAUAAUGCAUCCAUCUGCAUCUCCGUUGUAUCAUUACCCUGUACAAAGAAAGUGGCUCGAAGUCCUGAGAAGCAACAUAACCAACAAUCACACCGCGGCAUUUGGGUGCUCCAUUAGAAAUGGUGGGACUACGACCAUGAAUCCUAGGUAUAUUACGUCUUGCUACAGUUAAAAGGGAUAAGUGCUCAAAAUCAAAUACAUAUUCGUGAUAUAACUUUGGCACUCUUAUUUCUGAUACAUAUUUGUGACUGAGCAGAUAAUCAUAGAUAAAAUCUUUAAAAAAAAAAAAUAUCACAAUUUCAACCCGAAAUUUCAAU